rnacentral:lncRNA from 1 species
UUUAUCCAAUUCUUGUGGCCAUGCAAAGCCCUUGUCUUUCUCUGCCCCACUUUCCACCCACACCUCUCACUCCACCCCCUCACCUCUCCUCUCUCUCACCUCCCACUUCUCCACGGCCACAGCCGCUGCCGACAAGCACACGCCCCAUCUCCUUUCUCUCUCCUCCCCCCUCCGUCGCCGGAAACCCCUGCUGCACCACCUCCCUCCGCCGCUGCCCCGGAAUGACCGUUCUGCUGCCUUAACACUGGGACUCUCUAGCCGGAGAAUUACUUGCAAGGCGACGGAAGUGUCGGUGGCGGAGGAGCCGUCGGCUGCGGGCGAUGGCGAGAACUGGGUGCCAGUGGUGCCGCUGUCGGCAUUGCCCAAGGGGGAGCGGCGCGUGAUUAUACAGGACGGAGAGACGAUUCUGUUGUUGUGAUUAUACACGAAAUUUAUGUGAAGAAUGAAAGGCUCUUUUGAGGCUCAUGCAAGCCAUGUAAGAAUUUUAUGUGGCCUUGGUGUAUAUUAUUAUGUGAUAUUCCUUUAAAUAUUAUGGUCUAAUAAAUAAUAAAACUAAAAUUUUAUUUCCUAAAUUAAAGGUACUUUGAUGAAAAGCAUACUCCUCAUUCUAUAUGGAAAUUGAUCUUCUCUCCAUCCUAUAAAAUAAAUGUUCAGAAAACCUAAGGAUAAAAGGGUUUAGGGAGAACAACACAAUUUCUACUUGGCUUAUUGUUUGGUCUCUUCAAGACUUCUAUAUAGUUUAAAGGUAUGUCUUUUCUCAAUAAUGGAAUUGUGAAAAUCAUAUUAUUCUAUAAUUCUUGACUAUUUUGAUUUAAGUAAAAUUAGGAUUUGAUUUACAUAAUUAAAUAAUUACUUAUGAGUUUCAUUGGUGAGCAUAUAAUACCAUUGACAUAUGUUGAUUAAGUGACAUGUAUACCUUUGAUGCUACUGUAAUGAAGUUUAUGAUAAUAAAAGUUUAUUUUAUCAAUUUUCGAUAUGUUAUAUACAAUGUAUGUUUAUGGCUAAUAUAUAAAGUGAAUGACUUUCUUGAUUUAUGAAAUUUAGUGAAUCGAUUUAUGCAUCAACCGCUUUUGAUUGAACCAAAAGUAUGAUUUUGUUCAUGGUAUUGCAUCUUCAUCAUCAAAAUAGAUAUCUAUAUGUAUGUGAAAUAAAUUAUGCUAUAUAUAUAUGUCAAUAGUGAAUUUUGUGUCUUCAAUGGUAAUGUUUUAACGAUAUACAUAUACUAUAUAUAAAAAACCAAGAAAAUUCUAUAAGAGUAAACACAUUGAGAGGAAGUACCACAUAAUCUAUAGAUAGUACAAAAAGGUGAUAUGGUAGUUUAGAAGAUAUCUUUCGGAAAGAGCCUAAUAGAUUCAUAUACUAAGACAUUGACUGGAAAAGUCUUUGAUUGUAACCGGGACAACAUAGGUGUCAGAUAUGCACCUAAUUUACUUUUAUUGCAUUAUGUUUUGAGGGCUUAUGGAAGAUUGUUAUGAUAUCAUCCUACAAAGCUUUACAUGAUAUAAGACAUUUGGAUUUAUCAUUUAUUUAAUUAUAUUCUAAUUGCUCUUUUAUCUAUGCUUGUAAUAGAGAGUUCCCUACGCUCAGAUCCCAACACUUAUAUCAUAUAAAAUAAAGUUUCAUGCUAGUAGAAUAUCUAAAUAUAUUCUUGGUAGUUUUUGGUCAUGCAUGCAUUCGCAUAACUUUGGGCUAUGCACAAUAAUUUUCCAUAUAAUUGGCUUUUAGGUAUAAAUUUAAUUUCUAUAUGAAAUCGUUCAAUAUAUAACUUUCUGCUACAUGAGUCUAAAAGUUAUUAACUUCCAUGCAUGGUGCGACUGGUGGGGUUUCCAGUCACUUGGAAACCAUGUCCAGAUACAUAUGAAGAGAUCAAUAAAACCAACCUUCCACUUCCUACAAUAAUCGUUUACCAAGUGUAUCUUCAAUCCUAAGCCAGUCUGGUAUUCGUUGUUGCAGCUCCUGUAAACUGGCCUCUGCUUGGUCCAGCUCCAGAUAUAGCUGCUCUACUUCAGCUAUCUUCUCAUUCAAGCGCCUACGAAUCACGUCCCUCUUGCCCUCUGCUUGUGCAUACUCAACUAAAGGUUGCACUCCAACAAAUGGGCUUCUUAACCAAUCAACCUUAACCUGAGCCCUCUCCAAAUCACUCAAUGUUCUAUCAAUGAAGUAGGUGUCUGCACCAGACAGGCUACGGGCAGUAUUCUUCUGCAUCAGCUCCACAAUCUGCAGUAUGGAACCUUUGAUUAUCUCUACAAACUGGGGUGCUGUAAAGGAGCAAUUGGCAGUUACGUCUCCAUAUUUGGUCAAUAUUUGCUGCCAAAUCGACUCCCUGGUAUUGGAAGUUACACCAGAUCCCUCAACCAUCUCAAGAAGCCCUGCAGCGGCUGUGUUAGGAUCUGUGAGAGUUUUGUCUGUGUCCUCAGCUUCAGUUGGAGCGAAGGUAGUUUGGAUCUCCUAAAGCCCAAAAAAGAGAAGGAAAAGUAUAGAACUUGUGCUUGGAAUUAACCAACAAAAAAGAUUAAUUUUGAUGUAAAAGUGCCCAAGGAAAAAUAUUUUGGUAGUUUCAGUUGAAAAUUUUGACAAACCUUGUCAGCUCCCGAAGCACCUUCCACUUCAUCUGAAGGCCAAUUAAGUGUAUCUAGGCAUUGCAACCUGUGAUUAUGCUCAAGAUGAAGUUUUGUGAUCACCCAUUGUCCAUUGUCAAGUUUGACUUGGAUCUGGACAUUGCAACCUGUUCUUGUUUCUGAUCUCUUAUACUUUGUUCCCUGGUUGGGAUGCUUCUUGGUCCGGAAGCCUUCACAUGAACAAAGAAAGCAUCGCCCUUUCAGUGUACCAUUUGCUUUCCUUUGUACCUUUCCUUUUCUUACUGUAAAACCAAUUCUCUUGGCAUACUUUUUACAAAAUUCUUCAGCUUCUAACUCAGAAGAAAACGCCAUCCCUCUCCGUGGUAUCUGAUCAUCGUCUUCAGGAUUUUUCUCAUUUACAUUAACCAAUGUUCCAAUCUCAUCACCAUUUACAUUAAUAGCCAUUUCAGUCUCACCACUAUAGAACGAACUCCACCAAGAAUCAAAAUUAAGCUCAUCCUGUACAAAGUGAGAUAGAGAGAGAAGUUUUCUAUGAGAAAAAUGAGAAGCAAAAAGCGGUACAAUGCAUAACAACAAUUUUCUUCUGUUACACCAACUAUUGAUUCAAACUACAUCUUAUCCUGUAACUCUUGUAGAACAAUGAAUUAAUAUAAGAAGAGUGACACUGUAAGACGGCUUAUAGACAAGUAGAUGGAGCAACAAAUUCUUGAUUUGCUGGUUGCAGCUUUAUUUGGGCAGAAAAGUUCAUGAAUUAUUUAUCUUUAAAAUUAACCGUUGUUCUAGAAAAUGGAUCGAGCUUACCUGGAUAGUGAGGCCCCUGAAGGAACCGCCAACUCUGUGGUGGUUUACUAAAUCAUCAGAUUCCUGUAUGGCACCCCAAACAUCUGGGCGUGAACCGAUGGAACUAUACCUGCCAAGAUGAUAGGGUUCGAUAGACAUUCUGGUGCAGUUGAUGGGUGUGGAUCCAGAGGAUCGGUGCUUGAUUGCUUUGCUUCCGGCUGGACCUUGGGAUCUCGCCUUCUCAAGACAGGACUCGUUUUAUAGCUCUCGCAGCCUGCUGUGUGGGACAGCGUCCCUUUUUCCUUGUUUGCUUUGCUUCCAUUUCCAAAUUCCAACCCACUGCGCUUUGACCAAAUGGUCCAAAUCUCCAUUUCUCGGCGACGUCGGUGCGUUCGGUUCUCUUUUCCCUUGUUUUAUUUCCUUCAGUGCCUCUUUCCUCCCAAGAGGCUACUACUCGCCCUCUCAAAAAGUCAAAACUUUAGAAACAUUAAAUAUAUAUAUUUUUUUUUAAAUAGAGAACUAUCAAAACGGUGGGCGGAAAGUGAUAAUCCUUUUUAAAAGUCAUCAUGUUGACCAAUUCUACUCUUCGAGUAAUCAUUUGAAAGCUUAACCAUUCGAAAUUUUCAAUUAUAUCCUAUUUAAACUUUAUUUUUUUAUUUUUUUUCUUUUGUAUUAUUAUUAUUAUUAAAUAUUAAUAUUACUCUUAAUAUUAUUAUUUAUGAUAUUAGUAUUUUAAAUUAUUCAUAUUAUUAUUAAUAUCAUUCUUAUUAAUAUUAUUUAUUAUUUUUUUAUUAUUAUUCAUAUUUUUAAUAUUAUAUUAAAAAUAAUAUUAUUAUAUUUUUAUUACUACUACUACAAAGAAACCUUAGGAGAUAAUUUAUAUUUUUUAGUUCUUAAAACUUGUAAACUUUAUUAAAAAAUUAUUCUUUUUUUUCAAUUUAUACUUUAUAUGUUAUAUUAAGAUUAAUUAAAUUAUUAUUAUUCUUCUUAUUAUUACUAUUAAUAUUUAUGAUAUUAGUUUUAUAUUAUUAAUAUUUUAAUAAAAUAAUAUUAUAUCCAAGUUAUAGAUAUAAUAAAAAUGCAUUGAUGUUAAUGAUAUAGUAGAAUAAAACAAUGUUUCUAAUAUAGAUAAAUACAACAUUUAUCUAUUGAAUUUAUAACAUAAAUACAUUAAAAAUACAAUAUAUUACAACAUUUUUAAUAGUUUUCAUGUAAAAAUAAAAUAAAAUUUUAUCAUUCAAUGCGCUUUUUCUAUUUGAGUCGUAACACCCGACUUUUUCUUUUCCUCUUUAUCAUUCAACGCGCUUUUUCUUUUCUUUGUUGCGUAAAAUAUUUGAAGUUUUGUUGUGAGACUUGCUUCGAUCACAGUUGUAUUCUCAAUUUUGCAAUUAAGCAAAUUUAGCUUUAUUAGUCAGUUGUGGUUGAUAUAAAUGAACUUUUUCUACUGCAAUUAAGUCAGGACUCAUAUCUCAGACUUGGUGUCUCUACUGCUCAGUAAUGGCUGCUGCUGCUGCUUCUUCUGCGUCUUCUCAGGGGCGCUAUGAUGUGUUCCUGAGCUUUAGAGGGGAAGACACCCGCAAUAACUUCACUGCCCAUCUCUGUGAGGAGUUGCACACCAAAGGAAUCAACACUUUCAUAGACGAGGAGAAGCUCGAGAGAGGGCAAGCCGUAUCUGCUGCACUUGUUUCUGCUAUUGAAAACUCCAUGUUUUCUAUCAUUGUUUUAUCAGAAAAUUAUGCAUCUUCUAGAUGGUGUUUAGAGGAGCUGGUGAAGAUAAUACAGUGCAUGAAAAACAGGGGGCACAGGGUUCUCCCAAUUUUCUAUAAUGUGGCUCCCUCGGAUGUGAGAAAUCACAAGGGAAAAUUUGGAGAAGCCUUGGCUAAACAUGAAGAGAAUUCCAAGGAGGGUAUGGAGAGGGUGCAGAUUUGGAAGGAUGCUCUCACUCAAGUCACCAAUUUCUCUGGUUGGGAUUCAAGGAAUAAGUAAUUAUUUAAAGCUUUUUUUCACUCUUACUUUUAUUUUUUAUUUUUAAUAUUGCCAUUUUAAAUGCUCUUGCUAAUUCAACUAUUAGUUAUUACAACACAAAGGGUAUGAUAAUAUAUACCAUGUUAACAUUAUCUGAUUAAAGGACUGGGUUCAUAGGAUUUAGAAAUAUUUUACUGGACUUUUUUAAAUUAGAUAUAAGAUACCAACCAUAUCUUGACACAUAUUCUCAUAUUCUCUUUAUUUUUAUUAUCUUUUUGUAGAUAGCUGGACUUAUUAUGUGUUUAUGCUUUAAAUAUGACAGGAAUGAGUCUCUACUAAUCAAGCAAAUUGUUAAAGAUAUUUUGAAUAAAUUGUUAUCUUCAUCCGGUAGUGAUACCAAGAAUCAAGUUGGAAUAGAUGCUCACAUACAAGAAAUGGAAACCUUAUUAUGCUUGGCGUCAGAUGAUGUUCGAAUGGUAGGAAUAUGGGGCAUGGGUGGAAUAGGGAAAACAACCCUUGUCAGAGCUGUUUAUAGUCGAAUCUCCUAUCAAUUUGAAGGUUGCUCCUUUCUUGAAAAUGUUGCAGAGGGUUUAAAAAAGAAGGGCUUAAUUGGGUUGCAAGAGAAACUUCUUUCUCAUCUAUUAGAGGAAGAAAAUCUAAAUAUGAAAGAACUCACAUCUAUAAAGGCAAGGCUCCACUCAAAAAAGGUCCUUAUUGUUCUCGAUAACGUGAAUGAUCCAACAAUAUUGGAAUGCUUAAUUGGAAAUCGGGAUUGGUUUGGUCAAGGAAGUAGAAUUAUUAUAACGACUAGGGAUAAACGUUUAUUACUUUCACAUAAAGUCAAUCUUUAUAAGGUUCAUAAAUUCAAUGAUGAUGAAGCUCUUGAGUUUCUUGCACGUUAUUCAUUAAAACACGAACUCCUUCGAGAAGAUUUCCUAGAGCUUUCAAGAGCUGUGAUAUGUUAUGCUCAAGGCCUUCCAUUGGCUCUUACGGUUUUGGGUUCUUUUUUAUUUAGCAUGAGCAAAGAAGAAUGGAGAGAUCAAUUAGACAAAUUAAAAAGUAUUCCUAAUAUGAAAAUUCAUGAAGUUCUUAAAAUAAGUUAUGAUGGGCUAGAUUUUGAGGAGAAGAAUAUAUUUUUGGAUAUUGCAUGUUUCCUUAAAAGAGAGGAUAAAAAUUACAUUAAGGAAAUACUAGACUAUUGUGGCUUCUUCUCAGUUAGUGGUAUACGAGCUCUCGUUGAUAAGUCACUCAGUAAGUUUUUUUCACAAUAGGAUAAUGAUGCAUGACUUAAUACAAGAAAUGGGUAUGGAAAUUGUUCGCCAAGAAUCUCAUACUCCCGGCCAGCGUAGUAGAUUGUGGCUCCAUAAAGAUAUCAACGAUGCAUUGAAAAAAAACAUGGUAAGAGCAAAAAAAUGAAAUUUAUUUUAUGCAACACAAGUUAAGAUUUGAAAUUAUUUUGGCUUAAGUAGUUAUAUGCUAAUAAAAUUGUAGCAGACAUAUAUUUAUUCACUAUGCAUGUUUUUAACUUAGUCUCCUUCUUGGUAUGCAGGAAAAUGAAAAAAUUGAAGGCAUAUUCCUCGACUUGUCUCAUUCACAAGAGAUAAUAGACUUUAGCACUCAAGCCUUCCCAAGGAUGUAUAAACUAAGAUUGCUCAAAGUCUAUGAAUCUAACAAAAUUUCAAGAAACUUUGGAGAUACCUUAAAUAAGGAGAAUUGUAAAGUGCAUUUUUCUCCGAACUUAAGAUUUUGUUACGACGAAUUGAGGUACUUAUAUUUGUAUGGAUACUCUUUGAAAUCAUUGGACAAUGAUUUCAAUGCAAAGAAUCUUGUUCACCUCAGCAUGCAUUAUAGUCACAUUAAACGACUUUGGAAAGGAAUCAAGGUAUGAUUAUGAUGUAUUGAUAUUAUUUUCUUUAAAAAGCGUUUAAUGUGCAUGAAAGCUAAUUUUUAAGUCAACUUUCUUUCAUGGUAGGUUCUUGAAAAGUUAAAAGUCAUGGAUCUCAGUCACUCCAAGUCCUUAAUAGAAACCCUAGAUUUCUCAAGAGUCCCCAAUCUUGAACGAUUAGUUCUCGAAGGUUGUAUAUCUUUGCAUAAGGUACAUCCGUCUCUUGGAGUUUUGAAUAAACUCAAUUUCUUGAGUUUGAAAAAUUGUGAAAAGCUCAAAAGUCUUCCAAGCAGCAUGUGUGAUUUGAAAUCCCUCGAAACAUUUAUUCUUUCUGGUUGUUCGAGACUCGAAGAUUUUCCUGAGAACUUUGGGAACUUAGAAAUGUUAAAGGAACUUCACGCAGAUGGUAUUCCUGUAAGAGUACUACCCUCCUCUUUUUCGCUCUUGAGAAACCUUGAAAUAUUAUCCUUUAAGGGAUGUAGAGGACCCCCAUCUACCUCAUGGUUGUUGCCAAGAAGAAGUUCAAGUUCUACUGGUUCCAUACUGCAUCAUUUGUCUGAUGUAGGACAACCCUAGGAUGGUUGCCUACACUCAAGGGUAGGUGGGCUAGGGUUUUAUUUUUAGGGUGUAAGGAGGGGAACAAGGAAUAAACUUUAUGGUAGAGAAAAUUAUAAGAUAAGAAAAAGAGAGAAAGAAGAAACAAUGAAGAAAAGAUGGAAAACCUUAGAGUCUCACUAAGGCCUUCUAGGAGUCUCACCUAGAAGAAAAUCAAUGGAGUCUCACCAUUGAGGGUUGCAACCUUGCAAUGAAAGAAAGUAUAAUAUUAUUCAUCAAAAAUUCAUUCCUUUGAUUUACAUUGAUUAGCCUAUUUAUAGGCUUCUCUAAGAAAUCCAAAGUCUACUAGGACUCUAAUAACCUAUUCUACUAGGACUCUAAUAGGACUCUAAUAACCUAUUCUACUAGGACUCUAAUAACCUAUCAUGACUCAAAUUCUAAUUAUAUUAAUCCUACUUAAAGUUUACUUAGGUCUUCCCUUUCUUCCUUGAAUAAACUUUAAAAGGCUUUCCCCCAUCAUUGUCAGGUCUAUAUUCUUUAACAAGGCUAAACCUAGGUUAUUGUAAUUUAUCAGAUGAAACAAACCUUAGCAGUCUUUGCCUCUUAUCUUCAUUGGAAGUGUUAGAUCUAUCUGGGAACAACUUUGUUACUUUGCCAAACAUCAGGGGACUUUCUAGCCUAGAAGGUCUGUUGUUGGAGAAGUGUAAAAGACUGCAAGUACUGCCAGAACUUCCAUCAAGCAUAUAUAGUUUAAUUGCGCAAGAUUGCAUAUCAUUGGAAAAUGCCUCAAAUCAAGUACUCAAGUCACUCUUUCCAACUACAAAGUCCCCGAAGAAAACUUUCAAGGUGGGUUCUAUUUGUAUACGAUGUAUCAUAAUUUUAAUUAUAUAUGCAUAUAUAUAAUUAUUUCGAUUCUAUCUCUCUAACAUCCUAAUAAUUUUGAUUCUACAGCGUAAUUCGGGUGCACACUUGAUAUAUGUGAUGGUUUAUGGGAGUAGAAUACCAGAUUGGAUAAGGUAUCAGAGCUCAGGGUGUGAAGUAGAAGCAGAUCUACCUCCAAAUUGGUAUAAUUCCAACUUGCUGGGUCUUGCUUUGAGCUUUGUCACUUAUGUUUUCGCAUCUAAUGUGAUUAUUCCAGUAUCGUAUACCUUGCGCUAUUCAACAUCCAGUUACAUUGCUAACCGCAUUAGUAUCAGAUUUGAUAAGGAAGGUGUAGGGUUAGAUCACGUGUGGCUACUUUAUAUAAAACUCCCCCUCUUCAGCAAUUGGCAUAAUGGAACUCCCAUAAAUUGGCAUGAAGUGACUCACAUCAGUGUAUCAUUUGGGACUCAGGUCAUGGGGUGGUAUCCUCCGAUUAAGAGGAGUGGGUUUGAUCUAGUGUACAGUAAUGAUCAAGACGUGAAUCCCCCAGUGAUCCAAUUCAGUUCUAUCUCCUCUCCUCCUCUUCCGAACAAGUCAACAGUAGUCCUUAAAGAAAUCCAUAAGAAGGAGGAACCCAGUGGAAGUGAGUUGUCGAAUGUUGAUGGCUCAGAAUCAGACAGCUCUGAUUACCAUACUGCUGAUGAGGAAGAACCCACAACUGCAAAAGAAACUGACCGCUCAGAGGAUCACUCUGAAUCAGAGAUGCGGCCGCAGAAACGUUUGAAGUGCAGGCAUUAUGAGGGCAUCCCUUGAUGAUCGGAGAAACAGACCUAAAACUCUUCCCAUAACAUCAUCUCUUGGUAAUGGUAGGUUGUGUGUUUCUUUUCUUUCUGCCUUUCUUUCUUAAUCUGAUUUUCAACAUUUUUGCUUGGGUAGAUGUCUUAAGAUCAUUUAGAACUGUUUAAAGCGGGAACUAAAAAAUCCCAUAACACUGUUUGAAAUUAGAGUACUCUCACAUAUCGUCGAUUUCAUGCUUAAUCAUCCCGGGAUACACAUGGUUCCAUAUCAUUAGAAUCAUUUGUAUUAAUAAUGCAUUCUCAGUUUACUAAUUGUGGCAACUAAACAGAGUCCCAAAAUCUCUCUCGGGGUUGAUCAUCUUCAAUAGAUACGCAUUGUUUUAGCAGUGAUAAUGUAUUUUGUGAAUUGCAGUCGCAUGAUCUCCAUUCCUGUGAGCAUUGCAAUUAACUAGGGAGAUUAUUUUAGUGGGGGUGAUGCUACAGCACCAGCGAAGGAGCAGAAGCAGAAGCAGAAGAGAGAAAAGAUCUUGUAACGGAACCCAAUCUUCCAUAAACUAACUAUUUUUGGAUUGUUUUUCAUUUCUAGAAAUGGAACGACUAUGUAAAUUAAAGGAUUACUGGAUUCUUCAAUUCAAAGAGUCAUCACAAAUUUGAGUCACUACUCACCUACAUUUGAUUUCAUUCCUUCUACUAUCUCCACCUUGCUCCUUAAUUCUUAUAAUGAUAAAUGUGUUAUAUAAAAUUUUGAUUAUAUUUCAUUUAACCAUUUUUGCAUUAGGGUCACAUCUCUUAGUCGUAUAGAUAUUGUUUACUUUAAUCCAAAGGACUCCCACGAUUUUAAAACGCACCUAUAAGGUUAAAAGGAAUCCAUGCAUAUAUAGAUAUAUCACAUCCAAUAGGGUGAAAAAGCUUUUACUCUCUUACGCCAUCCCUUCCCAUGAAACCCUCUAUUUUGUGCCCACCUAUACCUAUCCUUUCCCUCUUUCUCUCAUGGGCAUAUCCUUUGCAUGAUACACAUUUUAAUCAACAAAUUAUAAUUAAUUUGUUCACUAAAAUAUUUCUUUAGGUUGUAUUUGGUUCCAAAAAUUACUAAGAAAAAAAAAGAAAAAUAUAAAGAAAUAUUAUUUUUUCAUAUUUGGUUAUCGUAUGAAAAAUAUAUAAAAAAUCAAAUAUAAUUAAAAUUAAGUAAAAUUUUUUGUAUGUUUAAAUUAUUUAAUUUUUAUAUCGAUGAGUUAAAAUAAAUAAAGUCAGUUUAAAGUAACAAAUAAAAAUAAAAUUUCAAAUUUUAAUCUAUUUUUUUAUUUUUCUUUAUUGUUUUUUUCUUUUACUUUUUCUUUCUAUUUUCUUCCUCCCAUAUUUUCCCCUAAUUUUCCACCUUAAAAUUGUAUUUUUGUGAUAACUUUCGAAUAUAUUUGACAUAGUGGUUGCCUAGGGUUCAUUCUAAACCAUUUGUUUGGAUUUCGAAUAUAUUUGACAAUUUUUUAAAUCCUUCCUCCCACCUAUACCUAUCCUUUCCCUCUCUCUCACACACACAACCAUCCCGUUCGGGCCAUUCCCAUGAAACCCAUUUUUUCUCUCUUUUCUCAUCCCUCUCACAAAUCACAACCACUUUUUUCUUCCUUUCUUCUCAUCAUUUCAUGUUCUUUAUUUUUUUUCUCUCUCUCUCCCUCUCUUUCUUUUUUCCAUAGCCAUUUUCAUCUGCCCAUCACCGACGCCACCAUCCAUUGUCCGCCGCGACGUGCCACUACCGACGCUGGCGUCACUCUUUCAUGGCUUCCUCCUCUCUCAUCUCAUCAUUUCUCUCUUCUUCUCUCCCUCUAAAAUACCAAGAGCAUGGCAUGGAGGGAAAAUGGGAAGUUCGGGUGAGCUAAACACCAAGGCAACUUGUAGAGUCAUUGCUAUGGCUACUUUCAUCUUGUUUUCAAGACAUGCAUGGGUAUACUCUUUGAUCUCUACACAGUAGAUGUUAGUAAUUUGUGGGUUUUGUUUUCAUUUGAUGUUUUGUUUAUUGAUUUAUAUUUUUGAUGUUGGGUUUGGACUUGUUGGAUUUUGUUUAAUUCUUUUAGGCGUCAAUUAUUAAUGUUAGGCUUGGUUAUUCCAUGCAGACUUGGGCCUGUGCGUAUUGAAUAUUUAGGUUGGGCCUCAUUCCUUGAUUUGAGCCUGGUAGGGAGGUUUUGGACUUGACCUUGGGUUAAUUUUAUCCUUUAUAGUUCAUUUAUGAUUCAUUGUCGUGUUUAGAUCAUUCAAAAAAUUUGUUUUCAACUAUGUUCUUGAAAAUAAUUUCACUAAAAGUAUCAGAAAUCAGAAGGUGUCCAAUUAGUCGAGUUUUAAAAAUAUUGUUGACAAAUUUACCAAUAAAUUCUUAACAGCCCAACCACCCAAAAUAUAAUUGCCUACUUGAAUGAAAUAAAUAAUAAACUUUAAUUUAUACAAAAUAUUUAUUAUUAUAAUUAAUAUUUUAAUAUCCUUCAUUUAAAAAUAAAAUGAAUAAAUAAAUAAAUAAUCAACACAGACUCUUCUUCAAUGAUCGCAUUUAAUUUACUGCAAAUUUUGCUAAGAGUAUAUUAUUCCCAAUUCUCAUUUUCAUACAUAUUCUAUUAUUUUUCUUUUGCAAAUAAUCAAAUAUAGUUAUCUGUUUGUUUGAUUUGUUCAUCAAUUUGGAAUUAUAUGUAUCUUUUUGUUUCCCACUGGAUAAUUUAGGAUUCACAACUCAAAAUUUCUGAAUCCAUCUUCUCCACUCCUCAUAAUGGCUGAUCCUUCUUCUUCUCCCUUUCUUUACAACAGGGCUAUAACGUGCUCUUGAGCUUUGGAAGAGAAGAGAAGACACCCACAAUAGCUUCACUGCUCAUCUCUAUAAUGAGCUUGAAAAGGUGUUUAUACUUAUGAUAUCUUAAUCUAAUUUCUAGAUUUGGACUCAAUUUUUCGUAAUCAUGUUUUUUUUAUUAAAAAAUGAGUUACAUUAGAAUUUUAUUUCUUAUAUUAUUUUUCUUUAAAAACAAAUAAAAAUAAGUAAUGGCUCUAAUUUUUAAAAAUUAAUAUGUUUUUUAAUAAAAAUGAGUUUCACCAUUAAAUGGAAAUACAAGUAAAACAUACAAAUCAUAGUUUCAUUGUUGUUUUCCUCUUAUGAUCUUUUAUGUUUAUAAAGAGAAAUAUGAAAAAAGUAAUACAAAAGGUAAAAUUAAGUCCUUAUACAAAUUCUAAAAACUGAUGACCCCAUAGACUACUUAUCCUUGCCAAUUCACACUGUUCCACAAUUUUGCAUGUUCACAUUGCUCAAAAUAAAACUAUUAUAGAUCAAAAGAUGCGUCUAGGUUCAAAGAGUUUAGCAGAUUUUUAGGAAUGCUAGUUGAAGGGUGAGAUGAAGAAAUCUACUUGUUGCUGAGUAAGUUGAGGAAAAUGGUCGAAAGCAGGACAUCUUGCAAAGGAAGGAAGAAGAAAUCGGUGUCCGUUUCUCACUUUGAAAUGGAGCUUAGAAGGUUGGAUUGUUCGAUUAGUUAUGGAGAUUUUGUGUUCACUUCCAAAAAGGGUGGCAAAAACUAUUGGGAGCUAAUUUUGGUGGAUUGAUGAAGAUCAAAUCCUCUCUUGGAAUGUUAGAGGGCUCAAUGACAGGGAGAAAUAAAAACUGCUUAAGUCAGUGAUUAGGUCUCAGAAGAAAGAUUUGGUUUGUCUUAUUGAGAUGAACAUGCAGGAGAUGUUGUUAAAGGUGGUGAAAAGUCUGGAUGUUGGUAGGUUUUUGGACUAGGGUGUAGUUGAUGCUAGGGGAGUGUCCGGAGACAUCUUGAUUUUUUGGGACAAUAGAGUUUUGGAUCUUCUAGAGCUAAAAUGUGGAGGUUUCACCAUCUCGAGUAGUUUUAGGAAUGUGGAAGAUGGUUUUGUUUGGGUAUUCACAGGUGUCUAUGGUCUAGUCCUCUCAAGGAAGAGAAAAAAAAAAAGACUUUUGGGAUGAGUUGGGUGUAAUUAAAGGUAUGUAGAACGAUCCCUGGUGUGUAAGAGGGGAUUUCAACUCUGUUAGAUUUCCAAGGGAAAUGAGGAAAGAGGUCAGUUUAACGGCAAAGAUGAGAAGAUUCUAUUAAGUCAAUGAGGAACUAAGACUAAAAGAUUUACCCCUUUCUGAUGGUCAGUUCACGUGAUGUGGUGGCUCAAACUCUCAAGCAGCGUCAAGGUUGUAUCAUUUUUUAGUUUUUAAUGAAUGGGAGGACCACUUUUCAAGUGCCUUCCAAUGCGCUCUUCCUAAGAUCGUCUCUGAUCACUAUCCUAUUACACUAGAGGGUGGAGGGGUUAAAAGAGGUAAGACUGUGGACCCACAUUUUUCACGUGCGUCCCCACUCGAUCGGCGAGACUCGCUUUUUAUUACUAGUGAAAAAAUAAUUUUGGAAAAAGUCGGAAUCGCCACUUAUUUUAUUUUUAUUUUAAAGGGAAAAUAAAACAAAAAAGAAAAACCUUAAAAUGUGACUCCAUAAUUUUUGGAAAAAACAUGUCUUUGAAAAACCUGAGUUUAGGUCCAGGGAUCAAGUUACUUAUUGGGAAGGUACCUCUAGGAGGUAGCACCCCUCUAAGCCUAAAAGAGGUCUCUACUUACUAAGUUGGGGGAAGUGUGGCAAUUAAUUAAUUAAUUGAGGAUACCUAGAUAGGCUAAGGUGAUUUCAAAAAUAACAUGCCAAACAUGAUCAAAUUACAAUAAAUGAGAGUUAGGGUGCAUACCUGGACUGCUUCUUAAGCGCCAUCUAAAGACAUCAAUGAUUAGUUUGGAAAAUAAAACGCACAACAUAUAUUUUAUCCUAGUCUCUUAAUCAAACAUGGCAAGCUAAACAAACAAUAAAAAAGAUAUGUUGAAAAAUUUGAGAAUCGCAUACGAAGCAAUACAUAACGAUCAUAUAUAAAGCAAUACAUAAUUUAUGGAAUUAAGAUACGAAGGUAAGAAGCAUACCUGAAUAGCAUGGGUAACUCAUAAUGCUCUUCCACAAGACAUGAGGGGUUAGAUAAUAAAUAAUGAGAUAAAUUCUAGCAUGCUUGUUAUCUAAUUAGCAUAGCAAAAAUUAUCAGAGUAUACUAAUUCAUCAAUUAUCACAUAGUCUUGUAUAUAAUUCCUAAAAAAAUUGAUAUGAUUGUAACAACCAACAAAGGUGGUAGCAAAAAUAAGUUUUGAAUAUAUUUUUUUGUGUAGGGGUUUCACCAAUUCCCCAAUUGAUAUACACAAAUCUAACCUAGAAUUAUCCCAUUUAUGUGGGACCACAAGCUUGGAUUCGUGUUUGAUUUAAAACCAAAAUUUUCAUUAAAAAAACCGAGAAAGAUGCAAACCAAUAAAAAAAAAUGGUUGCAUAUUAUUUUAAGAAAAUGGGGUUUUUGAUUCUAAGGACUCUAAAUGAAUUUUUAAAAUAGGUUUUUAUAAGGAACAUUUUGGGAAAAGUAUUUUAUUUUAAAGGGAAAGACAUUAUUCACAAACAAACGAUUCGCAAAGGUCAAAUAUAGGCAACCCAAAAUAAAACAAAAUCACAAAGUAAAAUUUUCUCAAUAAUCAACAAAACUAAUAAAGGUGAGGGUAGAGGCCAAUCUUCAUGAUUUGCCAAUGGCCUCUAAAAAUUAAUCUUCACAAAAAAAUAUCAAAGCAAUAAACUAAAUGAUUUUAGAUCAGAUAAGAUUAGAAGAUAUUAAUCAGGAGUUAAAAAUGGGGAAUCAAACACAGAAGAAUAAUAAAAAAACUAACAUAAGAUCAAUUAAGCUAAUUAACUAAAAUUUUAGAGAAACAUAUGAACUAAAUUAUGAUUAAUCCAAGAAUGAAAAUUUAUACAUUUAAGAUGAAAAUAAUACAACUUAAGAUCAAUUAAAACAGUUAUCUAAAGCUUUGAAAAAACAUACAAACUAAAAGUGGACCAACCAAGAAAUAAAAUUAACAAGUUCAGAAUAUGAAAAUGACAUGGAACCAAUCAACUUAAACAACCCCAAGUCUUAAAAACUCACGUACUAAAAGAUGAAAUAAAAAAAUAAGAUUAAUAUUGGAAAACAUAAAUUCAAUUGCAUAGGAUCAAUUAAACUAAUAAACUAGAAUUCUAAAACCACUUAAACUAGAUAACAUGAAUCAAAACAAGGAUAAACAAUUUUAAAAGACAUGAGAUUAAUUACAUGGAUCAGCCAAAUUGAUAAACUAAAAUUAAAAAAAAAAAAAAAGAACCUAAACUAAAUAGAUAAAUCAAAACAAAACUAAAGCAAGGCUAAAAACAUGAACUUUAUCAAUAGAAUUGGUUAAAUUAAUGAACUAAGAUUAUAUAAAAAAAAAAAUGCAAACCAAACAAAUAAAUUGCAAUUAAACUAAAACAAGAUCAGAAGCAUAAAUUUUAUCAAUAAAAUUAAUUAAUCUAAUAAACUAAACCAAGAUUAUAAAAAUACAUCAACUAAAAAGAUGGGACAAAACAAAAUCAAAACUCGUUUUAAAAAACAUAAACCUUAUCUAAUAAAAUUAUUUAACUAAUGAAUUAAAAUUACUAUUACAUUCAAACUAAAACUAAACUAAUGUGGAAUUAAAAAAAUAAACUUUACUUUACAAAUUACUUAAACUAAGGAAUUAAAGUCACUAACACACUCGAAUUAAAUCAUAAGCUAAAAUUAAGUUAAUCCGGAAUUUUAAAAAAUAAACUUUACUUCACAAAUUACUUAAACUAAGGAAUAAAAAUCACUAACUCAUUUAAAUUAAAUCAUAAGCUAAAAUUAAGUUAAUCCGAAAUUUAAAAAAAUAAACUUUACUUCACAAAUUAUUUAAACUAAGGAAUUAAAGUCACUAACACAUUCAAAUUAAAUCAUAAACUAAAAUUAAGUUAAUCCAGAAUUUUUAAAAACAAAUUUUAUCUCUCAAAUUAUUUAAACUAAGGAAUUAAAGUCACUAACACAUUCAAAUUAAAUCAUAAACUAAAAUUAAGUUAAUCCGGAAUUUAAAAAAAUAAACUUUACCUCUCAAAUUAUUUAAACUAAGGAAUUAAAGUCACUAACACAUUCAAAUUAAAUCAUAAACCAAAAUUAAGUUGAUCCGGAAUUUAAAAAAAUAAACUUUACUUCACAAAUUACUUAAACUGAGGAAUAAAAAUCACUAACUCAUUUAAAUUAAAUCAUAAACUAAAAUUAAGUUUAAAAAAUAAACUUUACCUCUCGAAUUAUUUAAACUAAGGAAUAAAAAUCAUUAACACAUUCAAAUUAAAUCGUAAACUAAAACUAAAAGGUGGAUUAGAACUAAACUAAUUGAGAAUUUAAAAAACAAAAUAAACUUUAACACAAAGAAUUAAUCAAAAACUGAAAUUUGUUUUAAAAGAAAUCUAGACUAAAUAAGAAUAUUAUAUGGAAAACUAACCUGUGAAGUGAAAGAGAAAAUCCCUUCUUGGUGACUAAGGUGAUAGCCCGGUCUCUGCCUGAAGUCCCUUGCUCUCCUCUAAAGUUCCGCGUGAAAAUUCUUUCUGUCUCUUCCCCUCUGAAAAAAAGUUCCUUAUGCUUGGAUUCUCUCCUUUAUUUAUAAGGCAACCCACUCCUUAUGGAAUAUCUUAUUUCCAUUUUUUCUACAUGCCCGUGGAUAUGGGAAGUCCAUUAUGUGUGGCUCACUUGGACAUUUCCCCAAGGAUGCAGCCGUAUCUUGUUUGGUAAGUGAUCAGAUCCCUUUUAAUCUUCUUUCCAUAUGCUCCCGGAUUCCUUCUUAAAGCAAAUCAUAUGCAGCCCGGAUUGUUCUUAAAGCCGUGAUCUGCCCACUUUCUAUAUGCAGCCCGGAUUCCUUCCAAGUUUCCCUAUUUGGCCGUGAUCUCCUCUCCUUGAUGUCUUCAAUUGUUUCCUUAUCUCCUAGAGCCACCUUUCCUUAAACUCUCCCAAAACGUAUCUUCCAAUCUCAAUAUGGUAUCCAUUCCAUCUCCAAUGAUCAAGCAUCCAAGGAAAUCCCACAUUCCAAAUAUCAAUACCGUGCACAUCUUCCAUACAUUUCCUAUAAAAUUUCAAAUAAAUAAGGACAAGUAAUAAAAUAAUAAUAAUAAUAAUAAUAACAAUAACAAUAAUAAUAAUACUAAAAAAAAUAAAAAUAAAAAUAAAUAAAAAUAUUUACACAAAAUUAUUAAAUUAAAAUAGAUAAGUAAGGACAAGCAUUAUGGAAAAAGUGACAAAAUAAUAAGGAAAUAAAAUAGAUUAAGAAAUAGACAAGAUAAUAAAUAAAAUAAAUAAGAAUUAAAUAAUAAAAAGUCAAGUCAUGCAACUUUAAAAUAAACAAGUCAUGCAAGUCAUGCAAGCCAUACAAAAAAUGCAAUCAUGCAAACAUGCAAAAAAUUGCCUGAAAGGUGACCUAAGUGGGCCUAAAUGAGCCUAAGUAGGCCAAGUGUAUCUAAAUGGGCUUAGGGUGUCUAAAUGGGCCUAGGGUGCCUAAAUGGGCCUAGGGUGCCUAAGUGGGCCUAGGGUGCCUAAGUGGGCCUAGGGUGCCUAAGUGGGCCUAGGGUGCCUAAAUGGGCCUAGGGUGCCUAAAUGGGCUUAAAGUGCCUAGGUGGGUCUAGGGUGCCUAAAUGGGCCUAGGGUGCCUAAAUGGGCCUAAGGUGUCUAAAUGGGCCAAGAGUGCCUAAACGGGCCUAGAGUGUCUAAGUGGGCCUAGAGUGCCUAAGUGGGCCUAGAGUGCCUAAGUGGGCUUAAGGUGCCUAAGUGGGCCUAGGGUGUCUAAGUGGGCCUAGGGUGCCUAAAUGGGCGUAGGGUGUCUAAAUAGGCCUAGGGUGCCUAAAUGAGCCUCGGGUACCUAAAUGGGCCUCAGGUGCUUAAAUGGGCCUUAUGUGCCUAAAUGGGCCUAGGGUGUCUAAAUGAGCCUAAGGUGCCUAAAUGGGCCAAGAGUGCCUAAACGGGCCUAGAGUGCCUAAGUGGGCCUAGAGUGCCUAAGUGGACUUAGGGUGCCUAAAUGGGCCAAGGGUGUCUAAGUGUGCCUAGGGUGUACUAAGUGGGCCUAGGGUGGUGCCUAAUGGGCCAAGUGUAUCUAAAAACUAUCCUAAAAAUGAAUGAAAAGCCUAAGUCUAAAUUAGGGCUGCCAAGGGUCACAAUAAGGGGUCAGAUAAUCCCUAAACCAAAGUCUCCGAGGUGGCUAAAAAAAGGUAAGUAGUGUGAGUAGCUAUGGGCCACCAAGGAACUACUGUAAAGUAUCGAAUAAGUAUCUAAUAGGACAUGUGCUAGGAGGACAAAAUUGAGGGUCUACAAAGACCCAUUUCCGUUUUGAGAAUAUGUGGCUAUUAUCGAAUGGUUUCAAAGUGUUAGUGAGGAAGUGGUGGACCGAGUACUUGAUUACAAGGAGUAGUAGUCAUUGUCUUGAUGAGACAUUGAAGGGCUCUUAAAAAGGAUCUCAUAGUGUGGAAUAAAUAAAUUUUUGGCAACCUCUUCUUUAAAAAAUCAGAAGCCUUUUCUCGAGCUCAUUUUUAGGAUUCCAAGAGAGAGUUAAUCCCCUCUCUAUUAAGGAGGCAAAGGCUAGAAAAGAGGUUGUCAAGGAGUAUAAGAAAUGGUUUUUAUUGGAAGAAGCUUCUUGGAGACAGAAAUCUAGGGAAAUCUGGUUAAAGAAGGGCAACAAAAACACCAGGUUUUUUCACAAGGUGGCCAAUGCUCGGGCAAGAAGGAAUCUAUUAUCCAAGGUGAAAAUUAAUGGGGUUAUUUUAACUAACAAUGAGGAUAUCAAGGCUAAGGUGUGCAGGGCUUACCAAACUCUACUGACUGAAAAUGGGGACUGGAGACCAAGCCUUGGGAAUCUUCAAUUUAGAGUGUUGGAAAAAGAUAGGUCCAGAAGUUUAGAGGAGCCUUUUUGGAAGAAAAGGUGUUUAAAGCCCUUUCCAACCUUUGUGGUGAUAAAAAGUCAAGUCCAGACAACUUCACCAUGGCGUUCUGGCACUUCUGUUAGGAUUUCACAAAAGUUGAGAUUAUAACCCUCUUUGAAUAUUUCUUCUACCUUGGCACAUUCCAAAGGAGUUUAAACUCCACUUUCCUAGUUCAGAAAAAUGGGUGCAGAAGAGUUGAAAGACUUCAGACCGAUUAACCUGGUUGGUGGACUAUACAAGUUGUUUGCCAAAGUCCUGACAAACAAGUUAAAGUCAACCAUGGGGAAGUUGGUUUUAGACAGUCAACAGGCCAUUAUGUGGACCCGCAUUUUUCACGUGCGCCCCCACUCGAUCUGCGAGACUCGCUUUUUAUUUGUGAAAAAUUAAUUUUUGGAAAAAAAGUUGGAGUCGCCACUUUUUUUAUUUUUAUUUUAAAGGGAAAAUAAAACAAGAAAGAAAAACCCUAAAUGUGACUCCAUAAUUUUUGGAAAAAGCAUGUCUUCGAAAAACCCGAGUCUAAGUCCGGGGAUCAGGUUACCUAUUGGGAAGGUACCUUUAAAAGGUAGCACCCCUCUAAGCCCUAAAAAGGUCUCUAUUGACAAAGUUAAGGGGAGUGUGGCAAUUAAUCAGUUAAUUAUAGAUACCUAAGUAGGCUAGGUGAUUCCAAAAAUAGCAUGCCAAACAAGAUCAAAUCACAAUAAAGGAAGGUUAGGGUACGUACCCGGACCGCUUCUCAAGCGCUAUCAUAAAACAUAAGAGAUUAGUUUGGAAAUAUAACACAUAAUAUGUAUUUUAUCAAAGAUGAUCAAACAUCAAGACAAUCAAUUAUGGCAUUAGACAUGGUCAUGAUUCAUGAUAACAUAUAGAAUUUUAGAGUUGAAGGGUAGAAGGAGCGUACCCGUUUAGCGAGCAUCCACACGUCUAUGGGAACAAGGGUAUCUCAACAAUAGAUAUAAAGUGAAUUCAAGUAUUGCAUCAAGAAGAAAAAAAAUCAACAUAUCAAGCAAACAGUAUUGAAGUGAGUGUUAUGAAUGUUGGGCCCCCACCAAAGCCCUAAUUAAUUUCGCAUGAGUUGAUCCCAUAAAUUCCAUGACUUGAAAUUAUGGAGUUUGUUCGUGCUUAAGAAAAUCGAGAAAAAUCAAGAAGAUCGGUUGAAAAUCAAAUAAAAUAGUGAAAGCGCAUGCCAGAAGAAAAAUGGCAGCAAGAGUAUGUUAGAAUAUGGAUUUUAUACCUAGAAAGGAUCUAAGAUGAAUUUUUCAAAGCCAGGAAUGUUUAGUUGAACAAUGAUUAAAAAAUUCAAUUUAAAAAAAUAAGUUCCCAAUCAAGGAAGCAAAUAGAGGAGAAGAUGUGUAUAGCAAGGUUGCCAUGAAGUGAAGCCAGGGAAAUUUUGGAUAGAAGGGACCAAUUCACUGCAAGAGCGUUCAACUGUCAAAUGCUUCAACGAGCCAAGCUAUCCAGGUGGAGUGUUAAUCGUUGGCCACAAAUGCUAUCCGAAUAAGCGUUAUCGAAGGAUCCGGACAUGUCUGUCCAGGGGAAGUUGAAUCGUCCUCAUCUCCCAUCUGGUGGCAGGCGCCGGAUGUGAAAUAUCUGGAGAAGGUGGAACGUCGGUCGGAUAGAAUUGCGGCGGUGAGAUAUCCGGAGAAAGCGGGGUGUCGGCCGGAUAGAAUGGCGGCUAUGAGACAUCCGGGUGGAAUUGGGAUGUUGGCCGGAUAGAAUGGCGGCUGUGAGACAUCCGAAGAAAGUGGGAUGUCAGCCGAAUAUAAUGGCGGCUGUGAGAUAUCCGGAGAAAGUGGGAUGUCUGCCGGAUAGAAUUGCGGCUGUGAAACAUCCGGACAAGGUAGAACGUUGGCUGGGCAGAAUUCCGGAUGUGAGACAUCCGGGUGGAAUUGGGAUGUCGGUCGGAUAGAAUUGUGGUUGUGAGAUAUCCGGAGAAAGUGGGAUGUCGGCCAGAUAGAAUUGUGGCUGUGAGAUAUCCGGAGAAAGUGGGAUGUCGGCCGGAUAGAAUUGUGGCUGUGAAACAUCCGGACAAGGUAGAACGUUGGCCGGGCAGAAUUCCGGAUGUGAGACAUCUGGGUGGAAUUGGGAUGUCUGUCGGAUAGAAUUGCGGCUGUGAGAUAUCCGGAGAAAGUGGGAUGUCGGCCGGAUAGAAUUGCGGCUGUGAAACAUCCGGACAAGGUAGAACGUUGGCCAGGCAGAAUUCCGGAUGUGAGACAUCCGGGUGGAACUAGUGAGAAUUUCCGUCCGGGUGGAAUGAGCGAUGCCACAAACCAAGAACCCUCAAGAACUAUGGUAACCUCUGCAUCUGUUUAACCCCAAGAAAAACCCGUUUUACACAGCCUUUAUCAAGUUCCCAUCUUUCUUGGAAUGCUCAUGGUCUCCAUAUCCAAGAAUACCAAGGUAAAGAGAGGAAAGAAACGUAGAUACAGAAGCACACAAAAAGACCAAGAAAGAAAAGAAAAGAAAAAACAGGGGAAAAGAAGACCACCAGUGGGUAUUUUGAAGCCAGAUUGGGACAUAAAUGGGGGCAAGACCCAUAACAUCAAAUUCAAAGGUAAACCUAUAUUCAGAUUACUUUCAGAGGAAACCAAAGACAUUAAAAGGAAUAUUAAAAUAGCAUAAACAUGCAAGUAAACCAGUCUCAACUAAUCAAAUUGUGGCCCUUGCGUCCACACCAAACGACGAGAAUGAAUCUUCAGAAAACUAAGAAGUCAGGAAAGAUUGAAACCAAAUGGUGAUAUAGCAAAAAUCUGGAAACAUACCUGCACGUUCUCCUCUCCAAUUGCUUGGUUCCAGGCUGCUGCACCUUUUCCCGACUGAAAAAUCUGCUCCCCAAACCUUUUUCCAUCCACCAAUCUUCUCCCUCUCUAUACAUGUUCCAAGUCCCUCUCUUCUAUGCUUCCUCUUCCAAACCCCUCUCCUGCCCCCCAAACCUUUUUUCGUCCGCCAAUCUUCUCCCUCUCUACACGCGUUCCAAGUCCCUCUCUUCUAUGCUUCCUCUUCCAGACCCCUCUCCUGCUUUCUUUUCUCGCUAAUGCCCCACUUGUUCUUUUUCUUUUCUCCUUAUAUUCGUAUCAGCCUCUCAAACUCAAUCUGCUCAAGAGAAUCCACUUUCCUUUCUUCUAUUUCCCUUCAUUUUUUCAAAAAUCAAAAUGCUUCUCUCUUCUCAUGCAGGAUCUUCUCUUUCCAUAUGUAUGCAGCCACAUUAAUUCCUUUUUCCUCACAAAAUAUUUCUCUUACCUUUUUGAGUGCACAUACCUUAGUGAGAGUUGAAUAGCAACCCCUAUUCUCUUAUCAAGUCAUACAAAAAAGUGGGUCUAAAAGUGCCUACUGGGCCAAGUGUGUCUAAGUGGGCCUAGAGCGAUGCCUAAUGGGCCAAGUGUACCUAAAAGCUAUCCUAAAAAUAAACGAGAAAGCUUAAGUCUAAAUUAGGGCUGCCAAGAGUCACAAUAAGGGGUUAGAUAAUCCCUCAACCAAAAUCUCCGAGGUGACUCAGAAAAAGGUAAGUUGUACGAGUAGUAAUAGGCCACCAAGGAACUACCGUGGAGCACUGGAAGUGAAUUUAAAGACAUGUGCUAAAGGGACAAAAUUGAGGGUCUACACAUUAUUCAAGGUAGGCAUAUUUUCGAUGUUGCCCUUAUAGCAAAUGAGGUUGUGGAUUCUAAGUUAAAGGUCAACAUUCCUGGCCUUCUCCUAAAAUUGGACAUUGAAAAGGUGUUUGACCAUGUCAAUUGGGACUAUCUUCUUUUUAUUAUGGCUAAAAUGGGGUUUGGGGAAAGAUGGAUUAGCUAGAUUAGUUAGUGUAUUUCCAUUGCUAGCUUCAGUUUUAAUCAACAGAACUCCAUUCGGCUUUUUCCAUAACACUAGAGGCUUGAGACAAGGGGACCCGUUAUCUCCCUAUUUUUUCAUUUUGGUCAUGGAGACUCUCAAUCAAUUGCUAUCUAGAGCCAGUUGUGGGGACUUCAUUAAGGGGUUUAAGGUGGGAAGAAGUAGUGGGAAGGGAGAGACUUGCUUCAUUUCCCAUUUGCUAAUGACACUCUAAUUUUUUGUAAUGUCAAUAGCAACCAUCUGAGAUACUUGAGUUGGGUGUUUUUGUAGUUUUAGGCAAUCUCGGAUUUAAAAGUGAAUAGAGAUAAAAGUGAGGUUAUUACCAUAAGAAGGUUAGAGUCUUGGGAGGAUGUUGCUUCGGUGAUGGGGUGUAGAGUUGGGAAGCUUCCCACUUCUUAUUUGGGACUCUUUUUGGGUGCCUUUUUCAAGUCUUCAAGGGUAUAGGAUGCAAUGGAUGAGAGAUUUAGAAAAAAAUUGUCUCUAUGGAAGAGGCACUAUCUCUCUAAGGGGGGAAGGCUCACCUUGAUAAAAAGCACUCUAUGAGGUCUUCAAAUUUAUUUCCUUUCUCUCUUUGUUAUUCUGCGGAAGGCGUGUGUAAGACUUGAAAAGAUUCAAAGGGACUUUUUGUGGGGCGGUGGUGUCUUAGAGAAAAAACCCCACUUGGUGAAUUGGAGCUUGGUUUGUACUUAUAAAAGGAGGGGGGCUUGGGAAUUUGUAGACUUGUGGUUCUAAACAAAGCCUUACUUGGGAAGCGGAGUUAGAGAUUUGCAGUAAAGAGUGAUACCUUUUGGAAACAAGUCAUAAUCAACAAAUUUGGGUUAGAGGAAAGAGAGUGGUGUUCGAGAGUAGCAGGGAGAGGCUACGGUGUGGGGGUGUGGAAAGCCAUUAGAAAAGAAUGGAAGAGUAUUUGUUGCAGAUAUCGCUUUAUUGUUGAGAAUGGGAAGAAGGUCAAAUUUUGGAAGGACUUGUGAUGUGAGGACUAAACAUUGAAAGAAGUUUUCCUUAACUUAUACUGGUUGGCUGUUAAUAAAGAUGAGUGGGUGUCAAAUGUUUGGGAAGGGAGUGAGGAGUUGGGUUGUUGGAAUCCUCACUUCCCCAGGCAUUUUAAUGAUUGGGAAUUGGAGAAAGUGGAGGGUUUGUUCCUGAAACGGCAUCCUUUGGUAGUGAGAAGAGAAGUGGGGGAUGUAUUGAGUUGGAAAGAAAGUAGGGAUGACAUUUUCUCUGUUAGAUCCCUCUACCAUUCCUUCACAAGGGCCUCUAGUGAUCCUUUUCCUUAGGAUAUUAUUUGGAGGUCUUGGACUCCAAUGAGAGUACACUUUUUUUCUUAGGAAGCAUCUUGGAACAAAAUUUUAACCCCUUGAUCAGUUCAAAAGAAGGGGAUAGAAUAUGCCGAAUAGGUGCUACUUGUGUAACGAGAAAGAGGACACUAACAAUAAUUUAAUCUUAUUUUGUGAAAAAAUUACAAUGCUUUGGAGUUUGAUUUUCUCCAUUUUUGGUGUGUAGUGGGUUUUGCAUUCUUCAAUUAAAAGGAAUUUGCUUAAUUUGCAUGAUGUCUUUGUGGGUAAGAAGAGGGAGAAGGCUUGGAAGGCUGCCCCUUUAUGUUUAAUGUGCACCUUAUGAAAGGAAAGAAAUGAAAGAGCGUUCAAUGAUAUCGAACAAUCAAACCAAGCUAUAAAACAUUCAUUUUUGUAUACUCUUGUAAAUUAGGUUAGGGUAUUUAUAGAGGAUCAUACUUUGUCUAUGAUUGAUUUUAUAAAUUGACUAUGUCUAGUUAGGAGAAGGUUUUUUGGCUUCUUUGCCUAAUUUCUUGGGCGUUCUGAUUGUAUACUUCAUUUGUACUUUUUUUUUGCCACUUCUAGGCGUUUCUAAUACAAGCUUUAUUUACCUAUAUAUAUAAAAAAAAAUGCUUCCACUCCUUUGCCUUGCUUUUGAAGUAAACUAGUUUUAUUUUGACCAAUUAAUGUCACACGGCUUUUAUCUUACCUUCUAUCCUUCAAGCUUUUGAAGCAAAUAGUUUGACCAAUGUCACACGACUUUGACCAUCUCUUCCAGCCUUCAUUGUGCUCUCGUCCACCUAAAAAUGGGAGCAUUUUCUUUACCUGUUGUAGAAGCAACUUAUUCCCCUCGUUUACUGCAAGUUUUGUAGUAAAAAAGCAUCAUCACCAAACACUUGUCACUGUUUUUAGUUAUUACUAUUGGUCAUGAUUCUCUUGUGUUUAGAUUUCUUAGUCGUAUUCUUCAGUUAUUAUUAUUAUUAUCUGUUUGUUCAUGAAAUAUUCAUCUGUAAUAUCUAAUAUUAUUUUAAUAGAUUGAUCAAAGCACCUUUUUUCUGCAAGUUAAUUAUUUGAAGUUACAGUUGAAGUCUUUAUAACUUACAUCUCUUCGUCUCUCUGCUUCUCGAUAAUGACUUCUUCUGUUUUUUUUCCUUCUCCUUCUUCCUCAUCUCUCUACUUAUUGACAAUGGCUAUAUAGCUCACAUCUCUUCAUCCCUCCACUUUUCCACGAUGGUUUUUUCUUAACUCAACUCCCUUCAUCUCUCUUUCUCAACAAUGGCUUCUUCUUCUUCUCGACAAUAACUUUAUAACUCGUAUCUCUCUACUUCUCAAUAAUGGCUUCUUCUUCUUUACUCAAAUCUCUUCAUCUCUCUCCUUCUUGACGAUGGCUUUUUCUUCUCAAUAAUGGCUUUAUAAUUCAAAUCUCUUCAUUUCUCUACUAAAUUCCUGAUAAUGGUUUUUUCUUAACUUAAAGCUUUUCAUUUCUCUCCUUAUCGACAAUGUCUUCUUCUUCUUAACUCAAAUCUCUUCAUCUCUCUACUUCUCGUAAUGACGUUUUCUUAACUCAAAUUAUCUUCAUCUCUCUCUUUCUCCUAACUCAAAUCUCUUCAUCUCUUUCCAUCUCGACAAUGGCUUCUUCUUCUUCUUCUUCUUCUUCUUCUUCUUCUUCUUCUUCUUCUUCCCACUAUGAUGUCUUUCUCAGUUUUAGAGGUGAAGACACUCGUAAUUCCUUCACUGCUCAUCUCUAUAGGCAGUUGUGCCAGAAGGGAAUCAACGUUUUUAUAGAUGAUGAGAAGCUUAAGGGAGGGCAAGCCAUAACCCCUGCACUUGUUACAGCUAUCGAGAACUCCACUGCUUAUGUCGUUCUUUUAUCAGAAAAUUAUGCGUCAUCUAGCUGGUGUCUAGAGGAGCUUGUGAAUGAGUGCAGGAGAACAAAGGGACAGAGGGUUCUUCCAAUUUUCUAUAAGAUCGAUCCAUCAGAUGUGGGGAAUCAAAGGGGGAAAUUUGGAGAAGCCUUGGCUAAACAUGAAAAGAAUUUGGAGGGUAGGGAGAUAGUGCGGAUUUGGAGGGAUGCUCUUACUAAAGUUGCCAAUUUAUUUGGUUGGGAUUCAAGGAAUUGGUAAGUUUUUAAACCCUGCAUGUAUUUUUAAUAUGUUUCUAUUAUUAUUAUUAUUAUUAUCAUCAUUAUUAUUAAAAUGAAAAUUGGUUAAGGAAAUAUUAUGAAUGUAUUAUGAUUGUCCACUUAGACUUAAAUAUAGACUUUCAUAAUUAUAGAAUUACAUCUAUUAUGUGAAACCUUUUAUCUUUAAGUCCAAUCUAAAAUUUAAAAUAGAAUAUGAAGAUUUAGAUACUUAGGUGGUGUUUGUUUUUUUACUCUAACUCUAAAUAGAACUUUAAUGCUUAGAGUGCAUUUUGUAGUGAUUUUAGGAAGUGUUUUUACUUUUUUCAACACUCAAAAUUUUUUAUCUUUCAAAUAUCAAAAAUACUAAAAACAUUUCUUAAAAUCACGGUCAAAUGCACUCUUAAUAAUGUUAAGUAUUAGACUAUUUAUUUUUGUAAUAUUUUAUAUCUAUUAAAUAUUAAAAAGUAAAGAAAAAUCAAUAUGAUACUUUUUCUAUUUUUAAAAAAUUAAAUAUAUUGGUUUUUGUACCUAACAAAAUGUUUAUAAUAAGUUAUAAAAAGUAAAAAAAAAAAAAACAAUUUAAAAUUAGAAAGAAAAUUAUUUUUAGCAAAAAAUUAAAAAACCAAACACUCUCUUAGAGUUGGCAUAAGUCAAACUCCUUUUUGAAUGUUUUAUUUAAACAGUGAUUAGUAAAUUUCUAAACUUGUUUCCUUCCCGAAAAAUAAGGAAAAGAAAAAAUUACUAAAGAAAAUUGCAAUACUAGCGGUCACCAUUUAAACCAACGGAUCAUGCCUAUUAUUCUUUGUUCUGCAAUCAUGGCAGGAAUGAGGCUAAGCUUAUUGAGAAAAUUGUCCAGAGCAUUUUGGAAGGCAUGGACGAGCCUUUGAGAAAAUCAAUUGAUGAUGGUAGGGACCCAGUGGUACGAUUUUUUUAAGAAAAUGAGCGAAUUUAUUCUGAGAACUUUGAUACAAUCGACUAGUAGAAUAACGGCUCGUACUCAAUUAACUAGUCGCCAUGGUAGUGAUAUCGUGAGAAAUUUGAUACAGUAGCUAAUUCAAUAAGGGCUUCUAUACAAUCAGCUAAUCCCAAUGAUAUCAUGAAAGAUUUGAUAAAAUUAACUGCUGAAAUAAGGGCUCUUAUAGAAUUAAUUGGUCCUGAUGAUGAUGCUAUCGUGAGAGAUUUGACACAAUUAGCUAGUGAAGUAAGUGCUCUUAUGAAAUUAAUUGGUCCCCUCGAUGAUGCUGUCGUGAGAGAUUUGAUGCGAUUAGCUAGUGAAGCGGAGGCUCGUAUACUAUCAAUUAUUCCCAAUGAUAAUGGUAUCAUGAGACGUUUUGUAGGUGAAACUCAUCAGGUACCUUCGCGAGCAGACAAAAGGCUUCAAAGGCGCAUGGAGCAAGUGCGUUCCAUCUCUUCUGACCAUGUUGGAGAAGAUUUGAAGAGACAAGGAAAACUUCUUUCAAAAGUAUCAGGGUGUAAAAAUCUAGGUUUGAAAUUCCUAUAAGGGCAAGUUUUCUGGGUUUAACACGGAGCACUACGAUAAAGGCAAGACUUCGUGCCAAACAAGUCCUUAUUGUUCUUCACUACGUGAAUGAUUCAGUAGUCAGCAACUAUGCCAAUGCCUCCAUAUUGAUUUUAAUACUAGAUUCUUGGAAUCUCCUGUAUGUGCUGCUUUUGCAGUCCUGUGAUGAUGUGUUUCAUGGCAGCCCUGCUACAAUAUUUUGUGAAUCGAAGUUGAGUGAUCUUCGUUCCUGUGAGGUGGCCGCAUUGGCAAUCCACUGAACUGGGGUGAUGGAGGUCGUUCUAGCGGAAGUGGUAGGAGAAGAAGCAGGAAAGGGAAAAACCCUAAGAAUGGAAGAUUUUGAAGAUAGGAGGUGAUAGAUAAGGACUGACUCCCACUGCUUGCCAAGGAGCUGAAGCUUUUGAAUUAAAAGGCAUUUUCUUGUAAUAUAAUAGUAUGUUCUUGGACUGAUUUACAUGCUCUAUUUUGACUUCAUCUGCACGGUUCUAAUCAAUAUUAAAAACUUGAAUAUUGUUUUAUUCUAUAAUUAGCUUCUUUUAUUUAUGAUCAUAUUCACUUAAGUACUACUUUAUUCUCUUAUUCAUGUUCACAUAUUAGUAUUCAUAAGAUUGAAAGGAUCCACUUGAUAGUUUUAUUAGUAUAAGGAAAGUCGCAUUGUUCUCCCAUGUCUUGAAAAAUCAUUUGUAUUACUUCCUAAAAAAGCACUUGAUAGACGAUUCUCUGAAAAAUACUUUCAUUAAAAGCACUUUAGAUAAAAAUACUAUUAAUUAAUCGCACUUUACAUGAAUUUGUGGUUCUAUGGAAAAAUAUAUCCAUGUAUAUUAGAACAAGCAUAAUUAUGAUGCAUAUUAAAAGAAAGGCAUGUUUCCACAGUAGUGGAGAAGAAAGGAAAAGUAGUUUGUAUUUUCUUAAAGGAUUCGUGUGAGCAAGUUGUCCACCAAACCUUAUAAAAAAAUGGUUAAAAUAAAAGUCAUUUAAGAAAAAUAGUUUAUUUCUAAAUAUGCUUUCAUGAGUAAAAGUAGUUUGUAUUUUCCUAAAAGAUGCAUAUGUGAGCAAGUUGUCCACUCAACCUUAUAAAAAACGGUUAACAUAAAAGUACCUUAUAUCAAAAGAUGCCUUCACGAGGAAAAGUAGUUUGUUUUUACCUAAAAGAUCCUCUCCUAUUGUUAGAAGAUUCUUAAAAUAAAAAAAUCCUCCACGAAGUUGCUUCUCACUACCGGGCAACCUCCUCUCAUCUUGUUUUAGUUGUUUCAAGCUCUUGUUAGAAGAUUAUUAAAAUUAUCUUUCUUUAAUAUUGCUGCUCAUGAAUGGAACCUACCAAAAGACUUGUGUGUGGACAAUAUAUUUGUUGUUUUAGGAUUUCUUUUUAAUGAUGAAGCAUUUUCUCAAACCUUGGAAUCAAUCGAGCUAGCCUAGUAUGAAGUCUAAAAAAAUUUGAACAAGCAUAAAUUCUACUUUAACCUAAGGUUGGUUAGGGAAUGCUUGGGUCCUUGUUUUAACCAUCUACAACCUUCAAAAAACAAAUUUGAUAUCAUUCAUUUCAAUUCCUAAUGUCCUCAUGUUUACUCACUUUUUUUUACCAAUCCUACUAUAUAUAUACCCAAGUUGAAAAAGUCCAAACUAACUUGCUAUUGACCUAGGUACCUUUUCAAAAUAUUGGUCCUUAUUUCUCAUUCUAUAAUUAUUAAGGAAAAUAAUUAAAAAUAUGUACAAAAUCAAAAUCAAUCAUGACAUAAUAGAAAUUAUAAAGAACAUGUACACAAUCAAAUGCAUAAUGAAAAAAAAAACUCACUCCAAUUUGCAUUUUAAAAAAUAAGUUAAUUUCAUUCACCUCAUCCAAAGUUUUCACUAAAUACACCUAACCUCUAUCGAUUUGAAAUUUCAUCAAGUUUUCAUAAAUCAACACCCUCUCCAUGUUCCUCAAGUUUUCUUCAUGUUUAGUCAAUGCUUCUCCAAAAUUUCCAUUUGUGAUAUCUUACAUGUGAGGGAUCCACAUUGUAGAAAAUAGGGAGAACCCUCUGUCCCUUGGUUCUCAUGCACUCUAGAAUCUUCACCAGCUCCUCCAAACACCACCUGGAAGAAGCAUAAUUUUCUGACAAAAUGAUGACAGAAAACUUGGAGUUUUCAACAUGGUUUUGAAAACCGAAUCGGACUGGCCGGUCAUGGUUUCGGUCCAAUCAGGUCAUGAAUUAGACCGGAAAUAGGUUGAACUAGGAUCGAACCUAUUGAACUGGUGGUCCGACCAGUUCACCGGACAAACCGGUCUGUUCGAUUAAAAUUUUUUUUUUUUUCAGCAUCAAAACGAUGUCGUUUUGAUGUUUCUGGAGUCAAAACGAUGUCAUUUUGGAGGACCUUCUUCCAAACCCUCCAUCUCCGACAAUUGCCGCCCACCCCCAACGCGCUGCAACAGGCUCCCACCAUCAGCCAUUUCACCUCAAUGGCAACCAAAGCUCUACUUCCUCCUCCAACAAUGGCAGCAAGAGCAUCAAGUUCCUCAAGAAGACUCUCUCCUGCACAGACACUAGUUCAAUGCUUUCUACUGAGGUCGUCCCAAAAGGGUUUCUGGCCGUGUGUGUUGGGAAGGAGCUGAAGAGGUUCAUCAUCCUGACAGAGUAUCUGGGUCACCAAGCAUUUGGGGUUCUGCUGAGGGAAGCCGAAGGAGAAUUCGGGUUUCAGCAGGAGGGUGUGCUCAAGAUCCCAUGUGAAGUGGCUGUGUUUGAGAGGAUCUUGAAGGUGGUGGAAGAGAAGAGAGAUGUGUCCUUCUUGUAUGAGUUUGGAUUGAAUGCGGAGAAGGAGAUGAUUGGUUGUUGUUCAUCCUCAGAUUGUGAGCUCACACCUUCUCACCAUCCUCAAAUGAGUAGGUGAUCAGAAGAUGAGAAGAUCAGAUCAUAUCAGAUUUCCUCAAAUUGUUGCUUGUCCCACCCAAUUAGUGAUUUAAAUUUCAAUUUGUAAUAAUAAAUUGGCCGAGAAGAAAAGAAAUAGGCACCGGUUGUAGAUCGCACAACCCCCCUCCCCGACUAGUGGUAGUAGCUGCUCCAACGAUUUAUUUUUAUAUAAUUUUUUUUUUAUGUUUUAUUACUUUUAUAUUUAUUAUUUAAUGUGUUAUUUUUAUUUAUUGAUCAUAAUUUUGAUAGAUAUCAUAAAAAUUUAGAUAGAAUUUAUUUUUUUAUUUUUUUUAUUUUAAUAAUAUAUAAAAUGAUAAAAUAUAAAUUUAUGACGUCACCGAUUCGACCGUCGGUCCAAUCAGUGAACUGUGAACCGGGAACUUUUCCGGUUCAAUGACCGGUCCGAUUAUAAAAACAUUGAUUUUCAAUAGCCACAACAAGCGCAGAAGCUAUGACAUCACCCCUCUCAAGCUUGUCAUUGUCGAUGAAAGUGUCGACUCCUUUGGUGCAUAGCUCCUUAUAGAGAUGGGCAGUGAAGCUAUUGCAGGUGUCUUAUCCUCUAAAGCUCCGGAAACAUAUCAUAACUAUUAGAAUUUUUGGGUUGUGUAUUAAUGGUGUUACUGACAAGUUUUUGAAGAGUGAUGGAUGUUGGGUUAUUGUUGCUGGUUUAUGCUUCUAAUUUGCUAUGAAUAUCUAUACCUACAUACUUACAUUCAGUUCAUAAAUGCAGUUUCUUCUUUUAUUCUACAGAAAGGUUGCAGUCUUAUAUGUAGUUCUAAGUGUGGUUGUGAGUUUAAACCAGCCAUGAUUCAAAUUAUUUGAUACUUUCUUUUCAGGGAACACACUAUCCAAACUAUUUUCGUAACUUCAAAAAUAUGAGUAAAAUUGGGCUACAGCCAAUAAAACUGAAUGAAUUUCUCAAAUUAAAUCAGAAGUAAACAAGCUUAUAAAGUCAUCUUCAUAGAGAGUAGAUGACAAUUGGAGACUCUUCAUUCUCAAAGUUUUUGAACAUCAUGAAAAAUUAUUCUUGGAAAAUCACUAGUGGAAUGCGAUGACCAGGUCAAAUGCUCACUACCAAUCAAAUAAAAAAUUCAGGAACCAAAAAUACAAAUUCUACUUUGCCUUAUUCUAAAACCUAAUUCAUUAGGUACGUUAUAAUUAUCAAAGGCAUUAAAAUCAAUACCAGCAGGGUUCGAAUCAUAUACUCAGAAAAAUGGUGACAAAUAGUUUAAUGAUAUAUGCAUUGUAUAAAAGUUUUAAUAAGUUUCUACCCAAUUUAUCACAUAAAAGAAACCAACUAGGUUCAUAAAUAACAUCAGACAAGUAUAUAAAAUAAUUCAUAAGAAAGCAAGAUUCCAAGCUCCUGGAAUCGCUGCAUUUGCAAAGGAGUUGCUCUGCAGAAAGCAAGAAAAUUAACUCCCUCCAUGGAAAUUCUGAUUCUGGCCUCUGCAAAAGAGGAACAGCUUGUCACAUGGUGUAACUCAAGAUUCUUAUCAUUUCCACCCAAAGAAAGUUUUGAAUGUUACAAUUUGCCAUGAUUGUCAAACUCGUGUUAAACAAAAUGUAGAAGAACCGGAUUUUAUGACUCAAACAUCAUAAAUGUUAGCAAAUGUUCCUGCAGUUUUUAUCCUAGUACUCAACAUCAUAAGUUUCUAAUGCUUAUAACACAAGCAAAACUACUACUAUUAAAAUUGAAUCAUUCACAGUCAGAAAAGAAGUAUGCUGGGUGAUUCAUCAGGCAACUUGCAUUCAUCACCCAACACCAACUUUGCUUCAUUUUCUUAAUCAAACUCCCCAUAUUCGCCACCAAGUGCUAAAUAAAACUCAACACUGUCAACAACUAAUUUUGAAGGCUUAAUAACAAAUUUCAGCAUAAUCAAAGGUCAGAUUCAAACAAAAAUAUCUGCCUAAAAUAUCAAAGAAUACAAGAAAAAAUGACAAAGAGAAUUUCAGUUGCUUCAAUCAAUAUAUCUCAAUAAGAGAAAAGUUGAUGACUCACCGAAAAGUCAGACAGAGAUAUAAUAUAUAGACAUGAUUGGAGGAGUUCGCUGAGAAUUAUUGACGAAAAAUAUCAUCACUGAUUUUGAGAAUGCAUGACCAAAUCAACAGAAAAGAGAAUUUUAUUGGAAAAAAGACCUGGAUGAUGGUAGUCAUUCUUGAGGACGUUUGCGCUUGAGCUUGAGCGUGGGAUCAUUGGUGGGUCCAUCACUGCAGCCACUAGAACUAGAGUCCAUUCCACUUCGAUUGAGUCCUGCUCUGUCACUGCUUCUCUCAACUACAUUACACCCCCUACUCUUAAGCUGUUUUCUAUUUUGUGGAUGGAUUCCUUCAAGAUCUUCUGCAUAUAUAAGACAUACGCCACACUUCUUCACCACAUUGGAUGCACUUGAGUUGAAUCUGUGGGCUGCUUCAAAAGAAAUCUCAAUGUGAUUCCACUCAUUGGGGUCAUUGAAUUGAAACAACCUCAACUGGGAACACGGUUGAUAACCCAGCCAGACAUGUUCUGACCCAACAAUGUUGCCUGUCCAAUGGAAAUCAUGGCCGAAGUCUUUCAAGUCCCCAUAAUUAAAAACAUCAGAAUUCAAAUGGCAUAUAAUUCUCUCAGGAAGAUGUUCAAGAACAGAGCAGAGAGCAAAUCCCAAGAAGUCAUCACUAUACCAAUUUGUAGGUAGCUGAAUUUUUAUAGAAGAUCCCACAUUCUGAUGCCAGAUCCACUCAGGAAUCCCAGUGCCAGGAAAAACAAUACUAAAUGCAAUAUUUUCAAGCAAUUUCUGCAUCAUAACAGGUGAAGUAGUCACAGAGGAAUCAGAAGCAGUGGAAGACACAUAAAUAUGUGGAAAUAUUUGUAAUUCUGUCCUCUUAUCAUCACUGGAUUGGUCCUCAACUGGUUUGGAGCAAUUAUAGAAUAGGAACUGUAGCCCUUGCAAUGUGCUUACACUUGAUGAGCCUGGCAAAAGAGACGUGCAAUUGUGUGCAUCUAUGUCUCGGACACUUGGUGGAAGCUCCGGAAUUCCUGUGAGACUCUGGCACUGCGCCAAUCGAAGGUCUUUUAGGUUUGUAAGUUCACUGAUGCCAGCAGGUAUGCUUAGAAAAUUGUUCCGGCUUAGAUCUAAUUUCUUCAAUGAGAUUAAGGAGCAAAUACCGUUGGGGAUUGCUCCUUCUAUUAGUUUGCAGUCACUUAUGUCUAAAUUUGAUAAGGACCUGAAACUAGAAAAACUAGAAGGCAAGCGCAAACCAAUCCCAUUUGAACUGUUUCCAUGCAAUAACCAGAAUGAAAAGAGCGAACCCAAUGAGGUAGGUGCUAAUAUUUUACAUCCAGGAUAGAUCAAUACUUGCAGGUUUCUCAAAAGAACAAUUGAGUCAGGAGGUUGUGCUAUAGCAGUUCCAUCUGCAUGGAGCUGUGCUAGACGUUGCAGGCUCCCGAGGUUCCUCGGCAAAUUGUUUAAUUAUGAACAACCAGAGACAAUGAGUGUUUCAAGAGAUGUCAAAUUACACAUGCCGUUUGAAAGACUCAGAAGGUUUUUGCAUUUCCUCAGAUUCAAUAGAACGAGGCCUUUGAGACGUUCAAUUGAUGAGGGUAGCACUUCGAUAGGUGUCCCAUCUAAAAGAAGCUCUUUCAAAUUGUCCAUAUUCUCCGUCACUUCUGGAAAACUUUCAAGUUGUGAACAUCCAGAAAGAGAGAGAUUUUCAAGGGAUUUCAACUUACAAAUACUUGUCGGAAGACUCUUAAGAUUUUUGCACCAUUUCAGAUCCAAUAAAACAAGUCCAGUGAGAUGCCCAAUUGAGGAGGGAAGUUCCUCAAUAGCAGUUGAAGCUAAAUAAAGCUCCAAUAAAUUUUCCAUGUUACCUUGAAUAUUUGGAAACUUCUUGAGCCCUGAGCAGCCAGAGAAAUUGAGAAUUUCAAGCGCUUUCAUGUCGAUGAUGCUUGGAAAACAAAUAAGCUUUUUGCAAUUUUUCAAAUUCAAUAAAAUAAGCUUGUUCAGCUUUCCAAUAGAUGGGUGAACCUCAAGCAAACUUGAACAACCAUCAAGAAUUAGUUUCUCCAGAUUGGGCGCACUCACUGUGAUGUCUGGAAUUUCAAUGAGGUGUUGAGAGCAACUAACUCUUAUAGUAUUUAACUUUUCAAGAAGCUGUAACAGGAAAAAAAAAAAAAAUUACUUUGAUAUAUUUGCUUUCAUGGACUUUAGAGUUUAACCAAAGAAGAAAUAUGAAUAAAUAAUCAAUCAUCAUACCAAGUCACCUUCCCAAAGUCGUUUUAAGCUGCUAUAACACAUGUCAAGUUCAACAAGGUCCUCUGCAUAAAAUCCUAAUGGCAAAGAUUCCAAAGGAUAACCAUGCCAAUGGAGAUAUCUUAGCUCAUGAGAAGGGAAUUCAAAGUCUUUAGAUAGCUUUACUUUAUUAUCCUCCCUCGUAGAAGCAGAUUCUAGAUCCCAAUGGAUUUUGAGUAGUCUAAGAUUCUUCAUCAUUGCAAAAGCUUCAGUAGUAAUAUGUAUCCGCGUCAAUCUAGACAAGUUCAGAAGUAUGCCUUCAAUUGCCUUUGUUCCCUGGUAAACAAGAGUAGAUGAUGAGUAGAGCAAAAUACAUAGAAGUUAAAUAAGACAUGUAACUUAAACAAAAAUGAUAUUGUUGAAGCUUAGGUAUUUUGAAUAACCUUAAACAUGAAAGUAUAUUCAUUUGCAUUUUCUCUUACCAUUUUUCUUGUCAAUACACGAUUUACAACCUCAGGAUAGCACAAUCUGCUCCAUUUUCCAGGGUCUCUAGGACAUUCUUGUCGAACAAUUUCUCGUCCCAUUUGUUGUAACAAAUCAUGCAUCCAUAUCUUGUUGUCUAAAAUAGUUACAAAGCACUUAUCACCAAGGACUCCUAUUCCACUCUCCGCAUAGAAGUUGCAAGCAUCUAGGAUUCUAGUAACAAAAUCUUUCUCCUCUCCAUUAAAGAAGCAAGCAAUAUCUAAGAAUAUCUGUUGUUGUGUGUCAUCUAAUUCAUCAUAACUUCUCUUAAGCACACGUUGGAUUUCUUGGUUAGGUUCCCUCUGCAGUUUUUGCAAUUCACUUUCCCAUUGACGUACUGUCUUGCCAUAUAGGAAACAACCCAAAAUCUUAAGACCUAGCGGAAGACCAUUAACAUAAUGUACAACAGAGUUUGAAAGUGUUUCAUAGUCUUCUUUGGGAUGGUUCUGUUUAAAUGCAUUCCAACAAAAGAGUUCAAUAGCUUCCUUGUGAUCUAAUUUCUUAGCCUCAUAUAAUGCAUCCAUUCCAUGCAGCUCCAACAAAUGCUUAUCUCUAGUUGUUACAAUAAUUCUACUUCCUGGACCAAACCAACUAUGGUCACCAGCUAAGGCUUCCAAUUGGUUCAAAUCGUCAACGUCAUCAAGAACAAGAAGAACCUUUUUAAAGCAUAGUCUGUCUUUUAUCAUAUGGACCCCUUCAUCAACAUUCCUUAUAAAGUUCUUCCUUCUUGGCAAGAUAUCAUGAAGAAGUUGUUUUUGUAAAUAAAGUAGACCUCGACUUUUAGAAUCCUCUCUAACAUUAGCAAUAAAGCUAGCAAUCAUGAACUGGGCACCAAUUCGGUUGUAUAAAACUUUGGCCAUGGUUGUCUUACCAAUUCCUCCAAAUCCAUAGAUCCCAACCAUGCGAACAUCAUUUGAUAAUGGAUCUAUUAUUUGUGGAAAAAUUUCUUCCAUUUCUUCCAAACGAUAAUCCAUCCCGAUGAGGUUCUUGUCAACCUGUAAGAGUUUCUGACUAAAUUUCAUCAAAAUAACGCAAGUGAUAUCCUCAAUAAAAUCUGCCUCAGACUUGCUGCCAGAAAGCACAUACAUAGGUGAGCUAACAGAGCAACAAAUGGUAGAAAACAUGAAGUAAACUUGAUUAUGCUUGGUUUAGUACAAAACAUGAAUUAUGGGCAAUUAGAAUUUGUUAAGGGGAUAAGGAUGAAUUAAUUAGAUGUUUCAAGCACCAUUAGAACACUAUAAGAAGAAGAAAGAAAAAAACCUUCUAAAUGUUGCCCUUUAUUUCAUCUUUGCUAACCUCUACCUAUACUGGAAGAUUACUCAACUCCCUUCUUAGAUGAUGUUGGCCUUUAUUUUAAACUUUACACUCUUCCUUUCAUAAGCUUUUUUUUCAUUAGGUCUAUCCUAAGUUAGCAUUUGUAUGUAUCAGAAAACACUAAAAAAUCAAGAAUAGUUGUUUGCCCAUACUAACAUAUUAACCUUAUAAAAGAAUGGAAAGAAAUAGGAAAUCAAUUAAAUUUUAGAUGGGCUUUGAUAGAUCAAUUUAAUGACUUGAUAACUUAAUUUAAGUCAUUAAUAGAUUAAGUAUGUUUAGCAAAAUAACUUAAUAUUAUAAUUUAAAGUAAAAAAUAAUUUUAAAUAUUAAGUCAAAUUAGGUUCUUUAUAAUCUGCAAUCCCUUUUACCUCAUGUCCUCAUGUUUAGUGAGAGUACUACACAAUCAUAACUCCACAUUCACAACCCAUCUUUUAUAGUAAAUAUUUUUUAACCAUUCUAGAUAUCUACAAUAUAUGUUUAACAAAUAAAUUUAUUAUUUAAGAUUAGUCAAAGUAAAUAGGAGUUAAAAUUAGUGAGAGUAAAUAUGAGUUAAUUUGAUGAUUUAGAAUAAAUUUUAAAUUAACUUUAUCAAACAACCUUAAUACUUAAAGUGAAAAUUAAGUAAUAUAUUUUAAGUUAACAACUUAAGAAUAAUUUAAUACUAAUUCCGUCUAAUCUACUCUAUCUAUCGGAAUUCUCCAUAUUAUAAAUUCACUUUAUUUUUUAGGAUAAGAUGCAUGUGCUGAUUAUAAAUUCUAGUAGAUUUCUGAUUUAUCAUUAUGUAUAGAAAGAUAAAAGGAUACUUGCAAAAGAUUAUGCGGAUCGAACAAGCUAUAUUUACCCAUUCUGUAUAUGCCAUCCAGAAAGAUUGCCCACUUCCCUCAAAGCUGCUCUCAACUUCUGUGUAUACUCCAGAGGAAUUUUUCUUUCAUGAUUGGCCAACGCUUCUCCAUAACUCUCCCCCUGAUUUCGCACAUCGGAAGGAUUCACAUGAUAGAAAACUGGAAAAACUAUUUUUCCCAUUUGUCGCCUCGACUCCAUGAUCUCCUUCAACUCGUCCAAACACCACUUGGAAUGAGCAUAGUUUUUCGAGAGAAUUACGAGAAAGCACCUUGACAUCUCAAUAGCUCUCAAAGUAGUUGGCAAAAUCAUUUCUCCCCUGAUAUAAUCCACUCUAAAGGUUCGAAACCCUUUCUGAUACAAAGCUGCAUAGAGAUGAUCUGUGAAAUUUUGUCUGGUAUCUUGACCCCGAAAACUCAAGAAAACUUCAUAUUCCCAUGGACCAAUACAAGUAGAAGUAGAAGAAGAAGACGCCCUUCGAAGAUCCAUCCCAACAAGCUUCUUCUCAACCUGUAAGAGUUCCCGGUUUAAACUCUUCCAAAUAGUGGAAGUAAUCAUCUCAAUAACAUGUGACUCGGGUCUGCAAGUGGCAAAGCAUGACACAUGGGGUGAGUCAAUGGUUGCAAACACCAGCAAAACAUGAAUUAAGUGCCCUGGAUCAUAUAUGCUUUUAGCUUUACUUAGAAAACACGAUUUAUCAUGCAAAGAAAAGAAGUUAUAGUUACCCAUUCCUUAAACACCAUCCGCUAAUCUUCGCCACAUUCCACAACGCUUCCCUCCACCUCUUUAUCUUCGACAUUCCUUCCUCGUCUGCCGUUCUUUCAUGAUCGGCUAAUGCUUCUCCAUAACUCCCCAUCUGUUUUCGCACAUUGGAGGGGUCCACCUGGUAGAAAAUCGGAAACACUAAUUGUCCCAUACACUGCUUCCACUCCAUGAUCUUUACCAGUUCAUCCAAACACCACCUAGAACGGGCAUAGUUUUUGGACAGAAUUACGACACAAAUCCUUGACUCUUCAAUAGCUUUUAAAAGUUCUGCUGCAAUCUCUUCUCCUCUUCGUAGCUCCUCAUCAUCUCUAAAGGUACGAAUCCCUUUCUGAUCCAAAGCUCUGUAGAGAUGAUCUGUAAAAUUAUGGCGAGUAUCUUCACCCAUAAAGCUCAAGAAAACAUCGUAAUUCCAUACACGAGUAGAAAUAGAAGAAGAAGAAGAAGAAGCUCUUUGACUUUGAGGGUCUGCAAAAGCCAUCCACUCUUUACUGUGAGAACUCACUCAACUUAACUUAAAUGGCAGGCAAUUUCUUCAUAAAAGGCGGAAAGAAAUGGCAGGAAAACACUGGUAGGUAGAAAGACAGCGAUGAACUCUGCCUUGGAAGGUCGGGAUGCUGUGUGCUAAAAUUGUUGUGAAGGUCUCCACUGUAUCCCGAAUCUUUUCUAUUGUUUACAAAUUAUUGUCCAUGUAUAUAUCAAAUAUAAAAAUGGAUUACAAUAUUUUUAAUUAUUAUUUUAUUUUAAAUGCAAGAAAGAAGUUUGAUUCCAGCUACCAUCCAUCCACAUACGAUGCCUAAAAAAAAAAUUGAUUGGGUUUAGCUUGACACAUGGGUCUGAACAAACCGGCUUUAGCAUUCAGGUUCUCAUGCCAUAUAUCCAUCAUCGUCUCCGAGGAAGAAAGAAAGCCAUGAAAUCUAGUUUAAAUGAAAUUAACCUUAAAGUAAGUGUUUAGUUUAGAUGUUUGCUAAAAAAUUAAUUUAAAACUUCAUCCGGUGAUAUGAAAUUUAAAUUUUAGAGUUUAUUUACAAAUUAUAAUUUAAAACCAAUUUAUUUUUAAAUAAUUCAGUUCUCUUGGGUUUUGUUUUAUAAAUUCAAUUUAUAUGACAUUAAUUUAAUUUAUAUUAUUAUUGAUUCAAUCAUGGCAGGUGGGGAUGGAGGACGAAAUUUCCUUCCAUUGACCUAAGAAAGAUUCAAGUCUUUUCCUCCCAAUAUUUAAAGACUCAUUGGGAUAUGUAGAUGACAAUGAGAAGGGAAUUAAUUGACUCAUUUUCUAAAAGGAGACACCACAAAAGCCCAAAGUUUAAAAUAAAGUAGCCUUUAUGCUGCCCAAACAAUUCACUACGUAUGACUAGCUCUUUCAACUACUACCACUAUAUGUUUUUAUCAUAAAUUAAUUUGUGGUUGAAAAAGUAUUUUAUGGUGAAAUAAUUUUUUUAUUAAAAAUUAUUAUGGUUAAAAAAAUAUUUUGGGGUAAAAAAGUCUUUUUCAUUAAAAAUUAUUUGUGGGGAUGCUUGAUAUAAGUUGGUGAGUAAUUAUUCUUAGGGUUUUGCUUUGAAAAAACUUGUGUAUAAAAUGAUUAUCUAGGAAUUAUAUUAAGUGAUUAUCUAUAUUUGUCACUUUUAAACUUUAAUAAAAAUUUAGUAAAAGAAUAGUUAUAAUUUAUUUAAUGUUACUAAAGUUAUAACUCUAAGACUGUAAAAAAAUAUUUUUGAAAUACAUUUGUGAAAGUGUUCAUUGGUAAAUUAGAAUAUAGAAUCUACUCUUAAUUUAAAAUAGUAUUAUUAAUUUCUUUGAUUGUAAUUAUAUUGUUAGUUUUUAAUUUAUAGUUGAACUUGUAUAUGCAAAGGAUUGGGUUAAACAUUGAUAGUAUUUUUUUAAUUCAUAAAUUAUUACAAUGUUAAAAUAAAUUUAAAAAUAAAUAAAUAAUGUAAAUUUUGAGGAGGGUACGAAAAAUGUGAUGAAAGUACAAAGAAUAUAAAAAUAGUAUAGGAAAUGUGAAGAAAGUACGAAGAAUUUAAGGAACGUACAAUGAAUGUAACGAGUGUAAGAAGAAUAUGAAGAAUAUACAAAAAAAAUGUGAGAAAAGAACGAAAAAUGUGAGGAAUGGAUAAAAAAUGUGAGGAAUUGAUAAAAUAAUGUGAAGAUAGUAUGAAGAAUGUGAGGAAUGUAUAAAAAAAAUGUAAGAAUGGUAUAAAAAAAUGUGAAAAUGGUAGGAAAGAAUAUGAAGUGAGUACGAAAAAUGGGAGAAAUAUACAAAAAAUGUGAGGAGUGUAAAGAUAAUAUGAGAAGGUAUAGAGAAUGUGAAAAUGACACAAAAAUGUGAGAAGAGUACUAAAAAUAUAUGGUAUGAAAAAACAAAGAGAUAUAUGUUCUUUUCUUAAAUGCGAUGUUGGAGUUAUAUUUUUUUUUAAUUAAAAUGUUUAAAAAUCUUAUAUUUGUUCUUAUCUUUUUAAAAAAUAUUUUAAUAAGAAAAAUGAUAUGGUUCAAAGCAAGCUUGAAAAUGACAUGUACAAAUUUCAAGUCUCCGAAUCAACUAAUUCUCAUUCAAAUUGUCAUUCUCAUGAGCCUUUUAAUCAUCCUAAUGUAGCAACUAAUAAUGCUAUUAUAGUACCUAUGCUACCAACUCUCCUAAAAGCAAUUGUUGUUAGGAAAGGUGUACCCUAACCUUAUAGUGCAUUCACCCAAGCGCCACACAAGGGGAAUUGAUGGAUGCAGCCAACCCUCCGAACUACUAACAAUCCCCCUCCCACCCCCAGCGACACCCCUGGGGUUCAAACCCAUGACCUCGGCUCUGAUACCACUUAUAGGACCUCAGACGCUACCAACUCUCCUAAAAGCAAUUGCUGUUAGGAAAGACGCAUACCCUAGCCUUAUAGUGCAUUCACCCAAGCGCCCACGGCGAACACAAGAGGAGUUGAUGGACGCGACCAACCCUUCACUCUGCCAACAACUAUCUCUAAGAUUUUUUAUAUUUGACAUUCUUGUUUAGGUCACCCUUCUAUUGAGAUUGUAAAGAAGGUGUUCUCACUCUCUAUUUUCUUAGUUGUAUCGUUUGCGUACAAAGGGUCAAGCUUUGUGAUUACUACUCAAAAAGUGCUAUUUCAUAGCUUGUAAUUAACUCUUUUAAACACUUUUGAGUAGUAGUUAUCACCUUUUAACCCAAUUAACAUAUUAAGGACCCUUGCAAUCAAUUCUAAUCAAAUUGUGUUAAGUUUUGGUGUUUUGAUAGCUUUUUGAUCACCAAAGCAAUCCGAGAUUGAGAAGAGUUCUUUGGAAUCCAUGGCAAAAGAUGUCCGGACAGGGCGUCCGGACACACCAUCGGAGGGCGGCGGAACGUGGGUUGUGGCAGGCUAUUGGAAUGACGUAGCAAGGCUUGUGCGCUUUAGCAAUGAUCCUGACAACAUAUCCGGAAUUCUGCUCCGUCGAUAUUACACCCGGAUGUCUCACAUCCGGAAUUCUGCUCCACCGACAUUCCACCCGGAUGUAUCACAUCCGGAAUUCUUCUCCGCCGACAUUCCAUCCGGAUGUCUCACAUCCGGAAUUCUGACGCCGGAUGGGAAAGGAGGGCGUUUCAACUUCCCCGGUCAGACAUAUCCGGAUCUUUUGAUAGCGCUUACCUGGAGAGUUUCGCAGCCAUUUUGCAUAGUGCCGCGGUGUUCUCCUGAAGCUUCCAAAUAUUUGCAACCGACAUUUUGAGAUAUUUUGCUUUAGAUAUUUGAUGUCUAAAUCCCCAAACUCUUCUUAUAACCCACCAAUUAUAGGAUUCCUUAGUUCUUAAGUUUGGAAAAAGGGUGAAUAACCCCUUAUAUAUAGUUUGUAAUCUUCUUUAGAAAAUAUCCAUCUCUCGGGAGCUUGUUCUCAGAGACGGAUCCUUUGUACAGUUUUGCAAGGAAGUAAAAUACAGAGCCUUUGCUCUGCCUUACCUUCUCGUUUUAAUUGUUUUGUAUAUUAUUUACUUUUUAUUUCUAGCCAAUCAAACUCUGAGGAUUUUUCCUCAGAGGAUGAGAGGCUAGGCUCUUCGUCUCUUGGAGUGAAGAAAGCCGGGUAAGUUUCCAUAUGCAUAAAUUGGAAGUUUUGUUGUUUUAGUUUUUAAUGAAGAAAAAGUGUGACCCGUUAAUGGUUUUUAUCUUUUUAGUUAACUUAAAACGCCUUUAAAUCACCUGGGCCAACACUUGAUAAGGCAAGUGAUCUCCAUCCAUUGAGAUGCACUAGUUUAUCUCUUGCGAGCCUUUGGGAAGUGGUUUAAAGGUAGGAUUUUCUAGAAUAGCCAACACUUGGUAAGCUUUUGGACUCCAAGGAGACAUCCAUUAGUUAUCUCUUGCGAGCUUUUGACGGGUAAUCCAAGGUUAAAGAUCACCUUGAAUGGUAAAUGCUAGGUGAGAGGCAUGAGCCAUUGCAAGGUGCAUCAGUGAGAGGGAUUUAAUGUUUGAACCCAUUAAAAGGAAGCAUCUGUACCACACCGGUUAGAGAAUUAACUAUAUGUUAAUUCUCUAAAGCGAGGAAAAGAAACAAGUGACCGGAACUCCCUUUUUGUACAAGGAAUCUAAGCCCAGUGAUCUAAACUCCAAGAAACACUUUUCUUUGUAAUUAAAAUCAGUUACUAUUAUUUUUGGUUAGCUUAAAACCAAUCCUUUUUCAAACAUCUUUAUGUUUUCUUUUAAAGCUAACCUUGAAAUGAAAAGGCACCAAUUCAUCUUUGAAUUAAUAUCAAUUGUGAAAUGAAAACCCAUCCUAGUGAACGAUCCUAGAGCCACUAUGCUAUAGUAGCUUUGUCUUUGCUACCCUAGUUCAUGGUGUAAUAGGUUAUAAAUUUUGUUGAUUACUCCCUGAGAACUACAAUCAAGGGAUACCAGCUGGACACGAAUCAGCUAAGACACCAAUUGGGAACGAAUCACUUUGUCAAUCAAUAUUUGUUCACUUCAAAAAUCUUGUAGAAAACCACUUUAACAUUAAGAUAAAAUUAUACCCAAUUGAUGGUAGGGAUGAGUUUAAACCUUCUCAUUCUUAGUUAAUCAUGACAUUAAACAUUGAUUGUCUUGUCCCAAAACUCCAUAGUAGAAGGCUCAGGUAGUAUGUAAGAAUCAUUAUGUUGUAGGUUAGCCUUGUUUGCUCAAGCAUUUAUGCCUUUCAAAUUUUGGGUGUAUGCAUUUCAUGUUGCUAUUUUUCUCAUAAGAAAAAUGGCUUCUUAUAUGUUAAACUUUCAAUCUCCCUAUCAGGUUCUUUUUAGAUCAAUUCUUGAUUAUUCUUCCUUUAAAUCCUUUGGGUGUCUUUGUAAUCGCUUUAUUCAUCUUUUUAAUAAAUAGAAACUACAAUAUUGGUCUACUAAAUGUCUUUUUGUCAGUUAUCACACUCCUCACAAAAUGUAUCUUUGUCUUUAUUAAACCUUUGAUAAAGUUUACAUCACUCAUCAUGUUGUUUUUGAUGAAUCUUGUUUUCUUGUGGUUGUAGGCACUCUCCCUAGUGUUUCUACUAACUCAUCUCCUUUCCUUAUUUUUCCACUUGCUUUUAUUCAUGUCUUUUUCUUCUCCUUCUCAUGGUUCCUUCAAUACUUUACAUUCUACUCAUCAUUCUUCUUUUGUUUCCCCUAUGUCAUCCCCUAUUCAACUUGUGGUUUUGGACUCUAAGAUGCAUCCAUUACCUCCAACUAUUAAUACUCAUCCUACGCUCACUCAUGUCAAAGCUGGUGUUUUUAAACCUAAGACCUAACAAGCUAAUGCUUCCAUUGAGUUAUCUAAUUUUUAGCAAUUUAUCAAGGAUCUUCAUUGGUAAAAAGCUAUGGAAACUAAUUAUGAUGCCUUAAUGGAGAAUGAUACCCAUACACUAGUUUUUCUACAUUCAAAAGCUAAUAUUGUUGGUUGCAAGUAGGUUUAUAAGUUCAAGUACAAUCCUAAUGGCAACAUUGAACAUUUUAAGUCAUGCUUGAUUGCCAAGGGAUUUCAUCAAACACCUGCCAUUGACUGGUUUUAGUCCAGUGGUCAAAGUGGCUACUAUUUGAAUUUUUCUCAUGAUUACUCUCUCAUUUGGUUGGAUGAUUUGCCAAUUAGAUGUGCAUAAUGCCUUUUUAUAUGGUGAUUUACAUGAGCAAGUAUUUAUAUCCUAGCCAUAAGGAUUUUUUCAUCCCAGUAUCUUGACUAUGUUUGCAAGCUUAACAAAGCUCUCUAUGACCUCAAAUAGGCUCCUCAUGCCUGGUUCACCAAAUUAAGAUUGGCCUUAAGCAGCUUGGGUUUUAGAUGUGUAAGGGAUGAUAAUUUAAUGUUUGUUUAUUAUUUAGCCUCAUAUCUUAUCAUUAUCUUGGUCUAUGUUAAUGGUAUAUUAGUUAUUGGUAGUAGCUCUACUCAAGACCCUCAAUUGAUUGUUUUCUUUAUUGCUUCCUUUCUUUAUAUGAUCUUGGUGUUAUCAAUUAUUUUUUUGGUGUUGAGGUCACUCAUACAUUUGGAGCCCUUCUUCUUACUCAACAUAAGUACAUUAAGGACUUGCUUAAUUGCACAAAGAUUCUCACUUGUAAACCAACUGCUACUCCUAGUUGUGUUAGUCCAACCUUGCCUCAAUUUGAUACUUGAUAAGUCCAUUUAGAGCAACUUAUUAUCUAUGAUUUAACUUGAUAUUUCAUUAGUUUAAGAGUAAUUUUAUCUCAACAAUCAUUAUUUUUAUUGUUUUAGGUCUCAAAUAGCCAAGAGUAUGAAAAGUGAGCAAUAUGAGGCAAAAUUGGAAGAAAAAAUGAAGUUUGACGGCCUCUUACGUGACAAUUUGCGUAACUCACCCGAGAAGAAAGCGCCAUUGCGGGAAGGACUUAAGCGCCACGGCGUACGCAUGUGGAAAAUCAUAGUUGGGGACUCGAGACAAAACCGUCGCAAUUGGAGAAGCUUGUCCGUAGCGGCGCCCAAAGGAAUUUCAGAAAUCCUAAGAACCCGAGACUAAAGCGCCACGGCGGGAGACACUGAGCGCCACGACCUGAUAUUUAAAAUUUGAAAAUUAUUCGUCCUUAUCUCAUUCUGUUCAGAUCAGAAUUAGGUGGGACAUCAGUUUACGAUAUUGGGGCUAUAAAUAGACGAAAGUAGGGUUUAUUUGGGGAUUUUGGAGACUUGGAAGAAUGAGGAUCUUGAAGACCUAGGAGAAGAGAGAGCUUGGAGAACAAGAAGGAAAUUUGUAGAUUUUCUUCUAUUUGUCUGGUUUAUUCUUCCAUUUUCUUUAUGAUUGUAAUUCAAGAUGUUUGUUCUUCAUCUUAAGAUGAACUAAUUUCCUUUGUCUAGGGCUGAGAUGUAGCUCAAUCACGAUUUUUGUUUUUGAUUGGUUUAAAUUAAUUCUCUGUUUUGCAUCAAUUUAUUUGUGUAUCUAUUCUGCGCUUAAUGCUCUCAAUUCUUAAGGGCCCAAGUUUUGAUUGAUUUUAUGAUUUAGGUUGAUAACGAGAGUUAGAAUCUAAAUUAAAUCCAUAGAAUAGAUUACGUUAGAAUGAAUGAAUAGUAGAGAUACAUUACCAUGUUUUAAGAGAUUAAUAGUUAAAUCUAUAAUAAUUCCAUAGAUCGUAAUUACUCCUUUAGACUUAAAUUCACAUAAAGAUAUGUUAGGUUAGUAAUUUAAGGAGCAAUCUGAUACAUUUUGAGAGAAAAUAUUGGUUGGCUUAGGGAAAUAAAUCUCCAAAUAAAGCAUAACAGGAAUUAGGUCAAGCAAUCAAUUGCAUGAAAAGUGUUUGUAGUGAAAUCAAAAGCCCUAGAUCGUUUAAAUCAUAAGAGUUUGAAUUUAUUUUCUUUAAUUGUUUAAGUUGUUUUCUUUUACAACUUUAAAUAUUUGGUUGAUCAAAUAGUAAUAGAAAUAAUAAAUUUUAGUAAUUAGUAGCAUAGUCCUUGUGGGUUCGAUAUCCGUACUUAGGUACAAUUAUAUCACUUGAACAAUUCGUUUACUUACGAACCAACACAUCAAGUUUUUGGCGCCGUUGUCGGGGACUAUUUGUUACUAAUAUUAAUUCCAGUUAUUUAUGUGCUAAUUUGAUUUAUUUUCUUUUUAUUCUCACUCAAUUGUUUUUCUUUUUUUAGGUUUUCUUAAUGUGUGAGACGUACAAGGAGUCUGAACUUAGUACCAAUCGACCUUGAUAUCAACAAAACACUACGAAAACUAAAUCGAAAACGCAAGCAACAAGUAAUUCAAGAGGUUCCUGCAAUGGGGGAUGAGAAUCAUGUUGAUAAUGGAGUCCCAAACAGGGUACUCAAGGAUUAUUAUGUUCCUAAUGUGGGUGUCUCAAGCAUUCGAAGGCCACCCAUCCAAGCUAACAAUUUUGAGAUCAAACCGGUAAUUAUUCAAAUGAUUCAAUCUUCGAUUCAAUUUGGAGGAUUGGCCAAUGAUGAUCCUAAUCUACAUAUUGCAAAUUUCUUAGAAAUUUGUGAUACCUUCAAGCAUAAUGGUGUGACCGAUGAUGCAAUAAGACUUCGAUUGUUUCCAUUCUCUCUAAAUAACAAGGCUAAGGCAUGGUUAAUUUCAUUACCUCCGGGGACAAUCACUACAUGGGAUGGACUAGUUAACGCUUUUCUUACUAAAUCCUUCCCACCAGAAAAAUCUGCAAAAAUGAGGAAUGAUAUAACUAACUUUUUACAGCAAAAUCAAGAGUCUCUUUAUGAAGCUUGGGAAAGGUUCAAAGAUCUUUUAAGAAAGUGCCCACACCAUGGCUUACCAAUGUGGAUGCAAGUGCAAACGUUCUACAAUAGUUUGCACCCUAAUACUCAAACCAUGGUGGAUGCAGCAAGCGGAGGAGCUUUUAUUAAUAAGACAUCGGAUGAGGGAUAUCAACUUAUAGAAGUGAUGGCUAGCAACAAUUUCUUGAAGUCUACGGAUAGAAAUGCACAAAAGAGGACAGUCGGGGUUCAUGAUAUCGAUGCUUUUAAUAAUUUGGCUGCUCAAGUUGCAAUUUUAAAUAAUAAUUUUAAGAAACUGAAUGUUGCUACUGUUUCUAAUCUAGUUUGUGAAAAUUGUGCAGGUAAUCAUCAUAACUUAGAGUGUCAAGUUGGAGGCCCAUAUGAAGCAAAUCCAUCCAAACAAGUGAACUAUGUGACCAAUAAUCAACGUCAAUACAAUCCCAACUCCAAUUAUUUCAACCAAGGGUGGAGGAAUCAUCCGAACUUCUCAUGGAGUAACAACACUCAUGUGCAAAAACCACCUUCCGGUUUCCAAUCUCAAGAUAAUAAGCCAAACUUGGAAGAAGUUUUCACCCAAUUUAUACAAAAGACUAACGAUUUUAUUGAUGAUACUAAAGCAAAUUUCAGGAACCAAGGUGCAAGUAUUCGCAACCUUGAGCAUCAAGUGAGGGAGAUUUCUAAGUUAUUGACGGAGAUAACACAAAGAGCACUUCCUAGUAUCACAAAGACGAAUCCUAAGGAGCAUGUAAAGGUCAUAACUCUUAGAAGUGGGAAGUAGUUAGAACAAUCAAAGGAAGCCGAGUAGCAAGCAAAUAAGGAGAAUACUUCAGUUCCCAAGGAACAAGAUGCUUCCACUUCUAUAUAGCCAUCUAUUCCAAAACCAUCAUCUAAUGCCAUUCUUUUUCCUCAAAGGCUGAAAAAACAAAAUUUAGAUAAGCAAUUUUCUAAAUUUAUUGCUAUUUUUAAGAUCUUACAUAUCAAUCUUCCUUUUGUAGAUAUGCUGGAGCAAAUGCCGAAAUAUGCUAAAUUCUUAAAGGAGGUGUUAUCAAAUAAGAGGAAAUUGAUGGACAAUGAGAAUGUGAUGCUCACUGAAGAGUGCAACACCAUUCUUCAAAGGAAGCUUCCUCCUAAGCUAAAAGAUCCAGGGAGUUUCACUAUACCUUGCACUAUUGGUGAUUUUUAUUUUGAUAAAGUUUUAUGUGAUCUAGGUGCAAGUGUUAAUUCGAUGCCUCUUUCUAUUUUCAAGAAACUUGGACUAAGGGAAGUAAACCCUACUACGGUAUGUUUGCAGCUUGCGGAUAGAUCUAUCAAACAUCCAAGAGGCAUUAUUGAGGAUGUUUUGUUAAAAGUGGAUAAGUUUAUAUUUUUGGCUGAUUUUAUUGUAUUAGAUAUGGAAGAAGACCGGGAUGUUCCACUUAUAUUAGGAAGACCUUUUCUUGCUACAGAUAGAACUCUUAUAGAUUUUCAUCAAGGUAAGUUGAUUUUAAGGGUUCAAGAUGAAAAAGUUACGUUUAAUGUUUUUGAGGCUAUGAAAUUUCCAUCUGAUAUUGAUGCAUGCUUUGCAAUCAGUGUUUUUGAUAGGGUGGUAGCUAAAACAUUUCAUGAAACUUUUCCCACUUCACCUUUAGAAAAUUGUAUAAUGAAUGGUAGAAAUUUAGGAACUCUUUGUGAUGAUGAUGAUGAUAUAAUUGAAUGUGUUAAUAAUCUUGAUGCAUUGCUAACUUAUGAGUUUCCAAGAAAGUUAAAAUUUGAGGAAUUAGAGGCCAUUCAUGUUAACAAUCAUACAUUAAAGAAGAAGCUUCCUAAACUUGAACUUAAAUUGUUGCCAUCUCACCUCAGGUAUGCUUUCUUAAAAGAUUCUAGUUAAUAUCCUUUUAUUAUUAACUCUUCUUUGAAUGAUUUGGAGGAAUAAAAACUAUUAAGAGUUUUGAGGGAGCAUAAGAAAGCUAUUGGAUGGACUAUUGAUGACAUUAAUGGAAUAAGCCCAUCGAUUUGUAUGCAUAAGAUCCUAUUUGAAGAAAGCUACAAGCCAACAGUUCAACCACAACGAAAAUUAAAUCCAUCUAUGCAAGAAAUGGUUAAGAAAGAGGUUGUGAAGCUUUUGGAUGCAGGUAUAAUUUACCCAAUCUCGGAUAGUACAUGGGUAAGUCCAAUUCAAGUAGUUCCUAAGAAGGGAGGUAUAACUGUAGUGAAGAAUGAUAAUAACGAACUUAUCCCCACAAGAAUGAUAACCGGAAGCUUAAUGAUGCCACAAGAAAUGAUCACUUUCCUUUACCCUUCAUUAACCAAAUGGUGGAGAGACUUUCCGGUCAUGAUUAUUAUUGUUUUCUAGAUGGAUAUUCAGGAUACAAUCAAAUCCCCAUAGCACCGGAAGAUCAAGAGAAGACCACUUUUACAUGCUCAUAUGGCACUUUUGCUUACUGACGAAUGCCAUUCGAUUUAUGCAACACUCCGGCCACUUUUCAACGUUGCAUGAUGUCCAUUUUCUCUGAUAUGAUUGAAAAAUGCAUUGAAGUGUUUAUGGAUGAUUUUUAUGUUUUUGGUUCUUUUUUUUAUGAUUGCCUUUCUAAUCUUUCUUUGGUUUUGUAGCGAUGUGUUGACACAAACUUGGUUUUAAAUUGGGAAAAAUGCCAUUUUAUGGUAAGAGAAGGUAUUGUGUUAGGACAUCGAAUUUCUGUAAAAGGAAUUGAGGUGGAUCGUGCUAAGAUAGAUUUGAUUGAGAAGUUGACACCACCUACAAAUGUAAAGGGAGUUAGAAGUUUUCUUGGUCAUGCAGGAUUUUAUAGAAGAUUCAUUAAGGACUUUUCAAAAAAUUUCUAAACCUCUUUGUGAUUUAUUGGCUAAGGAUGCAGUUUUUGAUUUUUCUAAAGAAUGUUUAAAUGCUUUUGAAACUCUUAAGUCUAAACUGAUAUCUUCUCCUAUUAUUGUUGCACCUGAUUGGGAAUUGUCUUUACAUUGAUGUGUGAUGCUAGUGACUUUGCUAUAGGUGCUAUUUUAGGGCAACGGAAAAGUAAAAUUUUUCACGUGAUUUAUUUUGCUAGCAAGGUUUUAACAGAGGGUCAAGUAAAUUAUGCAACCACUGAUAAAGAACUUUUAGCAAUUGUUUAUGCUUUUGACAAAUUUCGAUCUUAUUUGAUAGGGUCUAAGGUGAUUGUCUAUACUGACCAUUCAACUUUGAGGUAUUUAUUUGCUAAGAAAAAGGCAAAGCCAAGGCUACUUUGUUGGAUCUUGCUAAUACAAGAAUUUGACUUGGAAAUCAAAGACAAGAAAGGAACUGAGAAUUUAGUUGCAGAUCAUCUUUCUCGGAUGAAUCAUGUGGAGCCUAAUGAAGAAGUUGAUGAUGAUAUUAAUGAAAGAUUUCCUGAUGAGCAACUUUUUGCAGUUGAAAAAGCGUCAUGGUAUGCAGACAUUGUUAACUAUUUGGCUAAGAAGAUUUUGCCUCCCAAGCUUACUUAUCAAAGGAGGAAGAAGUUUUUCUCAGAUCUCAAGUACCAUUUAUGGGAUGAUCAUUUCCCAUAUAAGCAAUGCGACGAUCAAAUAAUUAUGAAAUGUGUGCCGGAAGAGGAGAUGGAGAGUAUUCUGCAUCAUUUUCAUUCUCGUGAAGUUGGAGGACAUUUUGGAGCUACUAAAAUUGCAGCCAAAGUUUUACAAUCAGGAUUUUAUUGGCCUUCUCUUUUUAAAGAUUCAUUUAAUUUUGUUGCCAAUUGUGAUAGAUGUCAAAGGGUUGGAAUAUAUCUAGGGAAAAUGAGAUGCCUCUAAUAAAUAUUUUAGAAAUAAAAUUGUUUGAUGUAUGGGGUAUUGAUUUUAUGGGUCUUUUUCCAUCCUCUUAUGCUAAUGGUUUUAUUUUGGUUGUUGUAGAUUACGUUUCCAAAUGGGUUAAAGCUGAGGCACUGCAGACCAAUGAUGCUAGAGUGAUGGUUAAAUUUCUUAAGAAGAAUAUUUUUGCAAGAUUUGAUACACCAAGAGCUAUCAUAAGUGAUGGGGGAUCUCAUUUUUGUAAUAGUCAAUUUGAGUCACUAUUGGGUAAAUUGGAGUAACACAUCGUAUAGCUACUCCUUAUCACCCGCAAACAAGUGGUCAAGUUGAGGUAUCUAAUCGUGAGCUCAAGCGAAUUCUGGAGAAAACAGUUAAUUCUUCUAAGAGGGAUUGGUCAAGUAAGUUGGAUUACGCUUUAUGGGCUUAUAGAACGGCAUUCAAGACACCUAUUGGGAUGUCUCCAUAUCAAUUGGUUUAUGGCAAAUCGUGUCAUCUUCCGGUUGAGUUGGAGCACAAAUCAUUUUGGGUUGUUAAACUUUUGAAUUUUGACUUACAAACUGCAGGGGAAAAGAGAUUGUUACAAUUAAAUGAGAUGAAAGAGUUUCGUAAUAAUGCUUAUGAGAAUGCUAAGAUUUAUAAGGAUAAGGCAAAAAGAUGGCAUGAUAAGCAUAUUCAGAAGCGCAAUUUUGAAGUUGGUCAAUAAGUUCUUCUUUUCAACUCACAUCUCAAGCUUUUUCUGGGUAAAUUAAGAUCGCGAUGGUCUGGUCCAUUCAUAGUUAACAAGGUUUUACCAUCAGGAGCAAUAGAAGUUCAUCAUCCAUCAAAGGAGACUUUUACAGUGAACGGGCAACAAUUGAAGCACUAUUUGGGAGGAAAUUUUAGCACCGAACGGGUGUCUGUUGUGCUUUCAAUUCCAAAGUACAAGAGUGGAGAAAGUCUAGCUAACAACUUAAAUUUUAGCGCUUUUCGAAAGACAACUCGAUUUAUUUUGAGCAAUUUUUAUUUUCGAAUCUUGAAUUAUUUUUAGUUGUUAGGAUUUUUAUUAAUUUUGUUUUUAUUUUGUUUCAAAGUUAAUUUAGUUAGUGAAUUUUUAGAGUUAAUUGUUUGGUAGUUUAGGAUUAAUUUUUAUUUUUUUUAUUUUUAACUAUUUUUCCUUUAUUUUCAGGAGAAAAAGGGCUUUUUACAUACCCAGUGAAAGGAGCCGCAGCGGGAGGCAUUGAGUGUCGCGGUUGACUCUUCAAAUGCUACUUAUAAAGGACCCGAGGCUAAACCACUGCAGCUAGUAAGGCUUUGCGCCGAAGCAGUCACCCCCAAUUGAAUUUCUCUUAUAAAAAUUAGGGCUUUGCGCCGCGGCGAAAAGACUUGAGCACCGCUACGCGAUGAGUAAAUGGGAGUUUUAAAAGGGCCAUUUUCCUUCAUUUUUCACAAACAACUUUUCUCAUUUUCUCAUCUUCUCUCCAUUUUCUCUCUAUCCUUCGAUCCUAAUCAUAUUUAAACUCCGAAUUCUUUGUUUUCUUUUGGGAUUACUCAUGGGUUUUGGAGAUUUGGCAAGAUUAAAGCUUGAUUUGGUGUAAUUUUGGAAGGAAAAUUGCAUAUCCAAUCCGUCUUCUUGUUGGGUCACGAUUUGGGGUGAUUGUUUCUACCUUUUUGCUGCAAUUUGGACACUACUAAAUGAUAAAUGAGCGAUUUUUUUAUGUGCCCCAAAAAUUCAUCAAAAAUGGAGUUUUUUCUUUUCCUUACUUUAUUUUCUUUUGUUCAUUGAGGGCAAUGAAAGUAAUUAAGUUUGGGGGGAACGAUUAAUUUCUUCUGGGUUUAGCUAAGUUCAGUUAAAAAUGUUUUUUUCGAAACUUCUUGAUUUUUUAGCAUUAUUUUUCGAGUUGAUUCAUAUAGUCAAUGAUAAUAUCUUGAUUGCUAUGAUGCGUGGUUGUUAAGAUGAAAUUUGAUAUUGCUUAGAUUUUGAGGAUAAUUUGGAUGUUUGUUUUGUUUGGAUUUGAGAUUCAAUGUUGGUCUAGUAUGGUGAUUUUGAUAACAAUCCCAUUUUGCAUGCUUAGAGACAUUUUAUUUAGACAAUUGUGGAUGAUAGAACUUGGCUGAUUGUUACUCAAGGUGAAAUCCUAGAUUUUCAUGUUACUUAGGAGAUGAUUUAGGCCAUUUUUAGAUCGUUUGAGCUUUUCUUACCUUACCCAAAAUAUUUUAUCCGCUAGUUACCUAUUUGAGCCUUUUUAUAUAAUGUUAGCCUUAUUUUUCUUUCUUUAAGCCUAUCUUCCUACCUAUUUUAAGCCUAAACACUUAUCCUUACCCUUGAUGAGAAUAUUUACAUGUUUGUUAUUUAUUUUGUUUGAGAGCAAAAAUAUCUUAUUGAGGAAAAUAUGGAAAUGUGUAUUGUUAACCUAGUUAUAAUAGAGAAAUAAGUUUGGGGGUUUUGAAGAAUAAAAGGAAGAGUGUGCAUAAAAAAAAAAAAAAAUUGGCAUUAGGGUGAAAUAUGUGAAAAGUGCUUAUGAGCACGAAAGAAAGAAAAAGUAUGAAAAGUUUCAAGAAGGUAGGAAGUGAUGUUAAUAUUAAAAGCUCCUUGAGUCUGUUACAUUUUGUUCAAUUGUGAAUGUUCUCAUUCUUUGAAUUUAUCCUUUCCAUUCUUUGUGAGCCAACACCUUAGCCUAACAUUACAAGCUUAUUAAAGACCUUUUGAUCCGAGGUAACAUGAUGAAUAUACAUUAGUGUAGGAUAGCAAGAAAGCCAAGCCUAUGAGAUUCGAUAUCAUACAUUACUUGUUAGAGGUCGACUUUGUCUAUAAUUGUUUUUAUAAAAUCAUUUAGGUAGUAGAAUUGAUUGUUUGAAAGGUUGCUUACUUGGAUUUUUCAUAAGAUUGAAGGUUUGAAUGGAAUGAAUGUCUGAGUAAUCCUUCUUGAUUCGUGCCCCGUUAGUGUACCUUGAUUUUUGGUCCCCUGAUGGGAGUAAUCAACAAAAUUUAUAACCUAUAUCACCAUGCACUAGGAUAGCAUAAGCUAGUAUAGCAUAGUGGCUCUAGGAUCGUUCACUGGGAAGGGUUUUCAACUUACAAUUGAUACCAAUCCAAAGUUGAAUUGGUCCCUUUUCAUUUCAAGGUUAGCUUCAAAAGAAAACAUAAACUUUGGUUGAAAAAGGUUUGGUUUCAAGCUAACUAAAAAGAAAGUAAUGGGAAUUACUUAUAAAGAAAAAGCGUCUCUUGGAGUUUUAGGAUCACUGGGGUCAGGCUCCUCAUGCAAAAACAGAGUUCCGGUCACUUUGGUUCUUUUCCUCGCAUUGGAGAAUUAACAUAUAGUUCAUUCUCCAACCGGUGUUGUACAGAUGCUUCCCUUUUAUGGAUUUUAGUACUAAUUCCCUCUCACUGAUGCAUCUUGCAAUGGCUCGUGCCUUUCACCUAGCAUUUACCAUUCAAGGUGAUCAUUAACCUUGGAUUUCUCUUCUCAAGCUCGCAAGAGAUAACUAAUGGAUGCCUCCUUAGAGUCCAAAAGCUUACCAAGUGUUGGCAAUUCUAGAAAAUCCUACCUUCAAGUCACCUCCCAAAAGCUUGCAAGAGGUAAACUAGUGCAUCUCCAUGGACGGAGAUCAGUUGCCUUACCAAGUGUUGGCUCAGGUGAAUUGAAGGCGUUUUAAGUUAACUAAAAACAUAGAAAUCAUAAACGGGUUACACUUUCUCUUCAUUAACAACUGAAACAACAAAACUCUCAAUUAUUGCAUUCGGGACCUUACCCGGCUACCUUAGCUCCAAGAGACAAAAAGGCCUAGCCACCCAUUCUCUGAGGAAACAUCCUCAGAGCUUGUUUGGCUAGUAAUGAAAAAUAUAAUCAAAUUGAGUAGGUAAGGCAGAGCAAAGCUCUGUAUUUUACUUCCUUUCAAACUAUACAAAAAGUUGUCUCUGAGAACAAGCUCCCGAGCUCCCCUUUUGUAAAGAAAAUUACAACUAUAUAUAAGGGGUUAUUCACCCUUUUUCCAAACUUAAUAACUAAGGAAUCCUAUAAUUGGUGGGUUACAAGGAGAGUUUGGGGAUUUAGACAUCAAAUAUCUAAAGCAAAAUAUCUAAAAAUGUCGGUCUCAAAUAUCUGGAAGCUUCAGGAGAACACCGCGGCACUGUGCAAAAAUGGCUGCGAAACUCUCCGGGUAAGCGCUAUCAAAAGAUCCAGAUAUGUCUGACCGGGGAAGUUGAAACGCUCUCCUCUCCCAUCCGGCGUCAAGUGCUGGAUGUGAAAUAUCCGGAUGGAAUGUCGGCGGAGCAGAAUUCCGGAUGUAAGACAUCCGAGUGGAAUGGCGGCGCACUUUCCUAUCCGGACUCCCUCAGGGAGAAGCACACGGCACUCGUGAUCAUCACACCCCGGACGAUAGCAUAUCCUAUUCGGAUAUGUUGUCCGGAUUAUUGACGCCCAUGUUCCUCCGCCCUCCGAUGGUGUGUCCGGACGCCCUGUCCGGACAUCUUUUGCCAUGGAUUCCAAAGAACUCUCCUCAAUCUCGAAUUGCUUUGGUGAUCAAAAAGCUAUCAAAACACCAAAACUUAACACAAUUUGAUUAGAUUUGAUUGCAAGGGUCCUUAAUAUGUUAAUUGGGUUAAAAGGUAAUAACUACUACUCAAAAGUGUUUAAAAGAGUUAAUUACAAGCUAUGAAAUAACACUUUUUGAGUAGUAAUCACUUCUCAUUUUUGUAAUGUUCGAUAGAUUCUUGACGGCUUUGUGUUAUUAGUAAUUUUUGAGAUAAUAUUAUGAAUCAAACUUGACAAAUGAAUUUGAUUCUAGAAGUUUGAGAAGUUUUGAGUCUUGAUUUAGUUUGUGAUUUAAUUAUUUUUAGAAUAGUUUUAGGUUAGAUUUUAUUUUGUUUUUGCUCGAGGACUAGCAAAAUGUUAAGUUUGGGAGAAUUUGAUAAGUCAAUUUAGAGCGACUUAUUAUCUAUGAUUUAACUUGAUAUUUCAUUAGUUUAAGAGUAAUUUUAUCUUAACAAUCAUUAUUUUUAUUGUUUUAGGUCUCAAAUAGCCAAGAGUAUGAAAAUGGAGCAAUAUGAGGCAAAAUUGGAAGAAAAAUAUGAAGUUUGGCGGCCUCUUACGUGACAAUUCGCGUAACUCACCCGAGAGGAAAGCUCUGCCGCGGGAAGGACUUAAGCGUCGCAGCGUACGCAUGUGGAAAAUCAUAGUUGGGGACUCGAGACAAAACCGCCACGUCUGGAGGUGCUUGUCCGCCGCGGCGCCCGAAGGAAUUUUAGAAAUCCUAGGAACCUGAGACUAAAGCGCCACGACGAGAGACAAUGAGCGCCACAACCCGAUAUUUAAAAUUUGAAAAUUAUUCAUCCUUAUCUCAUAUGUUCAGAUUCGAAUUAGGUGGGACGUCAAUUUACGAUAUUGGGGCUAUAAAUAGACGAAAGUAGGGUUUAUUCGGGGAUCUUGGAGACCUGGAAGAAGGAGGAUCUUGAAGACCUAGGAGAAGAAAGAGCUUGGAGAACAAGAAGGGGAUUUGCAGAUUUCCUUCUAUUUUUCUGGUUUAUUCUUCCCUUUUCUUUAUGAUUGUAAUUCAGGAUGUUUGUUCUUCAUCUCAAGAUGAACUAAUUUCCUUUGUCUAGGGCUGAGAUGUAGCUCAAUCACGACUUCUAUUUUUGAUUGGUUUAAAUUAAUUCUCUGUUUUGCAUUAAUUUAUUUGUGUAUCUAUUCUGCGCUUAAUGUUCUCAAUUCUUAAGGGCCCAAGUUUUGAUUGAUUUUAUGAUUUAGGUUGAUAACGAGAGUUAGAAUCUAAAUUAAAUCCAUAGAAUAGAUUACGUUAGAAUGAAUGAAUAGUAGAGAUACAUUACCAUGUUCUAAGAGAUUAAUAGUUAAAUCUAUAAUAAUUCCAUAGAUCUUAAUUACUCCUUUAGACUUAAAUUCACAUAGAGAUAUGUUAGGUUAGUAAUUUAAGGAGCAAUCUGAUAUAUUUCGAGAGAAAAUAUUGGUUGGCUUAAGGAAUUAAAUCUCCAAAUAAAGCAUAACAGGAAUUAGGUCAAGCAAUCAAUUGCAUGAAAAGUGUUUGUAGUGAAAUCAAAAGCCCUAGAUCGUUUAAAGCAUAAGAGUUUGAAUUUAUUUUCUAUAAUUGUUUAAGUUGCUUUCUUCUACAACUUUAAAUAUUCGGUUGAUCAAAUAGUAGUAGAAAUAAUAAAUUUUAGUAAUUAGUAGCAUAGUCCUUGUGGGUUCAAUAUCCGUACUUAGGUACAAUUAUAUUACUUGAAUGAUUCGUAUACUUGCAAACCAACACAUCAAUAGGGAACCAUUUCUUCAUGUCUUUCUUCAUCGCAAUAUUGUUAGUGUUCAACAAUAUGUCUUCAUUACCCAAACAAACCUAUCUUUUAUUGUUAAUAAGUUUGUCAGUUCAUGUCUCAACUUACUUCUACAUAUUGUUUAUCUAUGAAACACACUUUGCAUUAUUUGAUAGGAUCUUUAUAUUAGUAUCCUUUUACAAGAAAUUGAUCGUCUUCAUUUUCAAGCUUAUUCAAAUUCUGAUACAGUCUAGGCUCUUGUCCUAAUGACAAGAAAAACAAUAAUGAUUAUUGUGUCUUCCUUAGGUUGAAUUUGGCUUCUUAGUCCUCUAAUAAGCAAUGGGUUAUUUCAAGGAGUAGUGUUGAAUUAGAAUAUUGUGGUCUAACUACUACAAUUACUAAACUCACUUAGAUCUACUCUAUGCUUUAGGAACUGUGUAUAGCAUAGGUUACCCCUCCAAUUCUGUGGUGUGAUAAUCAAAAUACUGCUUAUCUUGCUACAAAUCCUAUCUUUCAUGCUCGCCUGAAACAUAUUGAACUCGAUAUCUGACAAAAUGUUACAUAAUGAACUUGUUAUUCAAUAAAUUCCCUCUACUGAUCAACUUACUGAUGUGCUUGUUAACCGAUUGUAGUAAACUUUGUGUUGUUCCCAAAUUGAUUAACUUGCGACGGGAUGAUAAAGAGUAGAUUGCCACCUCAACCUAACUUCUAGAAUAAUCUAUUAGCUGCAACAACUAUUUGUUAUGGAUACUACACACCCAUGUUUUGCUCUUGUUAGAUCUAGUGAAUUAGACAUUAAAGCUUAAAUAAAUAUUUAACAUCACAAGCUCAUGAGUUAGGUGAUUUUUUAGUUCAUUCUCUAGAAUUUUCAAUUUACUUCCAAAGCCUAUAAAUGACCAAUUGUUGAAACAUUGUACUAACAUAUUUUUUUUUUUCCUCAAAGCAUAAAAAUCACAAAUUGUUCGAAUAUUGGAUUGACCUUUUUUUUUCCCUUAUACUUUCGUAGUUGAAUUCAUAAUUUUAGCAAUAAAAAGGGACUAAUUACUUCCAUUAUUGAUAUUGAUGAAACAAUUCCAAUGUAUAUAUAUUGACUAGAUUUAAUUCAGUUGAUUUGAGAUUGAGGAUGAUUUUAUAUGAAUUUAAUGCAUUUUCAAGAUGUUUCAAUGAAGAAUUAAUAGAUAGCAUUUAGUAUGAUUACCAAAUUUGGCUAAAGAAAAAAGGAACUAAUGCCAUUGAAUGAUGACUUAUUCUCUUCCAUUUAAUAAAGGUUAUGUUUUUUAUAUUAUAUAUUUCUUGAUGUAAUUUUCUUUUUUUCAUUCUUCUAGGAUAACUCAUGAGUUUAUUAUUAUUUUUUGGAAUAUAAGAUUUUGCUCAGAGAAUUAGAAAAUGCAAUGAAAUUGAAAAUAUAUAAUUAAAACUUGAAUUUUAAUUUAAAUUUGGGGCUAGAAUAAUUGGCUCUAAUAUUCUAGGCUCCACUACUAAUAACUUUCUCUUAUAGAUUCCAACCAUUCCAAUAUCAUUUGACCAAUUACAUCACUAUGUUUAUCAUUCAAUCUCUUGAAGAUGUUUUCCACAAUUUCAUUGAUGUAUUUGGACUCAUACCAACCAAUUAUAAAUCAUAAUAAAACAUAUGGUGAGUCAAAUGAGCUACAAAAUAAUGAUAAAAGCAACAUGAGGAAAAUUUUAUAAUAUUUUUUUAUAAGCAAAUGGUAGUAAAUUUUAUGCUUAAAUCACAUCAUGACUACAUGAUUAGUAUCCAUGUAAAUGAAGCAAUAUCUUAGUGAGGGCUCCCAAGCUCCUAAUUAAGUAUUAUUAUCAUGGAAAAGAUGAUGUAAGGGUGGUAAUUCUUGAUUAAAUCAAACUAUAAAUAGGAUUUGAAAAUGACAUGAAACUAGUGAGUUCCAUUAAUUGAUGUUGAUCGAUCAUAUUCUAAGUUGAAGUUUUCAACCUGAAUGUAUACUUCAUUUUUUUCCUCUUAGUAUUGUUAUCCUAUGAUUGUCUUCCCUCAUCCAUGUUCCUUCAUUGCAUACAUACUUAGGAUCCUUUUCUAAGUCAUUUAUUGUGUCCUUAUUAGUUGUUCAUUGUUACUCAUCUUAUCACUGUUUUUGGACCUCUUUUAGGGAUAUAUAUUAGAAGGAUUUUGUUUUUCUAAUAUGAUUUUAGUAUCCUUUAGUUUUAGCUUAAGAGUUUGUUUUCAUUCGUAAGUUUUCUUUUGAUUUUGGUUUUUCAACUUGUUUUUAGUUUAGCCCCUUUAUCUUUGUUCUUAGGUAAAUUCAUUUAGUUGCAUUUUAGGAAAAUUCACUCAGUAGUUGAUUACUACUCAAAAAGUGCUCUUUUAUAGCUUGUUAUAAACUCUUUUAAACACUUUUGAGUAGUAUUUAUUACCUUUUAACUCAAUUGGCACAUUAAAGACCCUUGCAAAUGUUUCUAAUCAGGUUUUGGCAAGUUUUGGUGUUUUUGAUAGCUUUUUUAUCAUUAAAACGAGCCAAGAAUGAAGGAGAAUUUUGUAUAGUCCAUGGCAAAGCAAGUUGAAGCUCAAACACAUGAAGAAUUCAAGGUUUGGAGAGCUUCGUAGCCUUUUCCAAAUCAAUCAAGUAUGCAAGGAAGAGAAUCAAAGAAGAAAUCUAACAUCCAACAAUUUCACCUGGCUAUGAGAAAUUUUCGCAUAGCAUGUGAAAUGUCCAAAAGGAGUACAAGCUGCAGGACAGAGAGCAAGACUGUGAAAAAUGAAUUUCGCACCCUAUGCGAAAUUUCGCAAGCCUUGCAAAAAUCCUCCUGUGUAAUUUUCAGAUAUUUUUGCACCUACUCCGUCAGAUUUUUAUCUCGAGAUAUUUUGUGUAAUUACCUAUUUUAUCCUUGUAAUCAAUUAAAGAUAUUUUUAGAUAUUUAGGAUAUCUAAAUAAGGGGUUAAAAUAUCUCUUUAUAUAUGUCUUAAAAUAUCUCUUUUGUAAGCUCUCGGAAGAUUUUCCAGAGAACACUUGUAGAUUCUUGUAGUAAGAAAUACACAGAGCUUUGCUCUGCCUUACCUACUCAUUUUGUUUUUAUUUUCUUUCUAGCCAAACAACCUCUAAUGAUGUUUUCUCAGAGGAUGAGUGGCUAGGUUUUUCAUUUCUUGGACUGAAGGAAGCUAGGUAAGGGAUCCAGAUACAAAGGUGGGAGUUUUCCUUGUUUUAAAUGAGGAGAGUUGUUACCCUUUAAUGGUUUUUAUUUUUAAGGUUUAACUUAAAAUCCCUUCAAAUCAUCUGGGCCAAUACUUGGUAAGCUUUUCAGACUUCCUGGAGAUCCAUUAGUUAUCUCUUAUGAGCCUCUAGGAAGUGGUUUAAAGGUAGGAUUACCUAAAAUGACCAAUACUUGGUAAGCUUUUCGGACUCCCUAGAGAUCCAUUAGUUAUCUCUUACGAGCCUCUGGAAGGUGGUUUAAAGGUAGGAUUACCUAGAAUGGCCAAUACUUGGUAAGCUUUUCGGACUCCCUGGAGAUCCAUUAGUUAUCUCUUACGAGCCUCUGGGAGGUGGUUUAAAGGUAGGAUUACCUAGAAUGACCAAUACUUGGUAAGCUUUUCGGACUCCCUGGAGAUCCAUUAGUUAUCUCUUACGAGCCUUUGAAGGGUAAUCCAAGGUUAGGAUCACCUUGAAUGGCCAAUACUUGGUAAGCUUUUCGGGUUCCAUGGAAUCCAUGGAUGUCUAUUAGUUAUCUCUUACGAGCCAUUGAAAGAUGAUUCACAGUGAGAGGUCUUUAGUGUUUGAAACCAUUAAUGGGAAGCAACUACAGUUUUUCAUGGACCAAUGGGAUCAAAUCUUGAUUGCUAAAUACACACCGGUUCGGGAGAUAACCAUUCUUUAUGUUAUUAUCCCCAACGCGAGGAAAAGAUCCGGAAUCUCCUCCUUUUGUCUAAGGAACCUGAACCUAGUGACCUAAAACUCUAAGAAAUCCUUUUCUUUGUAAUUAAUCUCAGUUACUAUUUUUGGUUAACUUAAAACCAACCUUUUUCAACCAAAAUUAUGUUUUCUUUUAAAGCUAACUCAUAAAAGAAAAAGCAUCAUUUCAGUACUUUAACUAAUAUCACUUGUAAUAUGAAAACCCAUCCUUGUGGACGAUCCUAGAACCACUAUACUAUGCUAGCUAUGCUACCCUAGUGUAUGGUGAAUUAGGUUUAUAAAUUUUGUUGAUAACUCCCGUCUGAGGACUGAAUCAAAUAGAUCACCAAUUGGGGACAAAUCAAAUGGCGUCGUUGUCGGGGAUGGUGCCACUUCACAGUGAUAUAACCUUUACAAAACACUUGUGAUCUUCAUCACAAGUUUGGUGAUUUUUCUUUUCUUUUACUAACUCUUUUUAUUUGUUUUCAUUUUAGUUUAUCUUUUAUCUAGUUUUUAGUUAACCUUAAUUUUUUUUUUCUAGAAUUGUAUUUCUUUUGUUUUCUGUGUUUUUGUUUCAAUUAUUGCUAGUUGUGCAUGCCCUAUUGGAUAUGAGACAAUGAGGGAAGACUUAUGAAAAUCGAAACUCCUCACGAAACAGAGUUGGAAUUGUGCUUGAACGUCAUGGAAGCUACACCUGAAGAUCAGCAUAGUCAACAUGCUCAGGAGGAGAAUUUCAACGCAUACCGAUCCAUGAGGGACCGCAUGCAUGCACCUCGUAUGAGUGCACCGUCAUGCAUAGUGCCACCUACAGAGCAACUGGUGAUCCGACCACAUAUUGUGCCACUUCUACCUACUUUCCACGUGAUGGAAAGUGAGAAUCCCUACGCGCAUAUCAAGGAAUUUGAGGAGGUUUGUAAUACUUUCCAAGAAGGAGGAGCUUCAAUCGACUUGAUGAGGCUCAAGUCAUUUCCUUUCACCUUGAAGGAUAAGGCCAAGGUCUAGCUUAAUUCUUUAAGGCCAAGGAGUAUUCGAACUUGGACUGAUUUGCAAGCUGAAUUUCUUAAGAAAUUUUUCCCGACCUAUAGGACCAAUGGCUUGAAAAGGCAAAUUUCAAACUUCUCAGCUAAAGAGAAUGAGAAAUUCUAUGAGUGUUGGGAGAGAUACAUGGAAGCUAUCAAUGCUUGUCCUCACCAUGGCUUUGAUACAUGGCUAUUGGUGAGCUAUUUUUACGACGUUAUGUCUUUCACUAAUGAAGCAACUCCUAGAAACUAUGUGCGAAGGAGACUUCAUGAGUAAGAAUCCGGAGGAAGCCAUGGAUUUCUUGAGUUAUGUAGCUGAAGUUUCAAGAGGAUGGGAUGAGUCGAAUGCUAGAGAAGUGGGAAGAAUGAAGUCUCAACUUAAUGCUCCUAAUGCUAAGGCUGGAAUGUAUACUUUGAACGAAGAAAUCGAUAUGAAAGCAAAAGUUGCAGCUAUGGCAAGAAGAUUGGAGGAGCUAGAAAUGAAGAAGAUAUGAGAAGUGCAGGUCAUUUCUGAAACACCAAUGCAAGCUAUGUCGUGUUCCAUUUGUCAAUCUUUUGAGCACUUAGUGGAGGAGUGUCCUACGAUUCCAAUUGUGAGAGAAAUGUUUGGGGAUCAAGCAAAUGUUAUUGGACAAUUUAAGCCCAAUAACAAUGCUUCAUAUGGCAACACCUACAAUUCAAAUUGGAGGAACCAUCCGAAUUUCUCAUGGAAACCAAGGGCACCUCAGCACACACAACCUGGCCAAGCACCUCCGUAAGCCUCAAAUCUUGAACAAGCCAUUAUGAAUCUUAGAAAGGUCGUGGGAGACUUUGUUGGAGACCAGAAAUCCAUCAAUGCUCAGCUCAGUCAAAGAAUUGACAGUGUAGAGAGUACAUUGAACAAAAUAAUGGACGGAAUACAAAAUGAUCUAUCUCAGAAGAUAGAUAAUCUCCAGUACUCAAUCUCAAGGCUCACCAACCUCAACACAGUAACAAAGAAAGGAAAGUUUUCUUCUCAACCUCAUCAGAAUCCCAAGGGUAUCCAUGAAGUAGAGGCUUAGGAGGGAGAAUCUUCACAUGUGAAACAAGUCAAAGCAGUUAUCACUCUAAGGAGUGGUAAAGAGAUUGAUCUGCCUACCUCCAAGCAAGAGCAUGAACCAGAGAGUGAAACAUAGAAAGAAAAGAGGAAGGAAAUCAAAGGAAAGAAAAAAGGGAACAGUGCAAAGAAUGAGGACCUUGAAUCUACUGUGAAUGAAGAACCAGAGAGGACCAUCAACCAAGAAGAUAUGAUGAAGAAACACAUGCCUCCACCUUUCCCCCAAGCUUUGCAUGGCAAAAAAGGAAUCAAUAAUGCAUCAGAAAUUCUUGAAGUGUUGAGGCAAGUGAAAGUUAACAUCCCUUUGCUAGACAUGAUUAAACAAGUUCCGACUUAUGCAAAAUUCCUGAAGAACUUAUGCAUUAUAAAAAGAGGGUUGAAUGUGAAUAAGAAAGCCUUCUUGACUGAGCAAGUAAGUGCCAUUAUACAGUGCAAGUCUCUAGUGAAAUACAAAGAUCCAGGUUGUUCUACCAUCUCAGUGAUUAUUGGAGGGACGUGUGUGGAGAAAGCUUUGUUGGACUUGGAGGCAAAUGUGAAUUUGCUACCCUAAUCUGUCUACAAGCAAUUGGGACUUGGAGAGUUGAAGACAACAUCAAUCACUCUAUCUCUAGCAGAUAGAUCUGUGAAGAUUCCAAGAGGCAUGAUUGAAGAUGUCCUAGUUCAAGUUGACAAAUUCUACUACCCAGUGGAUUUUGUUGUUCUUGAUACAAACCCAGUUGCCAAAUGAACUAACUAUGUUCCUAUCAUACUUGGAAAACCAUUCCUAGCUACAUCAAAUGGUAUCAUCAAUUGUAGGAAUGGAGUCAUGCAACUUAUGUUUGGCAACAUGACGUUAGAGCUCAACAUCUUCUAUUUGUGCAAGAAACAAUUCCAUCCAGAAGAAGAAGAAGAACCAAAAGAGGUGUGCAUGAUUGACAACUUAGUGGAGGAGCAUUGUGAUCAGAAAAUGCUCAAAGAUUUGAAUGAAAGUCUUGGGGAUCUUGAUGAAGGGUUACCUGAACCCUCAGAUUUGCUUGCACUUUGCCCCCUUGGAAGAGGAGGGAAGAAAUUCUACCUUUAUUCAAUGGGGAGGAGACACAAGAAGUUGUUAAGGAGGAGCCCCCAAAGCUUAUUCUGAAGCCACUACCCACGGAGUUGAAGUAUGCAUACCUGGAAGAAAACAAACAGAGCCUUGUUGUUAUUUCUUCAUCUCUUACCACUCCUCAGGAGGAUUGUCUACUUGAAGUCCUCAGGAGAUGUAAGAAGGCGAUAGGGUGGCAAAUAUCUGAUCUGAAAGGGAUCAACCCUUUAGUUUGUACCCAUCAUAUAUACAUGGAAGAAGAAGUUAAGCCAGUUCGAAAACCUCAGAGAAGGUUGAACCCUCACAUGCAAGAGGUGGUGUGAGCUGAAGUGCUUAAGCUACUUCAGGCUGGUAUUAUCUACCCCAUAUCAGAUAGCCCAGGGGUGAGUCCUACGCAAGUCGUGCCAAAGAAAUUAGAGAUCACGGUGGUGCAAAAUGAUAAGGGAGAAGAAGUUUCUACACACCUCACUUCAGGUUGGAGGGUGUGUAUUGAUUAUAGAAAGUUGAAUGUUGUAACAAGGAAUGACCGCUUCCCGUUGUCGUUUAUUGAUCAAGUGCUUGAGAGGGUCUCUGGCCAUCCAUUUUACUAUUUCUUGGAUGGCUACUCCGGGUAUUUUCAAAUGGAAAUUGAUGUUGAAGACCACUUUCACAUGUCCAUUCGGAACCUACACAUACGGAAGAAUGUCUUUCGGCUUAUGCAAUGCACCCGCAACAUUCCAAAUAUGCAUGUUAAGCAUUUUCAGUGAUAUGGUGGAGCGUAUUAUGGAAGUCUUUAUGGACGAUAGCACCAUAUAUGGAAGUACGUUUGACGAAUACUUAAUCAACUUGGAAGUUGUUCUGAACCGAUGCAUUGAGAAACACUUGGUGCUUAACUAGGAGAAAUGUCAUUUCAUGGUACACCAAGGGAUUGUCCUUGGGCAUAUUAUCUCAAAGCAAGGCAUUGAAGUGGACAAAGCAAAGGUUGAACUUAUUGUCAAGUUGUCAUCGCCAACAACUAUCAAAUGAGUAAGGCAAUUCCUUGGUUAUGCAGGGUUCUAUAGGAGGUUUAUCAAAGAUUUCUCUAAACUUGCAAGACCUCUUUGUGAACUAUUGGUAAAGGAUGCUAAAUUUGUAUGGGAUGAUCGAUGUCAACGGAGUUUUGAAGAACUGAAGCUAUUUUUGACAACCGCUCAAAUACUGAGAGCUCCCAACUGGCAAUUGCCCUUUGAAGUGAUGUGCGAUGUCAGUGACUUUGCUAUAGGAGCUAUUCUUGGGUAAAGAGAAUAUGGAAAGCCCUAUGUGAUCUACUAUGCGAGCAAAACGUUGAAUGAAGCGCAAAGAAACUACACAACCAUAGAGAAAGAAUUGUUGGCUGUAGUUUUUGCCUUAGACAAAUUCCACACUUAUUUGGUGGGGUCUUUCAUUGUGAUUUUCACUGAUCAUUCGACCUUGAAAUAUCUGCUAACUAAGCAGGAUGCAAAAGCGAGGCUGAUUAGAUGGAUUCUCUUGCUUCAAGAGUUCAAUCUUCAUAUCAAAGACAAGAAAUGAGUGGAGAAUGUGGUAGUCGACCAUCUGUCAAGGCUAGCCAUCGCAACAAAAUUCCCAUAGUUUGCCCAUUAAUGAUGAUUUUCCAGAGGAGUCACUCAUGUUGAUGAAAGUCGCUCCUUGGUAUGCUCAUAUUGCUAACUAUUUAGCUAUCGAAGAAGUUCCAAGUGAGUGGAAAGCACAAGAUAAGAAGCACUUCUUUGCAAAAAUUCAUGCCUAUUAUUAGGAAGAGUCAUUUCUAUUCAAAUAUUGUGCAGAUCAAAUAAUACGGAAGUGCGUCCCUGAACAAGAGCAACAGGGGAUCCUCAGUCAUUGCCACGAAAGCGCAUGUGGAGGCCACUUUGCUUUUCAAAAGACAGCUAUGAAGGUAUUGCAAUCGGGUUUCUGCUAGCCAUCACUUUUCAAAGAUGCCCACACCAUGUGCAGGAGCUGUGAUAGAUGUCAGAGGCUUGGGAAGUUAACACAUAGGAACAUGAUGCCUUUGAACCCCACUUUAAUAGUUGAUCUUUUUUAUGUCUGGGGCAUUGACUUCAUGAGACCUUUUCCUAUGUCCUUUGGCUACUCCUACAUCUUGGUAAGGGUAGAUUAUGUUUCUAAAUGGGUUGAAAUGAUCCCAUGCAAAUGCACUGAUCACAGAGUUGUUCUCAAAUUUCUCAAAGAGGACAUCUUCUCUAGAUUUGGAGUACCCAAGGCUUUAAUCAGUGAUGGGGGUACUCAUUUUUGUAACAAGUCGUUCGAAACUCUCUUAGCCAAGUACGGGGUAAAGCAUAAGGUAGCUACACCUUACCACCCUCAGACUUCUAGGCAAGUUGAGUUAGCAAAUUAGGAGAUCAAAAACAUACUGAUGAAGGUGGUGAAUAUGAGCAGAAGAGAUUGGUCUGUUAAGCUUCAUGAUUCACUAUGGGCGUACAGAACAGCUUACAAGACCAUUCUUGGAAUGUCUCCUUAUCGCCUAGUCUACGGCAAAAUGUUCCAUCUCCCCGUGGAAGUGGAAUACAAAGUUUGGUGGGCAAUCAAGAAGCUCAACAUGGAUUUGAGCAGAGCCGACAUGAAGAGGUUCUUAGACCUUAAUGAGAUGGAGGAACUGAGAAAUGACGCCUACAAUAAUUCAAACAUUGCAAAACAAAGAUUGAAGAGGUGGCAUGAUCACUUAGUCUCCCGCAAAGAAUUCCAGAAGGGACAAAGAGUCUUGCUAUAUGACUCUAAGCUCCAUGAUUACUACUCAAAAAGUGCUAUUUCAUAGCUUGUAAUUAACUCUUUUAAACACUUUUGAGUAGUAGUUAUCACCUUUUAACCCAAUUAACAUAUUAAGGACCCUUACAAUCAAUUCUAAUCAAAUUGUAUUAAGUUUUGGUGUUUUGAUAGCUUUUUUAUCACCAAAGCAAUCCGAGAUUGAGGAGAGUUCUUUGGAAUCCAUGGCAAAAGAUGUCCGGACAAGGCGUCCGGACACACCAUCGGAGGGCGGCGGAACGUGGGCUGUGGCAGGCUGUCGGAAUGACGUAGCAAGGCUUGUGCACUUUAGCCAAUGAUCCGGACAACAUAUCCGGAUAGGAUAUGCUAUCGUCCGGGGUGUGAUGAUCGCGAGUGUUGUGUGCUUCUCCCUGAGGGAGUCCGGAUAGGGGAGCGCGCCACAUAUCCUCUUAGAGAAUCCGAAUGGAGUUGCUCCGGAUAGCGAUGCGCACUCCGUGUCAUCAGGAGAAGGGGUCCCUACACCUUGCACACGCAGACAGCCCCCUUGCGAUGUGUGGCAUCGCACAUUCCACCCGGAUGUAUCACAUCCGGAAUUCUUCUCCGCCGACAUUCCAUCCGGAUAUUUCGCAUCCGACGUUUGAUGCCGGAUGGGAGAGGAGGGCGUUUCAACUUCCCCGGUCAGACAUAUCCGGAUCCUCUGAUAGCGCUUACCCAGAGAGUUUCGCAGCCAUUUUGCACUGUGACGCAGUGUUCUCCUGAAGCUUCCCGAUAUUUGCGACCGAUAUUUUGAGAUAUUUUGCUUUAGAUAUUUGAUGUCUAAAUCCCCAAACUCUCCUUGUAACCCACCAAUUAUAGGAUUCCUUAGUUAUUAAGUUUGGAAAAAUGAUGAAUAACCUUAUAUAUAUUAUUAUUGUAAUUUUCAUAUAAAUAUCUCUCGGGAGCCUAUUCUCAGGGAGACGACGCAUCCUUUGUACAGUUUUGCAAGGAAGUAAAAUACAGAGCCUUUGCUCUGCCUUACCUUCUCGUUUUGAUUGUAUUGUAUAUUAUUUAAUUUUUCUUUCUAGCCAAUCAAACUCUGAGGAUUUUUCCUCAGAGGAUGAGAGGCUAGGCUCUUCGUCUCUUGGAGUGAAGAAAGCCGGGUAAGUUUCCUCAUGCAUAAAUUGGAAGUUUUGUUGUUUUAGUUUUUAAUGAAGAGAAAGUGUGACCCGUUAAUGGUUUCUAUGUUUUUAGUUAACUUAAAACGCCUUUAAAUCACCUGGGCCAACACUUGAUAAGGCAAGUGGUCUCCAUCCAUUGAGAUGCACUAGUUUAUCUUUUGCGAGCCUUUGGGAGGUGGUUUGAAGGUAGGAUUUUCUAGAAUAGCCAACACUUGGUAAGCUUUUGGACUCCAAGGAGACAUCCAUUAGUUAUCUCUUGCGAGCUUUUGACGGGUAAUCCAAGGUUAAAAAUCACCUUGAAUGGCAAAUGCUAGGUGAGAGGCACGAGCCAUUGCAAGAUGCAUCAGUGAGAGGGAUUUAGUGUUUGAACCCAUUAAAGGGAAGCAUCUGUACCACACCGGUUAGAGAAUUAACUAUAUGUUAAUUCUCUAAAGCGAGGAAAAGAAACAAGUGACCGGAACUCCCUUUUUGUACAAGGAACCUGAGCCUAGUGAUCUAAACUCCAAGAAACACUUUUCUUUGUAAGUAAAAUCAGUUACUAUUUUUGGUUAGUUUAAAACCAAACCUUUUCCAUUCAAACAUCUUUAUGUUUUCUUUUAAAGCUAACCUUGGAAUGAAAAGGCACCAAUUCAGCUUUGAAUUAAUAUCAAUUGUGGAGUGAAAACUCAUCCCAGUUAACGAUCCUAGAGCCACUAUGCUAUAGUAGCUUUGUCUUUGCUACCCUAGUUCAUGGUGUAAUAAGUUAUAAAUUUUGUUGAUUACUUCCUGAGGACCAAAAUCAAGGGACACCAGCUGGACACGAAUCAAAUGGCACCACUGUCAGGGACCAUUGAGAUGACAGCUGAGACACCAAUUGGGAACGAAUCAUUCCACAUCUUCCCGGGAAAACUGAAGUCAAGGUGGAUAGGUCCGUUUACUAUCCAACAAGUGCAUUCAAAUGGAGUGGUGGAACUACUCAAUUCCAACAACAUCGAGAGUUUCAAAGUCAAUGGCCAUCGUCUCAAGCCAUUUGUGGAGCCUUUUUCUCUAGACAAUGAGGAAAUCAUCAUCUUUGAGCCACAUCAAGCUUAACAAGACAAGUGGUUAGAUGGACUUAGUCUGUCGAAAGACAUUAAGUCUAUAAUUUUUUGUUUUAAUGUUGAUUUAAAGUUUUAUUGAUUUAGUACUUGUUUUAAUUGUAAUUUCUUGCUUUAAUUUUAUUUUUUUGUGAUUUAAUUUAAUUUUUUAUGAUCAAUUGCAAGUGGAUUUCAUAAUAGAUGGGAAAAACCUUUAAAAAAUUUAUGGUGGAGGAAAAACAGAGCAUUUCGCACAUGCUGCGAAAAUUUUGCAAGGCUUGCGAAAAUCCCAAAUAUCAUUUCGCAAGGGGUACGAAAAUUUCGCACACCCUGCAAAAGCCAAUUCGCACACCCUGUGAAAAUUUCGCAAGGCAUGCGAAAAAUUCGCAUACCCACCUUUGCAUUGCGAAAAUGCCAUGCGAAAUUGCUUUGCUUUGCGAAAAUGUUUUGCGAAAACCUGUGCCAAAUUAGAGAGGGUAUGCAAACCCAUUUCACAAUCCUGUGCGAAGUCCAACAGCCGGUGCGAAAACCAACAGUCACUUAAAACUCUAUUUAAAGCCCUCUAAGCCCUAUUUUCAUUUCGUACACCCCAUCUACCCAUUGCGAAAGCCUCUAUCACCUUGCGACGCCCAAACUUCCAUCGUUUUUCUCCAUUGGACGCCCCGCGACCACCCAUUUGAAGAGGCGACCCCCACCGAACUUGAAGAACACAGACCCGAGCCUUUCACUCCAUUUUUUACAUGGCGCGAAUUAGAGGAGGCCAUACCGACUCUUCACUCUCUCGCGAGCCGAGGCCAAGAGCCUGCUCUCCUCAAGAUUCGACAUCUCAGGCCCUUGAGGCCCCAACCAUUCCAUCUUUUGAGGGAGGAGUGCCCUCUAAUCCUCCUCAACAUAGAUACGAGACGUGGAGACCACCGACUACACCUGGGACUACUUCUUCGCGCCCUGAGACCUCAAUACGUUGCACUCCAACUAAGAGGGCCAGGACUUUAGGCCCUGGAAAGUCGUCUAGAUCUUCACAGCCUGAUCAUAGGGCCCCUGUCGAUUCUCAGCGUCCUUCUAACAUGUCACCGGAAGCCAUCAUCAAACGACCUAUGGUCACCGCGCCGCCCAUUAAGGGCAAUUCAGAUUGUAGAGCCAGACCAUUUCAUUCCGAGCUAUAUUUUGACCUCGAGGUUAUGCGACAGUAGUCGGAGCUUCGGGAUUCAUUUGGACUACUCCAGAGGUACCAUCUCGAGCACCUUAUGACUCCCAGGGAGUUCUUUUACCCCAAAGUGGCAAUGGACUUCUAUCAUUCUAUGACUACUCAAGGCGCCUGGAGUCCUACCGCCAUUCACUUCAGCAUUGAUGGGCGCCAGGGUAUCCUUGAGGCUAGACACAUUGCAGAGGCUCUACAUAUUCCAUACGAGCUAGUGAAUCCAGCAGAUUGCCAGGAGUGGUCCCCUGUAUCUCAGUGGGACAUGGUCCGCAUCUUAUCCAUGGAAACCUUUGGAGAUUCAGUCCUUCUACGUAAGGAGCUUCCACCUAGGAUGCUCCUAGUAGAUGUGUUGCUACAGUCCAAUCUUUUUCCCCUUCAGCAUUUAGUGCAGAUGAGAGGAGCCAUUCUGAACGCUUUAUUCCGGAUAUCCAAGGGUUUCUAUUUCGGGCCACAUCACUUGAUUAUGGCCUCUCUCCUCCACUUUGAGGAGAAGGUUCACAGGAAGAAGCUCCAGAGAGCCGACACUAUUCCACUACUGUUUCCGAGGUUGCUAUGUCACAUAUUGGAGCAUAUGGGUUAUCCUACUGAGCCCUACCUUGAGCGCCGCCAUCAUUGUCGAGAGCGAUUCACUCUCAACAAAUGGACACAGUUGGCGGGCUAUUCGGCACCUCUAGAAGUCCCACCCAGGCCAGCACCUCCAGUGCCACCAUAGGCUGAGUAGGCACAACAGGAUGAGCUUCCCACGGAGUCUGUACCACCUACCCCUACAACACCUAUGCCUGAGGCCACUUAUACUGCUCCUCCUACCACUCCUGCCGUUCCACCAGUUGCACCUUCUAUAUCUGAGGCCUUCAUCACCAUUUCUGCCACAGAGUUUCGCGCCAUGGUACAUACAUUCCAGACACUGACCACUACACACAAUGCUUUAUUCCAACAGAUGGCCACCAUGCGUGCUCGGUAAGACCAUCAUACUGCUAUCCUUCAUCAUAUUCAGCAGCAUUGGGGACUUCUGCCACCACCUCAGCCUGACAUUCAUGGACCAUCACAGCCCAUAGCUCUAGUUAAGGAGACUAUUCCAGCUGAGGAGACCACUAAAGCCAAUGUCCCGAUCUAGCCUACUCAGGAGGCCACCACAGAGGCAUCACCUCCACCAGAGGCCCCCGCUACUUGAUCAUCUCUUUAUCAUAUUGUAUUUACUUAUUAUAUUAGUAGACAUAAUUACAUGUUUUGAUGUUUUAUAUUAUGGGAUUGGAUGUAUUACAUGAUCAUAUCUCACAUUGUACUUUCUCAGAGUAAUAUAUACACAUCAUUUUUUAUUAUAUUUGUCAUUCUUCUAUUUCCUCUACUCAUUACUCUUUUGUUUUUUGAAUCAUGUGGUUUAUCCUAUACGACUCAAACUCCAUGUCACUCAGGAGGUACCACUUCCUUCUUUUAUUUUCAAUCGCUCUUGCCACAUUGAGGACAAUGUUGAUCUUGGUUGAGGGGAGAGUUAAGGAAGAAAGUUUUGUUAAUAAUGCUAGGUUAUUUUGUUAAUUUAGGUCUUUUUUCUUAAUUUUAAACUUUUUGCUUAAUUUUAAAAGUUUUUAUUCUACCAUCCAUGAUUAUUAAGAAAAUUUUCUCAAAAGGAAAUGGGAGAUAUUGAAUUCUUAUCUUUUUACUUGAAUCUUAGAGUUUAUAUUAUGUGUAUUGAGGUUGAUGAAUUAUUGAAAAUCCUAUUGAAUUCAACCUUAUUUCUUCCACUUUAAUCUUACCACACACUAUGCACAUUAGGUUCCAUUUAUAAGAUGAAAAACUAUCUCACCCCCUAAACUUAGGAAAACUUUGACUUAGUACCUUUGACCUCAUUUUAAUAGUAUUGGGACACCUUAUAAAAGGCCAAUGAGCCUUUGAAAAAAAAAAUAAGAAAGAACAAAGUGUUUCGCUUGCCUUGAAACCCGAGCAAGAUCCGAGGGGUUUAUGGCGAAAGUCUUUAAAACCCGAUGCCCUAAACCUUUAUUGGUUGGGAGUCACCAACCUCAAUGCUCGUUGCAAGGGUGAAUAGGUGGAGUUUAACAUAUUGUAGGUGCUUGGGUAUUAAAUGUCAAUCUCAAAAGUCCGGGGUAAAAUCUGAAGAGUUAGUGGUCGAAAGAUCCUUAAAGCUUGAUGCCCUAAACCUUGAUUGGUUGGGAGCCAUCGAUGGAUCCCUAUUACAUGGACACUUUAGAAAACAAUACCUUAAGCAUUGCACACUUACAAUGAAAAAAAAAAUUUGUGAAAUAAAAGAGGUGCGUUUUUAGCCUAUUGGAGGUUGGUCAGUUUGCUAAAGUUUGAGAAAGAACUAGGUUGGGGGGAGAGAUUAGUUCAGCAUACUAUAUUCGGAAACUAAUAAGCUUAACACAUAGAUUUUUGUGCAAUAGUAAGGAUUGAGGCUAUGAGAGUGGAAAUCCUUUUAAUACUUAAAUUUGCAUAAUGCCUACUUUUUAUGAAUUGUGAUCAGGCAAGAUAUUUGAUAAAUUCUUGUUGAAGGUUGAGUUUUGCUUCUUUAAUGUCCCAUGAGAGAGUAUGCUCUACAUCAUGCCACUUGAAAAAAUUUUGGAGUGAUCAGCAUGAUUUUGUAAAUUAUUUUACUGUCUAUUUUUCAUUUUUCUCUCCUUCAUUGCUAAGGGACUAGCAAUAUGUCGGUUGGGGGGAGUGAUUACUACUCAAAAAGUGCUCUUUUAUAGCUAGUUAUAAACACUUUUGAGUAGUAUUUAUUACUUUUUAACUCAAUUGGCACAUUAAAGACCCUUGCAAAUGUUUCUAAUUAGUUUUUGGCAAGUUUUGGUGUUUUUGAUAGCUUUUUUAUCAUUAAAACAAGCCAAGAAUGAGGGAGAAUUUUGUAUAGUUCAUGGCAAAGCAAGUUGAAGCUCAAACACAUGAAGAAUCCAAGGUUUGGAGAGCUUCGUAGCCUUUGCCAAAUCAAUCAAGUAUGCAAGGAAGAGAAUUAGAGAAGAAAUCUAACAUCCAGCAAUUUCGCAUGACUAUGCAAAAUUUUCGCAUAGCAUGCGAAAUGCCCAAAAAGAGUACAAGCUACAGAACAGAGAGUAAGACUGUGAAAAAUGAAUUUCGCACCCUAUGCGAAAUUUUGCAAUCCUUGCGAAAAUCCUCUUGUGUAAUUUUCAGAUAUUUUUGCACCGACUCCGUUAGAUUUUUAUCUCGAGAUAUUUUGUGUAAUUACUUAUUUUCUCCUUGUAAUCAAUUAAAGAUAUUUUUAGAUAUUUAGGAUAUCUAAAUAAGGAGUUAAAAUAUCUCUCUAUAUAUGUCUUAAAAUAUCUCUUUUGUAAGCUUUCGGAAGAUUUUCCAGAGAACUCUUGUAGAUUUUUGUAAUAAGAAAUACACAGAGCUUUGCUCUGCCUUACCUACUCAUUUUGUUUUUAUUUUCUUUCUAGCCAAACAACCUCUGAUGAUGUUUUCUCAGAGGAUGAGUGGCUAGGUUUUUCAUUUCUUGGACUGAAGGAAGCUAGGUAAGGGAUCCGGAUACAAAGGUGGGAGUUUUCCUUGUUUUAAAUGAGGAGAGUUGUUACCCGUUAAUGGUUUUUAUUUUUAAGGUUUAACUUAAAAUCCCUUAAAAUCACCUGGGCCAAUACUUGGUAAGCUUUUCAGACUCCCUGGAGAUCCAUUCGUUAUCUCUUAUGAGCCUCUGGGAGGUGGUUUAAAGAUAGGAUUACCUAAAAUAGCCAAUAAUUGGUAAGCUUUUCGGACUCCCUAGAGAUCCAUUAGUUAUCUCUUACAAGCCUCUAGGAGGUGGUUUAAAGGUAGGAUUACCUAGAAUGGACAAUAUUUGGUAAGCUUUUCGGACUCCCUGGAGAUCCAUUAGUUAUCUCUUACGAGCCUUUGAAGGGUAAUCCAAGGUUAGGAUCACCUUGAAUGGCCAAUACUUGGUAAGCUUUUCGGGGUCCAUGGAAUCCAUGGAUGUCUAUUAGUUAUUGACCGAAAUUUCUCUAUUGUACCAAAAUACUUAGCCUUUUUACGUAGUAACUCUGGUCAAGAAAAACUAGAGAAAGAGUCACUACGGCUUUUGUAGUAUUCCGGGUAUCGUUCUCAAGGACUGGCUUAUGAAAAUUGUCAAUACUAGAAUAAAUGAAUUGUUUUUUGUUUAAAUCCUUAAGUGAAAAACAAUAUGUGAAUAAUGUGAAACUAAGUAAAAGAAAUUGGAUUAAUAAGAGAAAAUGAAUAUUGAUUUUAAAUUCAAUUGAUUCAAGUUUGGGGUUUUCCACAAUCCAACCUAGGGUAUAGAAAUUAUAGAAAACAAGGGUAUUUUAAGUAAUAUGAUCUUAGGGUUUUGGGAUCCUUGGCCACUCGCGAUCAAGUUGGGUUCUAUAACUCAAAAUUGCAUCCGAAACCUAAUUUUUCCUUUUUCAAACAGAUUCCUAAAACCAUCAAAUGAAUGAGAUUGAUUAUCAAUUUAAGAUUUGGCUUUUUAACCCUUCCUACUCCUUAUAGCUUUGUUUAGGGGCAAAUAACGGUAGGGAAAACGAGGAUAACUAAUGAUCAAGAAUUACCAAGAAUCACUAGUAUCAAGUAAUAACCUAUCGUAUCAUUCCCUAAACGAACUCACAAGGAUAGGAUAAAAAAAUAUAAUAAAUUGUCACCCAACCAAUAAUUAAUCUCAUUGUUAUAGUAAUUUACCCAUUGUCCCUAUAGGUUUCCUAGCCCUUAGGUUUUCAUGCUUCAAGCCCCAAGUUGGCUCUUAGCCUCUCAUGGGGGUGAUGUCACAUUCACAAUCCAUAGUAGGGUAAAAAUCCAUAAUUUGAAUCAAAAGAAACUAAAAACAAUAUAUUCAAGAAAGAAGGAGAAGAAAACAAACCAAAGUUCUCGUCUUCUUCCACCUUCAAUGUCAAACUCUCUAGAAAAAAAUCCAAGAUCCAAGAUCCCUAAAACCUAGAAUUGAGAGGGUUUAUAUAAUAUCCUCAAUUACCUAACAUGUGGCACACUCUCAUUGGCCACUUAUUACAAAAUAAUUUCCUAAAAAUGAUUAAAAAAUAAUAAAAUGGUGAUUUCUAGUCGUGUGGGGUCCACCUAGGCCGGAUGGAGUGCUUUAGAUGCAAUUCCCGAGGUAGAGGAGGCGGAACAUCAAAGUGGCAGUGGGUGAAUUCGAAAUUGGUGUCAUUUCGAAGUGAAUUUCGAAUUCAUAAGUUGAAUAUAUGCAAUUCCCGGGGUAGAGGAGGCGGAACAUCAAAGUGGCAGUGGGUGAAUUCGAAAUUGAUGUCAUUUCGAAGUGGAUUUCGAAUUCAUAAGUUGAAUUUCGAAAUCAUAAGUUGAAUUUCGAAAUCAUUUCGAAAUGACCCUCCAGCUUGGUGCAGUUGUCUUCAAAUGGCCAUAACUUCUUCAUUUCAGCUCCAAUUUGCAAACCGUUUGAAGCGUUGGACUCCUGACUUCCCGAGCUUCGAAACGAUAUAUAGUAUGUAUAUAAUGGACUCCAGAAAGUGCUCAAAAUUUGUCCUCAAAGUCAGAGUAUAUAAUGCCAUCAGAUUUUUGAGUUCUAAAUUUCCAUGUAGCUAAAUCUUGCUUCAUGCCUCAUUUCCCAUGCUUCCUUGCCUUCUUUCUUACUCCAUAAUGGUCAUUUAUCAUCCUCCAACCUCAUGAUAUCCUUGUUUUGCCUUUCCUUACAUUCAAUGAAUCUUGACUCACUUAUGUCCUCAUUUAGCCCUUUCUUGAUCUUUCAAAAUCUAAAGUCAUUCAAUUUGCACAAUUUUCUUCCCUUGAACCUGAGAUAAAUCUCCAAAGUAUAGAUUAAACUCAUGGCUAGGGCCUUAGCAUUGAUUUAGGUCAAGUUGGGUGAUUUGAAUGUCCUUUGGUGCACAAAUCAUAUCGAAUAUGUGCCAUUAGAGCACAUAUUUUGGCUCCAAUCAGUUAUCUCUUACAAGCCAUUGAAAUAUGAUUCACAGUGAGAGGUCUUUAGUGUUUGAAACCAUUAAUGGGAAGCAACUACAGUUUUUCAUGGACCAGUGGGAUCAAAUCUUGAUUGCUAAAUACACACCGAUUCGGAAGAUAACCAUUCUUUAUGUUAUUAUCCCCAACGCGAGGAAAAGAUCUGAAAUCUCCCCCUUUUGUCUAAGGAACCUGAACCUAGUGACUUAAAACUCCAAGAAACCCUUUUCUUUGUAAUUAAUCUCAAUUACUACUUUUGGUUAACUUAAAACCAACUUUUUUCAACCAAAAUUAUGUUUUCUUUUAAAGCUAACUCAUAAAAGAAAAAGCACAAUUUCACUACUUUAACUAAUAUCACUUGUAAUAUGAAAACCCAUCCCUGUGGACGAUCCUAGAACCACUAUACUAUGCUAGCUAUGCUACCCUAGUGUAUGGUGAAUUAGGUUUAUAAAUUUUGUUGAUAACUCCCGUCUGAGGACUGAAUCAAAUAGAUCACCAAUUGGGGACGAAUCAGUAGCACUUUAGGUAAAUUCAUUUUAGUUGCAUUUUAAGAAAAUUCAUUUAGUUGCAUUUUUAGAAAAUCAUUUAGUUGCAUUCUAAGUAAAUUCAUUUAGUUGCAUUUUAGGUAAAUUCACUUAGUUGCAUUUCAGGAAAAUUUACUUAGUUGUAGUUUAGGUAAAUUCACUUAGUUGCAUUUUAGUAAAUUCACUUAAUUGCAUUUUAGGUAAAUUUACUCAAUUGCAUUUUAAGAAACUUCACUUAGUUGCAUUUGAGGAUAAUCCACUUUAUGUAUUUUUAGGUGAGUCUCAUUUUUGCAUUUUAGUGAAUUUCAUUGGUGCAUUAUUGUAAUUAAAUUAUUGCAUUUUUAGAGAUUUUUCAUAACAUACUUUGAAAGGUUUUCCAUCUUCUAUAAGAGGACAGUAUGCAACAUCAGUUGGCACAACAAACUCUGAGUGCCAGGAAAGUUCUCUUCUUUCUCGGAUUGACCACCGCACUUUAGGUAUCUCAUACUCAACUGGUACUUGUUCAUUGUGCUCUGGAACUACUUUAAAAGAUUUUGGUUAUUCUUGUUUUGAUUGUUUGUUUCCAAUUAAACUUAUAAUGUUCAUCUUUUUCAUCAAUGUGUAUCUUCUUCUUCACUCUGUAGCAUGUCUUCUACAAAGAUGAUAUUUCUACUGAUGAUAAAAUUGCAAGCAAUGGGAUCUCACAAGCGAUACCCCUUUACUCCAUUAGUAUACCCCAAGAAUAUGCAUUUUCUGAAUUUGGAUCCAACUUUAUUCUUUCUUGGUCAUUAUACAUCACAUAAGCAGGACACCCAAAUAUAUGUAAGGAGGAAAAGUUCGCUGGCUUACUAGUCUACAUAUCCAUAGGUGUUUUCAUCUCAAUUGUUGUUGAUGUAGACCAAUUAAUUAUAUAGCAAGCAGUUUUGGUUGUUUCGGCCCAAUAUGUUUUGGGUAGUCUUGCAGUCUUCAAUAUAGCUCUCAUUCCUUUUGCAACAAUUCUAUUUAUCCAUUUUGCUACACCAUUUUUUUAUAGAGUAUAAGCAAUAGUUUUCUGUCGUUGUAUGUUUUCCUGACUAUAAAAUGCAUCAAACUCCUGGCUACAGAAAUCUCAUAUAUUGUUUAACCUCAAACAUUUUAUCUUUUUUCUCAUUUCAAGCUCCCUCUAGGCUUUAAACGCUUUGAAUACUGGAAAAACAUUUGGCUUUCUCUUAAUAGGGUACACCCAACAUCUUCUAAAAUAAUCAUUUACAAACAACACCAAAAUGCUCCCAAGAUAUGUGACUGGUGAUUCCCAAACAUCAUAAUGAACCAAGUCUAGAAUGCUCUUACUUCUUUUCGUAGAUCUACUGAAUCUUAAUCUAUGUUGCUUACUGAUAACACAAUGCUCACAGAAUAAUAAACUUGUAGUUUUGAGUUCAGGAAGCAACUUUUGAUCAGAAAGAAUUUUCAAUCCUUUUUCUUUCAUGUGACCAAGUUUGUGAUGCCACCAUCUCAUUGUUAAUUCUUCUCCAAAGUUUGCAACAAAAGUCUCUACUUGUUGAUAUGUCCUCUCAUGCAACAUGUAUAGAUUUGCAGUAAUAUUUUCUGCCUUCAUCACCACAAGUGCACAUCUAAUAACCUUAAUGAUUUCCUUUUUAGCAUGGAAUUCAUAUCCAAUGUCAUCUAGUUGUCUUAUUGAUAGCAGAUUUUUCUUUAAGCCUUUUACAUGUCAUAUCUCUAGAAUAAUGUGACUCACACCAUCAUUCAUCUUUACUUUGAUGAAGCCCAUGCCAACAAUCUCCAAAGCAUGAUCAUUACCCAUAUACACUAAUCCUCAUGGGAUAGGUUCAUAUUGGUGAAACCCUUUUCUAUGAGAAGUCAUAUGUCAUGUUGUUGUUGAGUCAAUUAACUAAACUUCAAAAAAUCAUUUUCUAACUUCUACAAUUGUUGUUGCCUCAUUGUAUAAGAUUUUGUCUUCAUUUGAAGUACUUGCUACACAACUCUGAGUAUUUGAUAGCUCAAGCUCUUUCUCUUUCAUGUUUUUAUCUACUUCUCCUUUGAAAUGCCAACACUCUUUUUUUACGUGUCAUUGCUUUCCAUAGUGAUAACAUUUAGCUUUCUUCUUACCUUAGGACUUUGAUCUAUUUUGUUUACUCCCACUAGAACCACGUUUUGUUGAUCUCCCUUUAGAGAUAAUUAGAGCCUCGAUUUGCUGAGAAGAUAUUAUGUCUUCCUUGUUUUUACGCCUACUUUCUUCCUCAAGUACAAUAGUCGCAACAUCAUUAAAGACUAGCAUUAUCUACAAUGCACCAUUGGCCACAUUUAUGAUGAGAUGAUCAUAUGAAUCAAGUAGACUUUGGAGUAGAAGUUCAACACGUUCCUUCUCUUAUAUACUAUGUUUUAUAGCUGAUAGUUAAGAAAAUAGAGUUUUUAGGGUGUUGAUGUGUUCAAUCACCAAAGUUGAUUCUAACAUCCAAAGAGUGUAGAGUUUUCUUUUCAAGAAUAUUUUGUUGUGCAAUGACUUGGCUUCAUAUAAGUUUGUAAAAGUAUCCCAAAUUUCUUUUGCUAAUUAAUUGUAAUUUUAACAUGCUUGACAGUAUAUUAUCUGCUACUGCUAAAUGCAAGCUUGCAAUGAUAUCCCCAUCCAUUUGCUUUCACUUUUUAUCUUCAACAUUUUUUGGUCUUUCACCAAUUGUUUCUAGUUAAUUUUCUUUCCUCAAGAUGGCUUUCAUUUUUAUUUUCCACAGCCCAAAAUUGUUCCCAUUGAAUUUUUCUAUUUCAAAUUUUGUCGUCAUUUGUUUCACUUUUAUAGUGAUUAGUAACCCAGAAUAGGAGUAAGUGGUUGUGUUAAAUACACCAAAAAAGUCUCGAGGAAAGUAGAUAAGUCAUAGUGGUCCCACUCUCCUUAGGCUCUAAUUGCCCUUUUUGAUAGAACAUUCCUAGACAUGUACUAACCACACAAGUAACCAUCUAUUGUCCUAAACCAAAGCUCUAAUACCAUUGUAAUGAAAUGAUACCUAGAGCGAUAAUUUGAAAAUAGAAUAAUAAAAAAUAAAAAUGGAAUAAUAAAUAAAACAAUAGAUAAAACAAUAAAUAAAAUAAUGGACAAAAAUACUUACAUGAUAAAACCUUCUUAAUUAAAAUGGAAACUUCCACGGGACAAGAUAAAAAAAAUAUCCAUUAUAUGAAGACAAAAUUUCAACCUCCCUCUCAAUUAAAAUGAAAGAACAUAAAAGCUUACAAAAGAAUGAAAUCCUUUUUUAGGAUGAAUAGUAUAAGGGGUGGAAGCCUUCUUUCAUAGGACAAGGAAGUUCUCCCUUUUUUGUUUUCUUCUGAUGUGGAAUGACUUCAACCUUAACAAAAUACUGGAAAAACUAUUUGUCCUCUUUCUUUCAUGCACUCCAUGAUCUUGGUCAAUUCAUCUAAACACCAUUUCAAUUGAGCAUAAUAUUUUUUUUAAAUGAUCACACCCUUGAUUCUUCAAUUGUUUUCAAGAGUGAUCCAAUCAUUUCUCCUCUCUGAAGUUUGUCAUCUUUAAAGGUGUCAAUGUGUUUUGGACCCAAUGCCUUGAAGAGAUGAUGGGUGAAACCAUCAUGAGUGUCUUCACCUCUAAAACUCAAAAGCACAUCAUAUCUCCAAUAUUCGAUAGUAUGAGAAGAAGGAGAAACUCUUUUCAUACUCAUGGAAGCCAUUGUUAGGUUGUUUAUGGCCAAAUUAUAGGGUAAAUGAUAUUUAAGCUCCUUUCUAAGGGGGGAAAUAAAGUGAUGUAGGAAGCUAGGCUACUUUUUGUGAUUUUCUAAGAAGUUUUAAUCUUGGAAGAUAUCAAGAAGGCAUGAAAUUUAUGUGAAGAAUGAAAGGCUCUUUUGAGGCUCAUGGAAGCCAUGUAAGAAUUUUAAGUGGCCCAGUGUAUAUUAUUAUGUGACAUUUAAAUAUCAAAUUAAACAUUAUGGUCGAAUAAAUAAUAACGUUAAAAUCCUAUUCGUUAGUUUUCAAGAAGUUAGUUUCCUAAAUUAAAGGCACUUUGAUGGAAAAUGUACUCCUUAUUCUAUAAGGAAAUUGAUCUUCUCUUCACCUUAUAAAAUAAAUGUUAUAUUCCAUCAAUAAUAUAUAUGAGAGAAAACCUAAGGGUAAAAGGGUUAAGGGAGAACAACACGAUUUCUACUAUGUUUAUUGUUUGGUCUCUUCAAGAAUUCUCUACAAAUUAAAAGUAUAUCUUUUCUCAAUAAUGGAAAUGUGAAAAAUCAUAGUGUUCUAAAAUCCUUAGCUAUUAUGAUUUAUGCAAAAUUAGGGUUUGAUUUGCAUAAUUAAAUCAUUACUUUAGAGUUUAAUUGGUGAGCAUAUAAUACCAUUGACAUAUGUUGAUGAUUAAGUAACGUGUUGUGGACUCGCAUUUUUCACGUGCGUUCUCACUCAAACGACGAGACUCAUUUUUUAUUUAGUGAAAAUUUUAUUUUUUGAAAAAGACUUAGAGUCGCCACUUAUUUUAGUUUUUUUUAAAUGAAAACAAAAUAAGAAAGAAAACCAUGUGUGACUUCUUAUUUGGGAAAGACAAAUCUAUAAAAAUUGAGUUUAGAUAUGAGGGUCAGGUUACCUAUGGAGAAGGUACACUUAUAAGCCAUAACACUCCUCUAAACCCAUAUACCUACGAUCUCUACUAAAUGAAUCAAGGGAAUUGUGAUAAUUAAUUAAUUAAUUAUAGAUACCGAAAUUAAAGACACAAAUCAAAAUACACAAAAAUAAUUAUAAAAUCAAAUUACAAAAAUGCACAAGAUAAAUGAUAUGAGAAUUAUGAAAAAUGAUUUAUUGAACUAAUUAAUUAAAAAAAUAUUUCAAAAAUUAGUUUUUCAAGAAAUUUCAAAGGAUUUUAUUAAAAACAAUUUUGAAUUAAUAAUUUUAAUUUGUUUAUUUACAAAAAAAAAAAAGUUUCAAUAUAUUUUUAACAAGUGAUUUGAUUCAAUUUCAUUUGUAUUCAAUUUUCAAAAAAGUUAUUUACACUUAUUUUAUCAAAAGAAUUUAAUACAAAAUUUCAAUUUGACAAUAAAAAUUAUUUUUACUUCUUGUUACUAGAAAAAGUUACAACUUUAUUUAAAAAGUCCUUCAAUUUAAUUUCUAUUUACAAAGGAAUUCAUUUCUUUACAAGCUUUAUUUACAAAAAUAUUUUCGAUCCAAUUUAUUAAGAAAAUGGUUUUUGCAACUUGAAUUUGCAAAAAUGACUCCCCUCUGAUUCUCAUUAAAAGGUUAUUUUAAGACCUUCAUUUACAAAAAUUACUUUUAAUCUCAUUCUAAUUAAGGAAAUAGAAUUUAUUUAAAAAAUAUAUUUUUUUGGACAAUUUUAUUAAAAAAAAUAAUCUUUUGAGAAAUAUUAUUUAAAAGCUAGUUUUCUGAACAAUUUUUUUUAAACAUAAAUUUUCAGACAAUUAUUAUUAAAAACAAUUUUUCGAAUUUUCUUAAAAACAAAUUUUUUUGGAUUUUUCUGAAAGCAUUUUUAUGAAUUUUUAUCAAGAAAACUUUAUUUUAUAAAAAAAUAUAUAUUUUCUGAACCUUUAUUUUUAUUAAAACAAAAUUUCUAAGUUAUUGUUCAAUUUUGUUCACACCCAAUAAAUAUAUACAUAAAAAUAUUUACAGGAAUCAAUAACAAUAAAACUAAAUGGAAGUGGAAAAUAAAACGUAUAUCCCAACAAGCCUACAACAAGUUCAAUGCUUCAUUUAUAGUUUUCCUGAGCUUUCUUUCCUUCCAUGAAAUUCGAUUUUCCACUUGUCAUUGAUCUAUAUUCAAUGGAAGGAGCCCAUUCAAAACAAAAUUAAACCAAAUGUAAAUAUCUAGAAAUGUACAAAGUCCAAAAUAAAUAUUUAAACUUAAAUUCAAACUUCAAAUUAGUCAAAUAAAUUUUACUAAUUAAAAAAGGGCCCAAAUUAGUAAAUAAAACUCAACAAAAAUAACCCACAUGUUAUAGGCCUUAGUCCAAGAUCUCCAAAUUAAUAACUAAAAUACAAGCACAAUUAACCAAACCUAAAAUUUGAUAAUUAAAACAAAUUCCAUUAGACCUAAAUUUAAUAUCCCAUAAUCUAAAAGAAAUUAACCCAAUUUAAUAUGUAAACCUAAAUCCAUAACCAAAAUCAACUCAAUUUAAUAUGCAAACUUGAAGUAACACCCAAAAUAUACCACAAUUAUCUCAUAACAAAUCAAAUAAUUUAAAUGAACAAAAUCCAUAUCAAUUAUAAAUCCAUCCAACAAAUUUCAUUAACAACAAAUAAACCCAAAUUUUGUAUUAAUUCAUCAAAGCUCACAUUCCAUAUUAAUUCACCAAUUCAAAUCUCACAAAUAAAAUAAAAUAAUGCAUAAAAUAAACUUACACAUUUUUUUGGAGACCAAGAAUGAAUAGGAGAGAAAAAAAUGGCAGUGGAAUUGAGGAGAGAAAGAAAAGGAAAAAAAGGAAAAAAUAAUAAUAAAAUAGGCAAAUGGGUGAGGUGAGAAAGGGAGGGAAGGGGAAAAUGAGAAAGGGGAAAAGGAGAUGGUUGACCGACAGUGGCUUGCCAAUGACGAUUGGCCGGCCGUGUUGUCCACAGUGAAGGUUGAGUGAGUGUGGUGAGAGAGAAAGAAAGAAGAAAAGAAGUAGGAAAAAAAGAAAGAAAAAAAAAUGGGGAAGGGCAUGUACAAUCUCUAAAAGUGGGUUGUCUCCGUGAUGUGGGGGGGUACGGGAGAAAGUGGGGGUAGGUGGAAAGAGAGAGAAGAGAGAAAAAUAAAAUAAAAUAAAAUAGAGAAAAGAAGAAAAUGAAAAAGAAAAAAUGUAAAAUAUAAUAAUAAUAAUAAUAAAAUGUUCUACAAAAUAAUAAAACUAAGAAUUAAAUAGUGUCUAUGGACAAAAAAAAAAUAGAUGUAAUCAAGUUUAGAAUGUAAAGAUAAAAUGAAGCUCAAAAUCAAUGUAAAAAUAAAUAUGAGACAAAUUUUGAGGUCUAUCCAUGUAUACUUUUGAUGUUAUUGUGAUGAAGUUUAUGAUAAUCAAAGUUUGACUUUAUCAAUUUUUGAUAUAUUAUAUAUAAUGUAUGUUUAUGGUUAAUAUAUAAAGUGAAUGACUUUCUUAAUUCAUGAAAUUUAUUGAAUUGAUUUAUACAUCAACCACUUUUGAUUGAACCAUAAAUAUGAUUUUGUUCAUGUUGUUGCAUCUUUAUCAUCAAUAGAUUCUAUAUGUAAGUGAAAUAGAUUAUGUUAUAUAUAUAUUUAUGUCAAUAGUGAAUUUUGUAUCUUUGAUAGUAAUGUUUUAACGAUAUAUGUACUAUAUAUAAAGAACCAAGAAAAUAUUAGAAGGGUAAACCCAACGAGAGGAAGUACUACCUAAUUCAUAAAUAGUACAAAAUGGUGAUAUGGUGGUCGAGAAAAUACCUUCCACGAAAGAACCUAAUGGAUCUCUUUAAUAAAACAUUAAUAGGCGUCACAUCACUUGUGGCUGGUUUGUGUACCGCUUCCCCGCUUCAUCAAUUGGUGUCAAGUCACUCACAUCAAAGCUUCAUUCAGAAUAACCACCUUGAUGGGCCUUAAUGUAAUUAAGGAAUGUGGAAUUGGUAUAGUGUAUGUUAAUGAAGAGAUGAAUUACUCUAUCUUCACUCCUCCUAAUGAGUCAUCUGUUGUCCUUCAAGAAAUCCACGAGGAGGGACCUAGUGCAAGCGGGUGCUCUAAUAUUGAACUCUGAUUACUAUUCUGCUGAUGAGGGGGAACCCACUGCACCCCUACUGUAAGGAUCACUCUGAAUCAGAGAUGUAGCUAGAGCAACGGUUGCAAUGCAGCCAUUAUCAGAGCAUCCCUUGGCGAGGAGGAACCGGGCAGACAAAUGCUUGAUAUGCACCCAAAUCUUCCGAUAUCAACUAUUGGUGAGCUGUGUGCUUCCUUUGUUUCUUAUCUUGAAACUGACUUUGUUCCUUUGUUUCUAAUAUUUUUGAAACAUCAUAACCAUUGGAGUUUUCGGGUUGUGCAGUAGUGGUGUUGCUGACAAGCUUUUGAAGUUUGAUACAUGCUGGGUGGUUGUUGCUGGUUUUUGCUUUAAAUUUGCCUUGAUACAUGUUGAGUUGUUUAGCAAACUCACUCUUGACAGAUUUUGGUUAUUCUUUCCCACAUGCUAAUGUGAUAUAUCUCUGUUCAAAUUCCUAUUUUCAUUCUUAUUCUCAUAUACUGAACAUACACCCUUAAGGGCAUAUGUUCUCUUCUAAUGUUAGAACAAAAAGGAUCAUGAUAAUUUUUUUUUGGGGAUGGGUUCUUUUGGCUGAAUAUGAUAGAGCUGUUAACAGUUCAUGGUUACUUUGUAAGAAUUGUAAAUUCUUUGGUUGAUUUUUAUACCAUAUUUUGUAGUUUCAUUUUGAUGGAUUCUAAGGUAAUCCAUGACUCAUUUAUCUUCAUUUUGUUAGUAAUGAUGUAUAAGAUACUUGCAGCCAAUGUUUUGAAAACCGGACUAAACCGUUAUCGGCCAUCUCUCAGGUCGAGUUUUCCCUAGGGAACCAUUUUCAUAUUAAACCGGGCUUGAACUGCUCAAGUCGGUCUGGUUUGCACCAGGGAACUAUUUUCAUAUUAAAUCGGUGUUAAACCGCUUGAGCCAUGGUUGGAUCAUUGAACCGGACGGACCGUUCGGCUUCCUAAGAAGCAGUCAAGCCCAAAACUGGGCCAAACUUCCACUUGUUGUAGAAGCCCAAUAGGCUCUACAGCCAAUCAUCCAUUAAAAGCCCAAACCGGUUGAGCCCAAGAGGGUUUAAACGAGCCAAAGCCCAACCCAAUCCGAUGUGGGAUUGAUUCCAGGUGGUAAGGAAAAAAAGUUGUGCAUGCUGCAGGUGGAUUUGAGGUCAGCUUUAAAAUCAAGGGCAAGGCCAUUGAGCUAUAUGCCAUCCAUGUACAAUAAUGCUGUAAAACUAAAUAUAUAGAAAGAUUAAUGGUUUUUUUUUCAAAUAUUUUCAUGUAAAUAUUUACGUUCAUGUCUAUUUGUAUAAUAAUAAUUAUGAAAAUAAUGUAAAUAAUUAAUAUAAUAAUUUUAAAGUAAUAAAAUACAACGAGAUAAAAUUAAAUACUAUGAUUUUAUUUUCAUCUUAAAUACUUUAUAUUUAAAUAUUAUACAUAUUCUAUUUAAUAAGGUUUCAAAUAUUAAUAUAUUUACAUUUAUCUUUAUAAUUUAAUUUGAUAUAUCUAAUAUAAAAUUGAAAUAUUAUUUAAAAUUUUUAUUAUAUAUUCUAAAUUUUUUAUAAUUAUUUUUUUAUUUUAUAUAAUAUAUAAAUUAUAUAAUUAUUACUUCAUUGAUUCUAUUGUGGUUCAACCAUCGAUCCAAUCAAUAAACCACAAAUCGAUAACUUUUUCAAUCCAAUAACGGAUCUGGUUCUAAUUAUUACAAAUGGAAGUAAUUUAUUGCUUUGAGAAGGUUAAGGAAGGAAAGAUAGAAUAAGUCCUCCUCUAUCGAAGUCCCCUUUGGUAACUGGUAACAAAACCUAAGCUCUCCCUUGUAUAUUUCAUGACAUAAUUUUAAGUAAAGAGGUAUAUUUGGCAAAUAAUCAUUCUCUUCCCCUUACUUCCAUCCUGCUCACCGUCCUAGGAAAAAUUUAGCAUCUUCAACCUUGUACCACGCGUGCUCUCGGGUCCUAUGGCUUUGUUUCUAAUCCCCAUUUGCAAAAAGUUCAGUGUGUGAAGCCUAAGGGUCUUAACGAAAAAUCAUGGUAUAAAAUGUGAACCAACCAAAAGGCUUUAUCCAAUUCUUGUGGCCAUGCAAAGCCCUUGUCUUUCUCUAGCCGGAGACUUACUUGCAAGGCGACGGAAGUGUCGGUGGCGGAGGAGCCGUCGGCUGCGGGGGAUGGCGAGAACUGGGUGCCAGUGGUGCCGCUGUCGGCAUUGCCCAAGGGGGAGCGGCGCGUGAUUAUACAGGACGGAGAGACGAUUCUGUUGUUGUGAUUAUACACGAAAUUUAUGUGAAGAAUGAAAGGCUCUUUUGAGGCUCAUGCAAGCCAUGUAAGAAUUUCAUGUGGCCUAGUGUAUAUUAUUAUGUGAUAUUCAUUUAAAUAUCAAAUUAAAAAUUAUGGUCAAAUAAAUAAUAAAACUACCAGAAGUUAAUUUCCUAAAUUAAAGGUACUUUAAUGGAAAGCGUACGCCUUAUCUGAUCUUCUCUUCACCCUGUAAAAUAAAUGUUCUAUUUGAUCAAAUACACAUAAGAAAAAACCUAAGAGUAGAAGGGUUAAGAAAGAACAACACGGUUUCUACUUUGCUUAUUGUUUGAUCUCUUUAAGACUUCUAUAUGGAUUAAAAGUAUGUCUUUUCUCAAUAAUGGAAUUGUGAAAAUCAUAUUAUUCUAAAAUCCUUGACUAUUUUGAUUCAAACAAAAUUAGGAUUUGAUUUGCAUAAUUAAAUAAUUACUUAUGAGUUUCAUUGGUGAGCAUAUAAUACCACUGACAUAUGUUGAUUAAGUGACAUGAAUACUUUUGAUGUUAUUGUGAUGAAAUUUAUGAUAAUAAAAGUUUAUUUUAUCAAUUUUCAAUAUGUUAUAUACAAUGUAUGUUUAUGGCUAAUAUAUAAAGUGAAUGACUUUCUCGAUUUUUGAAUUGAUUUAUGCAUCAACCACUUUUGAUUGAACCAUAAGUAUGAUUUUGUUCAUGGUAUUACAUCUUUAUCAUCAAAAUAGAUAUAUAUCUAUAUGUAUGUGAAAUAGAUUAUGAAAAUACUAGAAGAGUAAACAUAUUGAAAGGAAGUACCACCUAAUUCAUAAAUAGUACAAAAAGGUGAUAUGCCAAUUGAGAAGAUACCUUUUGUAAAGAACCUAAUAGAUUCUUAUACUAAAACACUUAUAGGAAAAGUCUUUGAUUGUAACGGGGACAAUAUAGGUGUCAAAUAUGCACCUAAUUUACUUUUAUAGCAUUAUGUUUUGAGGGCUAAUGGAAGAUUGUUAGGAUAUCAUCCUACAAAGCAUUACAUGAUAUAAUUAGAAAUUUGGAUUUAUCAUUUAUUUAAUUAUAUUCUAAUUGCUCUUUUAUCUAUGCUUGUAAUAGAGAGUUCCCUAUAUUCAAAUCCCAACCCUAAUAUCAUAUAAAAUAAAGUUUCAUGCUAGUAGAAUAUCUAAAUAUAUUCUCGGUAGUUUUUGGUCAUCAUUGGCAUAACUUUGGGCUAUGCACAAUAACUUUCCAUAUAUUUGGCUUUUAGGUAUAAAUUUAAUUUCUAUAUGAAAUCGUUCAAUAUAUAACUUUUUGCUACAUGAGUCUAAAAGUUAUUAACUUCCAUGCAUGGUGCGACUGGUGGGGUUUCCAAUCACUUGGAAACCAUGUCCAGAUACAUAUGAAGAGAUCAAUAAAACCAACCUUCCACUUCCUACAAUAAUAGUUUACCAAGUGUAUCUUCAAUCCUAAGCCAGUCUGGUAUUCGGUGUUGCAGCUCCUGUAAACUGGCCUCUGCUUGGUCCAGCUCCAGAUAAAGCUGCUCUACUUCAGCUAUCUUCUCAUUCAAGCGCCUACGAAUCACGUCCCUCUUGCCCUCUGCUUGUGCAUACUCAACUAAAGGUUGCACUCCUGUAAACUGGCCUCUGCUUGGUCCAACUCCAGAUAAAGCUGCUCUACUUCAGCUAUCUUCUCAUUCAAGCGCCUACGAAUCACGUCCCUCUUGCCCUCUGCUUGUGCAUACUCAACUAAAGGUUGCACUCCAACAAAUGGGCUUCUUAACCAAUCAACCUUAACCCGCGCCCUUGAAAAGAAGAAGAAUUAGCUGAAUUAAUAUUAUUGAUGUUGAAGUGUGUAUUUAUACAAGGAGGUUUGAGAUCUUUUUCUACAAAUCAGAAAUCAGCUUACCAUAUUCUAGACUAUCCAGCUAUAAGUCAGGAAUUACAAUAGGAAAACUAACAUAUACAGAUCAUCUAUUCUUAAUAUGGAAGAUUUAGGAAGAUUGACUUUCCAACACUCCCCCUCAAGUUGGAGAGUGGAUAUCCUGCACUCCCAACUUGCGAAUCAUAGGAGCAAAAAUCUCCUUUCCCAAUGGUUUAGUUAGAAUGUUUGCAAGUUGGUGUGCUGAGCUCACAUGUCUUGUAAUAAUGGAACCAUCUUGGAUCUUGUCCCUAAUAUAGUGACAAUCCAUCUCAAUAUGUCUAGUACGCUCAUGGAAAACAGGGUUAGCUGCAAUGUGCAACGUUGCCUUGUUGUCACAAUACAGCAAGGCAGGUUCCUGAUGUAAAACAACCAAAUCUUUCAAAAGGUACCGAAGCCAUGUCAACUCACAACAAGCUCUUGUCAUUGCACGAUACUCUGCUUCGGUUGAAGAGAGUGACACUGUUUUCUGUCGCUUUGAUCUCCAAGAAAUCAAUAAAGGUCCAAGGAAUACACAGUAGCCUACAGUGGACCUUCUAGUAAGUGGACAACCUGCCCAAUUAGAAUCACAGUAGGCUCUCAAUCUAAAAUCAUUAUUCGAAGAGAAGAACAGACCCUGACCAGGUGUAUUCUUGAGAUAACGUACAACUCUGAACGCUGCUUCCAUAUGAGCCUUUCUCGGUUGAUGCAUAAACCAGCUUAACACAUGAACUGCAUAAGUGAUAUCUAGCCUCGACAUAGUUAGAUAUAUUAACCUUCCAACCAAUCUCCUAUAACGACCUUGAUCCUUGAGCAAAUCGCUCUUAUCAGACAAUUUCAAUCCUCGUUCCAUAGGUGUAUCAAUAGGGGCAGCGCCCAACAAUCCUGCAUCCUCAAUAAUCUCUAAUGCAUACUUACAUUGGGAAAUAAAAAUCCCAUUUUUAGAAACAGAAACCUCAAUGCCAAGAAAGUAUUUUAAAUCACCCAGAUCUUUGAGAUGAAAAUGACUAUGUAGAAAUUUUUUUGUUGUAGCAAUGCUCACAGGAUCAUUUCCAGUAAUCAGAAUAUUAUCAACAUAUAUCAAGAGGGCAGUAAAGGACUUGCCUUGUUUUCUGGUGAACAAAGAAUAAUCGACUCGAGAUUGUGCAUAACCGACGGAUUGAAUAGCUUCUGAGAACUUGGCGAACCACUGGCGAGAAGCUUGUUUCAGACCAUAGAGUGAUUUAUGAAGGCGACAUACCAAGUUUUCCUCCCCCUGUCGCCGAAGCCCUAGCGACGGAGACAUAUAUAUUUCCUCAUGUAAGUUGCCAUGAAGAAAAGCGUUGUUAACAUCCAUUUGAUGAAGAGACCAGCCACGGGCUGCGGCAAUGCAAGCAAGCAGCGGACAGAUAUGAUCUUGGCGGUGGGGGCAAAGGUAUUCUGAUAAUCGACACCUUCUAAUUAAGUAAAGCCUUUCGCUACCAAUCGUGCUUUGUAACGCUCAAUAGACCCAUCUGAACGGUGUUUAAUUUUAUACACCCAUCGACAGCCAAUCGUUGUCUUACCGGCCGAAAGUGGAGUGAGAAACCAAGUGUCAUUAGCUUGGAGAGCCUGCAAUUCAGAACACAUUGCCUCCUGCCACUCAGGAUGAGCGGCUGCUUCUAAAUAAGACCUGGGUUCUGUGACAGCACUAUGUUGAGCAACAAAAGAUCUAUAUGCAGGCUUAUAUCUGUGAUAAGAAACAUAAUUGGCCAGUGGAUGUGUACCUUUAGUUGGACCUGGAAUCAAGAAAGACGAUUGAUUGGAGGAAACGUGGGAACAAACAUAAUCGUGGAGCUUGAUUGGCGGGGCGAUAUGGCGGCUGGAGCGACGAAGAGGAGUGGCUGGUUUGGGUGAGUGUGUCUCGGCUGGAGGAACGGACGGGAUGGAUGCAAACGGUGGCACCGGAGAAGGCGAUACUAGAGUUGUAGAAGGCGGUGGUGAAGGGUUUGGAUCAAUCUGAGAAGAAGGUUCGAUAAUGAGUUCGGAAUGUCGAGAAAGAGAGGAAAAGUCGUCAUUUUCUGUGGUGGGAGACAGUGUGCUUGUGUGGUUGGAAAGAAGAGGGGAAAGUGCGUGAGAAGUAGAGUCAAGGGAGGAAGAGAUGUCGUGGGCCACCAAGGGGAUUGGGCCAGAAUUAUGGGUGAACGAAGAGAGAGUAGAGUUGGGCUUGAGAGAGACAUAAGGAAAAAUAUCUUCAUGAAAUUUGACAUCUCGGCUAGUAAAGACCUUUUUGGUUGAUAAAUCAAAUAAUUUGUAUGCUUUCUGACCAACAGGAUAACCAAUGAAGAUGGAUGGCAUGGCACGGUAAUCAAAUUUGUGAGAGGUGUGAACAUUGGUGGCAUAGGCUAAACAUCCGAAAACACGGAGAUGGAGUAAGAAGGUGGUUUUGAGUAAAGCAAUUCAAAAGGAGUUUUGAAAGACAAUAUUGGUGAAGGUAACCGAUUGAUGAUGUGUACGGCAAUGAGAGCACACUCCCCCCAAAAUUGAGUGGGAACUUGAGCAUGGAAUUUCAAAGCUCGGGCUACUUGUAAAAUAUGACGAUGUUUGCGUUCCACAACCCCAUUUUGUUAAGGCGUGUAAACACAAGAAUGCUGAAAGAUGACACCAUUAUCUUGAAAAAAAGGAACGAAGUGAGGUAAAUUCUCUACCAUUGUCACUUCGAAAAGUUUUAAUGCGAAAUUCAAAUUGUGUGAACACAUAGCUGAAGAAAUGUUUUAAAAGUGAUUGUGCUUCAUCUUUAUAUCGCAUUAAAAAUAUCCAAGUGAAACGUGUAUAAUCAUCGACAAUAGUGAGAAAGUAAUGGGCACCAAACAGAGAACGGUGUCGAUAACGACCCCAAAUGUCACAAUGAAUAAUCUCAAAAGGUUUUGUAGAAGAAAUAGCACUAGUACCAAAAGGUAAACAACUUUGCUUAGCCAAAGGACAUAUAGGGCAAGCAUUAUUGGACUGAACAAAAAAAUUCAAAAAAUUCUUGGCAAUGAAACUCAAACGAGAAGGUGAUACAUGGCCUAAGCAACUGUGCCAGAGAUCGGUGGAAGAGAUGGCGAGAUUGCAGGCUGGUUGGUUUGUGGAUGAGGAAUGGUUGGUUAAAGAUUUCUCCGUCGCUAGUGCCACCAAAUAGUAUAGUCCGUCACGUUGUUUACCCAAACCAAUCGUCCUCCUCGUAGCCAGAUCCUGCAAAAUACACCAAUAAGGGAAACACGUCACUGAACAAUUUAGACCUCUUGUCAAACGACUAACUGAUAUUAAAUCAACUUUGAAUGUAGGCACAGAUAAGACAUCAUGCAGAUAAUAGACGGAAUUCAGAGGCAAAGUCCCUUUCGUAACAAUAUUCGUUUUUUCUCCACUAGGCAACAAUACGAGCGGUAACGAGCAAUUUUUAUCUUUAUGCAAUAACUUAGAGGAUGAAGUAAUAUGAUCCGUCGCCCCACUAUCAAUAAUCCAAUUGCGAGAAGCGACUUUGGACAAACCUGGCUUUGUUACAGCAUUCACUUUGGAACUAGAGUUUUCAUCUUGGUUAUUAAGAAGUGACAAAAGUUGCUUGAGUUGGGCUUCUGACAAUGCAACUGCAGGUUUCCCUUCAUCUGCCUCAGAAACUUGGUUAGCUGCAGAAAAACUUUUAUUUCGAUUUGAGUUUGAGCCUAAGUUUAUUCUUGCUUUUGGAUGGUCUGGUGGGUAUCCAUGUAGUUGAAAACACUUUUGGACCCAAUGACCCAUAUCUCCACAAUACGAGCACUGGGGGCGUCCUCUUCCAGAACCCAUGCGGCGCCAAUCUUGAUCAAAAAAUGGUCUGCCAUCUUGUCCCUGAGAAGACCGAUUCACCCGGAAAUUUUGAGAACUAGAGGGGUGAUCAGUCGGUUCCAUCCUUCCUGUGUUCGAUCGAUCUAUUCCAUCCUUCCAAGUUGCCGAAGACUUGUCGUUGCUACGCACAGCCAUAGCAGCACUUGCGGCAGAUUCCGCUGCUGCGUUCGUCGAAGUGAGGAGGCGUUGUUUUUCUUCUUGAGAGACAGAGGAGUAUGCUUGGCGGACAGAAGGAAGAGGAUUCAUCAGGAGGAUUUGCCCGUGAAUAGCACUGUAAGAUUCAUUCAAACCCAUCAGAAAUUGCAUCAAUUUUUGUUGAUCUUGUUGUGCCCCAUGUGAUGCAGCGUUGUAGGAAGCCAGUUCAUCCCACAGGCCUUUCAAUUUUGUGUAAUAGGCAGAGACAGAGAGUUGCUCUUUUCAAAGACAAGCAAUAUCUCGCUGAAUUUCAAAGAUGCGAGGCGCAUUGCUCUGAGAGAAUCGCUCACAGAGAUCUUCCCAAACUUCAUGAGCAGUAGAAUAAUAGAUUACACUGUCCGCAAUUUCUGGAUUGAGAGUAUUGACGAUCCAGGAGUGAACCAUGUCGUUACACCGUGACCAAGUCGCAUAACCUUCAGGAUCAAUUUCUUCUGAAGGAGCCUUGAUCGAGCCAUUAACAAAACCCAAUUUGUUCUUGGAAUUUAAAGCUAGAAUCAUAGCCCUUUUCCAAGCUGAAUAAUUGUCUCCAUUCAAAGAUUUGGAAAUCAAAACCAAACCUGGGUGAUCUGAAUGGUGAGUGAAAUAGGGAUUGGAGAGAUCUGCCUUUGAGAAAUCCGUAGGAAUCUCUAAUUUUGCCAUGAUGAUUGAAGAAAAGAGAUGCUAUACGAGAGAUUAGAGUGUAGCAAUAAAUCAGGAUUUUAGUCCUGCUCUGAUACCAUGAAAAGAAGAAGAAUUGGCUGAAUUAAUAUUAUUGAUGUUGAAGUGUGUAUCUAUACAAGGAGGUUUGAGAUCUUUUUCUACAAGUCAGGAAUUAGCUUACCAUAUUCUAGACUAUUCAACUAUAAGUCAGGAAUUACAAUAGGAAAACUAACAUAUACAGAUAAUCUAUUCUUAAUAUGGAAGAUUUAGGAAGAUUGACUUUCCAACACCCUCUCCAAAUCACUCAAUGCUCUAUCAAUGAAGUAGGUGUCUGCACCAGACAGGCUACAGGCAGUAUUCUUCUGCAUCAGCUCCACAAUCUGCAGUAUGGAACCUUUGAUGAUCUCUACAAACUGGGGUGCUGUAAAGGAGCAAUUGGCAGUUACGUCUCCAUAUUUGGUCCAUAUUUGCUGCCAAAUCGACUCCCUGGUAUUGGAAGUUACACCAGAUCCCUCAACCAUCUCAAGAAGCCCUGCAGCAGCUGUGUUAGGAUCUGUGAGAGUUUUGUCUGUGUCCUCAGCUUCAGUUGGAGCGAAGGAAGUUUGGAUCUCCUAAAGCCCAAAAAAGAGAAGGAAAAGUAUAGAACUUGUGCUUGGAAUUAACCAACAAAAAAGAUUAAUUUUGAUGUAAAAGUGCCCAAGGAAAAAUAUUUUGGUAGUUUCAGUUGAAAAUUUUGACAAACCUUGUCAGCUCCCGAAGCACCUUCCACUUCAUCUGAAGGCCAAUUAAGUGUAUCUAGGCAUUGCAACCUGUGAUUAUGCUCAAGAUGAAGUUUUGUGAUCACCCAUUGUCCAUUGUCAAGUUUGACUUGGAUCUGGACAUUGCAACCUGUUCUUGUUUCUGAUCUCUGAUACUUUGUUCCCUGGUUGGGAUGCUUCUUGGUCCGGAAGCCUUCACAUGAACAAAGAAAGCAUCGCCCUUUCAGUGUACCAUUUGCUUUCCUUUGUACCUUUCCUUUUCUUACUGUAAAACCAAUUCUCUUGGCAUACUUUUUACAAAAUUCUUCAGCUUCUAACUCAGAAGAAAACGCCAUCCCUCUCCGUGGUAUCUGAUCAUCGUCUUCAGGAUUUUUCUCAUUUACAUUAACCAAUGUUCCAAUCUCAUCACCAUUUACAUUAAUAGCCAUUUCAGUCUCACCACUAUAGAACGAACUCCACCAAGAAUCAAAAUUAAGCUCAUCCUGUACAAAGUGAGAUAGAGAGAGAAGUUUUCUAUGAGAAAAAUGAGAAGCAAAAAGUGGUACAAUGCAUAACAAUAAUUUUCUUCUGUUACACCAACUAUUGAUUCAAACUACAUCUUAUCCUGUAACUCUUGUAGAACAAUGAAUUAAUAUAAGAAGAGUGACACUGUAAGACGGCUUAUAGACAAGUAGAUGGAGUAACCAAUUCUUGAUUUGCUGGUAGCAGCUUUAUUUGGGCAGAAAAGUUUUUGAAUUAUUUAUCUUUAAAAUUAACCGUUGUUCUAGAAAAUGGAUCGAGCUUACCUGGAUAGUGAGGCGCCUGAAGGUACCGCCAACUCUGUUGUGGUUUACUAAAUCAUCAGAUUCCUGUAUGGCACCCCGAACAUCUGGGCGUGAACCGAUGGAACUAUACCUGCAAGAUGAUAGGGUUCGAUAGACAUUCUGGUGCAGUUGAUGGGUGUGGAUCCAGAGGAUCGGUGCUUGAUUGCUUUGCUUCCGGCUGGUGCAGGACCCUCAAAUGUUUGGGAUCUCGCCUUCCCAAGCCAAGACUCCUUUUAUGGCUCUCGCAGCCUGCUGUGUGGGACAGCGUCCUUUUUCCUUGUUUGCUUUGCUUCCGUUCCCAAAUUCCAACCCACUGCGCUUUGACCAGAUGGUCCAAAUCUCCAUUUCUCGGCCACGUCGGUGCCUUUGGUGCUCUUUUCCCUUGUUUUAUUUCCUUCAGUGCCUUCACUACAAAAUACAUGGUCCCACCCACCGUUUUUAAAAUUCAACCCAUCUUAUCUAUUUAAGCAUCCGUUGUCUUUUUUAUAAUUCAAAGAUAAAGGUUUUUUAUCUUUCCUCCCAAGAGGCUACUACUCAAAAAGUCAAAACUUCAGAAACAUUAAAUAUAUAUAUAUAAAAUAGAGAAUUAUCAAAACGGUGGGCGGAAAGUGGUAAUCCUUUUUAAAAGUCAUCAUGUUGACCAAUUCUACUCCUCGGGUAAUCAUUUGAAAGAAAUUUUCAAUUAUAUCCUAUCUAAACUUUAUUUUUUUAUUUUUUUCUUUUGUAUUAUUAUUAUUAUUAAAUAUUAAUACUACUCUUAAUAUUAUUAUUUAUGAUAUUAGUAUUUUAAAUUUUCAUAUUAUUAUUAGUAUCAUUCUUAUUAAUAUUAUUUAUUAUUUUUAUGAUUAUUAUUCAUAUUUUUAAUAUUAUAUUAAAAAUAAUAUUAUUAUAUUUUUAUUACUACUACAAAGAAACCUUAGAAGAUAAUUUAUAUUUUUUCGUUCUUAGAACUUGUAAACUUUAUUAAAAAUUUAUUCUUUUUUUUUCAUUUUAUACUUUAUAUGUUAUAUUAAGAUUAAUUAAAUUAUUAUUAUUAUUAUUCUUAUUAUUGCUAUUAAGAUAUUAGUUUUAUAUUAUUAAUAUUUUAAUAAAAUAAUAUUAUAUCCAAGUUAUAGAUAUAAUAAAAAAUGCAUUGAUGUUAAUAAUAUAAUAGAAUAAAGCAAUGUUUCUAAUACUAUUAGAUUUGUUACAAAAUGUAAGUACAACAUUUAUCUAUUGAAUUUAUAACAUAAAUACAUUAAAAAUACGAUAUAGUACAACAUUUUUAAUAGUUUUCAUGUAAAAAUAAAAUAAAAUUUUAUCAUUUAAAUUUAUCUCAUUUUAACUGUUAUACAUUCCAUCAUGUUAAUGUCUUGUAAAUUACUAUUGCAUUUUUUUUCCCACAAAUAAUAGAUUCAUGUUUAUCAUCUCACAAAUAAAUUUUAAUUAGGAUUUAUAUUUAUUUUAAUUUUUAAAAUAUUUAUAAAUAUAAAACAUAAUACAAUAAUUUAGUUUACAACAUUAAACUUUACCUUGCUCCACAUCCUUUCAAAAAGCAAGGAUGACCUUGCCCCAUGUGCUUUCAAAAAAUAAGGAUGAAAAUAUGGAUAAUUAUGAAUAUAUCAGUUAUUUAAUUUUACUGAUACAUUAGAGAUGCGAAUAUUUUCAUACAAAUAUCGAUGAAUAAAAAAUUGAUCAAAACUCAUGAAAAUAUUAUGAAAAUCUCUAAAAAAAAUGAUAUAAAAAUAAUAAUAAUAGAAAUAUUGAGAUUGUUUUGUUAAAAUAAAUUGAUAUAUAUAUAUAUAUAUAUAUAUAUAUAUAUAUAUAUAUAUAAUAUAAGUUGUGAUAUUUAACAAUAAUGUUUAUAACUUGAAAACAUAUUUUAUGUAUAUACACCAAAUUUGAAUAUAUUUAACAAUAUAUAAGAAAUGAUAAUAAUUUGUAGAAGAAUUUUUUGUUUCACACAAUAACCAAAACUAAUUAAUUUAUAAUAAUUUUAUUAUAAUUAAUUUAUAACAUAUAUAUACAUUAAAUAUGUUCGAUUUAUAAUGUAGCAUGGUUGGUUGGCUGGUGGUGGGGGAUUUUCCCCAACUUGAGGUUCUACCUUUCAAAUGAGCGCAAUGUGUAGGCUGGUAAGCGAGCCCAUUGCAAGAUGUUUGAAAAAAAAAAAAAGGAAAAGAAAAAGAAAAAAAAUGAAUCAUGUGGCAUUGAAAUUAUUGGUGCAUCAGUCGUAUGUCGGCGAAAAAUGGCAAGAAAAAAAAAACUCAAUCGGUCAAUUUAAUCUACUAUUCUUAUAAACAAGUUUGUUUGGCUAAAGGGUAGAUUUCACAAACAUGCUUGGAAUCAAAAUAAAUUUCAAGAUUAAUUUUAGCAAGAACUUGAAGAGAACUGGAUGACGAGUGCCCAAGAUGCUAAUGCCAAAGAUUGGGAUGUUUACAAAUGGCAUAAGCCAAGGCUAGAUUUUGGUCUUGUGCUAGGUAGUAGAGGUCAUUAUGUUGCUUGCCCAAGCCAAUAGUCUUCCUUGUAGCAGUGUUUUACACAAUACAAAAAUUGGAAAAGAACAUCACUAUACAUUUAAAUGUCCAUGUUAGUUUACUAAAUGAUAGUAAAUUAACUUGAAAUUGUGAAACUUUGAGUACUUCAUCAAGUUUAAUGUGGGGUGAAAUAUUCAAUGAACUAAUCGACUUAAUAUGUGUUUGACCACCAUCUGGCAAACUAAUGGUGGUUAUCUUAUGCAAAUUUUUUAGAUCUAGUAAUUCAGUUGAAGAAGUCACAUGAUUUGCGGCUCCACUAUCAAUAAUCCAACACAUAUUUCUGAGUGUAGGUAAUCUUGAAUGAUUUUGGAUGAUAUAUUUAUACUUGUGGCAUUUGCAAAAUAUUGUGAGUUACCAUCAUUGUUUUUUUGAAUCAUGGCCAUUAGUUGGUCAUAUUCCUCAGUUGUGAGCCUUAAUCCGUCACUUGUUGGAAGAUAUUUUGCUUUUAUCUCCAUGACCUUGUUUGUUUCCACCUUCACAUUGUUUGCAUUUUAGUGACACUGAUUGGGAGACUUCACGUUCUUCCCAUGAAGCCUGUGACCUAUUGGAAAGCAAUAUAGGUAGUAACACUUCUCAAUGUUAUGAUAAUCACCGUCACAAUAAGAGCAAUGUAGCAAAGUUUUUUACCUUUAAACCUAGUGUGCUGGAGUCACCUUGUUGUGCCAAUCUGCAAGCAUGGCAUGACGGUUCAUGUUCCCAUGUUUGAUAUAAACUUCAACCUGUUUUUCUUAUUGAAGGACAAGUGAGUAAACUCGACAUGUAUCAGGUAGAGGUUGCAUAUCAAUAAGAUUUGUCCAUGAAUGGUAGCAUAACUAUCAUUCAAUCCCAUGAGAAACUGCAUAACUCUUUCUUUCUCAUCCUUUUCCUUGAGUUUCUCCAACCCUCCACAAGAGUAGGAUAACACUUCAUGAUAGGAUGAAAGUUCAUCCUAAAAAGCUUAAAGCUUUGUGUAGUAAACCGAAAUUGAUUGUUGGCUCACCUAUGUUCCAUGAUUUCUCGUUUGUUUUAAUAAAUUCUUGAAUUAUUUCCUUGAAAAAAGCAUUCUUUUAGAUCUACCCUAACUUUUGUUGAAGUUUCAACAUAAAUCACACUGUUGAUUAUGUCUGGAUGAAUGAAAUUCAAUAACCAUGAGAUCACCAUAUCAUUGCAUCAUUGCAUCAUUGCUAAGAAGGAAAACUAUCAUAUGUCAAUGGAGUUGGAGUCAGCUUGAUUGAACCUAUGACAAAUCCAAUCUUAUCUUUAGUACUCAAACUAAUUCUCAUACCCCGACUCCACGUGUUGUAGUUAUCUCCUUCAAGUACCUUAGAGAUGAGUACCAUACUCGGAUGGUUCGAGUGGUGUAGAGAGAAGGAAUGUGAGGCUUCUAUGGUAGCCUUAGACGAUGUCAACAAUCUCAUUCUGUUAUUAAUGUCCAUGGCAGCAACUGUAACAAGGAAUUAGGUUGCAAAAAUAUUUGGAAGAAUUCAAAGCCACCAAGUUUGGUGCUUUGAUACCAUGUCAAAAACAAAGUAAAACAGAAUAUUUUGGAAAUCUUCAGUAUAUUGAAUGUUUUGACUUACAAAGAAAAAAAUACAUAUAUAUAAAACAUCAGUUAGCCUAUUAUAGGAAACUAUGUGUAAACAGAUCAAUUACAAUCAAUCAAAAAAAUAAUCUCAUAUUAACAAAUCUUAUCCUAAAAUUAUGAGAUUCUUGAUUCUUUUCUUGUAAUAAGUUCCACGGUUGGAGUCAAAUAAAGCUCCAAUAAAUGUUCCAUUUUACCUUGAAUAUCUAGAAACUUCUUGAGCCCUGAGCAGCCAAAGAAAUUAAGAAUUUCAAGUGCUUCCAUUUUGAUGAUGCUCUAAAAAUUGCUAAGCUUUUUGCAGUUUUUCAAACUCAAUAAAAUAAGCUUGCUAAGCUUUCCAAUAGAUGGGUGGACCUAAAGCAAACUUGAACAACCAUCAAGAAUUAGUUUCUCCGGAUUGGGCGCACUAAAUGUGAUGUCUGGAAUUUCAAUUAGGUGUUGAAGAAGCUAUAACCAAAAAUAAAAAAGAAAAACCAAUAAUAAUAAUUACUUUAGUAUAUAAGCUUUCAUGGAGUUUAGAGAUUAACUAAAGAAGAAACAUGAAAAAAAUAAAAUAAAAUCACUCAUCAUACCAUGUCAUUUUCACAAAGUUGUUUUAAGCUGCUAUGACACAUGUUAAGUUCUACAAUGUCUUUUGCAUAAAAACUUUAAUAGUUUUUAUGUAAAAAUAAAAUAAAAUUUUAUCAUUUAAAUUUAUCAAACUUUAACCGUUAUACAUUCCAUCAUUUUAUCGUCUUGUAAAUUACUAUUGCUUUUUUUUUCCCACAAAUAAUAUAUUCAUGUUUAUCAUCUCACAAAUAAAUUUUAACUAGGAUUUAUAUUUAUUUUAAUUUUUUAAAUAUUUAUAAAUAUAAAACAUUACACAAUAAUUUAGUCCCAACUCAAGACUUUACUUUGUUCCACACCAUUUCAAAAUCCAAUGAUAAAAAAAUAUCGAUAAUCAUGAGUAUAUUGAUAUUUUGAUUUUAGGAAUAUAUCAUAGAUACGGAUAUUUUGACGUAAAAUGUCGAUGGGUCAAAAAUUUGAAUGUACUUAAUAAUAUAGAAGAAAUAAUGAUAAUUUGUAUAAGUAUUUUUUAUUUUAAAAUUUUGAUAAUUUUAUUCAUAAAUUUAUAUUUAUUUUGUAUUUAACACAGUAAUCAAAAUUAAUUUAUUUAUAAUAAUUUUAUUUGAAUUAAUUUAUAUAUAUAAUUAUAUUUGUUUAUAUAGAUAUAUGGUUUAGAGCCCGUUUGACAGUGAUUUUUAAAAGUGUUUCUACCCUUAAAAACACUUUUAAGUGUUUUUGGGAUGAAAAUAAAGUGUUUGGCAAAUUUUAAAAAACACUUUUGAAAAUCUGGAAAAACACUUAAAGUGAUUUUUAGAGAAUCACUUAACAGGUGUUUUUUUUUAAAAACACUUCAAUUUUUUUGAAAUAUUCCAAAAAUGCCCCCCAGUGGUCAUAUAUUGUUUUACUUUUAAAAUUAUCUUUUAUUCAAUGUUUUUUUUUUUUUUAUUGAUUUAGAUGUUUUUUGUAAAUAUUUUUUAAAAUUUUAGUAUAGUGAUAAAAAAAUUAUUAUUUUUAAUUAGAAAAGUCUUUUUCUUUUUUAGAAAUUAAUAGGUAAAAUCAUAUAUUGUUUUAAUUUUAAAAUUAUCUUUUAUUCAAUGUUAUUUUUUUAGUGAUUUAGAUGUUUUUUCAUUAAUAAAAAGUUUUUUUGUUUAUCAUACCAUUUUUUUUAAUUAAAAUUGUAUGUCCUUUUUGGUAAUUUAUUAAUAUUAAAAGUGUUUUUAUAUUUAUACAAUAUAUUAUCAAAAACACUUUAGAAUCAUUUUUUCUGAUUAUCAUAAAAGUGUUUUUCACAUAAACACUACAGUAGAAAACACUUCAAAUAAAAACACUUCCACUAGAAUCACUACCAAACGGGCUCUUAUAUAUGUAAUGCUGAGAAUGAACAUAUAUAUUAAAUAUGUUCGGUUUAUAAUGUAAAACAUGGUUUUCCCAAGCUCGAGGUUUUACCUUUAAAGUGAGCGCAAUGCGUGGGCUGGGAAGUGAGCCCAUUGCAAGAUUUUUGAAAAAUAAAUUAAUAUUUUAAUAUCCCUCACUUAAAAAUAAAUUCUCUUAUAGCAUGUUGAGACAAAAUAAAUAAAUAAAUAAAUAAUGGUCUAUAGAAAGCAGGUGGGUCAACAAGGACCCUUUGUCUUCGAUGAUCUCACUGGCAUUUAAUUUACUUGUUGCAGAAACUGCCUGUUCCUUACACUCUGCGAGUUUUGCUCAGACUUGACUUUCACAACUCAAAUUUCAGAAUCCAUCUUCUCUGCCGCCUCGUAAUGGCUGAUCCUUCUUUCCAACGGAGCUAUGAUGUGUUCCUGAGCUUUAGAGGAGAAGACACCCGCAAUAGCUUCACUGCCCAUCUCUAUAAGGAGCUACGCACCAAAGGAAUCAACACGUUCAUUGACGAUGACAAGCUUGAGAGGGGUGAUGUCAUUUCUUCUGCGCUUGUUGCGGCUAUUCAAAACUCCAAGUUUUCUCUCGUUGUUUUGUCAGAAAAUUAUGCAUCUUCCGGGUGGUGUUUGGAGGAGCUGGUGAAGAUUCUAGAGUGCAUGAGAACCAUGGGACAGAGGGUUCUCCCCAUUUUCUACGAUGUGGAUCCCUCGCAUGUAAGACAGCACAACGGAAAAUUUGGAGAAGCACUGGCUAAACAUGAAGAAAAUUUGAGAACUAUGGAGAGGGUGCCGAUUUGGAGGGAUGCUCUCACUCAAGUUGCCAAUUUAUCCGGUUGGGAUUCCAGGAAUAAGUAAUUCUCUACAGCUUUCCCAUCAUCAUCUUCAUCCUCAUAUCACUAAUUUCAAUAUAUGCAUCUGUUCAUUAAUUAUCUUGUUUACUUUAAUUUUACCUUUCUCUUUUUGAGUGAUGAACUAAUUUCAUGUUUAUACUUCAAAUUUGGCAGGCAUGAGCCUAUGCUUAUCAAGGGAAUUGCCACUUAUAUUUGGAAUAAAUUGUUUAGUAGAUCCUCAAAUUAUGCUGAUCAGAACCUAGUUGGAAUAGAAUCUAGCAUACGAGAAAUAAAAUCCCUGCUAUUUACCGAGUCUCUAGAUGUUCGCAUGGUGGGGAUUUGGGGCAUGGGCGGCAUAGGUAAAACAACCCUUGCCAGAGCUGUUUAUAACCAAAUCUCUCAUCAAUUUGAAGCUUGCUGCUUUCUUGAAAAUGUCAGUGAUUAUUUGGAAAAGCAAGAUUUCCUUAGCUUGCAAAAGAAAUAUCUUUCUCAACUAUUGGAAGAUGAAAAUCUAAAUACAAAAGGAUGCAUCUCUAUAAAGGCUUUGCUUUGUUCUAAAAAGGUUCUCAUUGUCAUUGAUGAUGUGAACAAUUCAAAAAUAUUAGAAGACUUGAUUGGGAAGCAUGGUUGGUUUGGUAUCGGAAGUAGAAUCAUCAUAACAACAAGAAAUAAGCAGUUGCUAGUUACACAUGGGGUGAAUGAAGUCUAUCAGGCUGAAAAAUUAAAUGAUGAUAAUGCGGUUGAGCUCUUCAGUCGAUAUGCCUUUAAAAAAGCCCAUCCUAUAGAUGAUUAUGUGGAGCUCUCUCAAUGUAUAGUGGUUUAUGCUCAGGGCCUUCCAUUAGCUCUUCGAGUUUUAGGUUCAUUUUUAUUUGAUAAGAGCAAACGGCAAUGGGAAAGUCAGUUGGAUAAACUAAAAAAAAUUCCUAAGAAGGAAAUUCAAGAUGUGCUUCGAGUAAGUUUUGAUGGGUUGGAAGAUAACGAGAGAGAUAUAUUUUUGGACAUCGCAUGUUUCUUUCAAGGGCAUGAUAAAGAUUAUGUAAUGGAAAUAUUCAGAUCUUGUGGUUUCUUCCCUGAUAUUGGAAUAAGAGUUCUCAUUGAGAAGUCUCUUAUAUCUGUUGUUGAGAAUAAAUUGAUGAUGCACAAUUUGUUACAAAAAAUGGGUCGGGAAAUUGUUCGUGAAGCAUCUCCUAAGGAACCUGGAAAACGCAGCAGGUUGUGGAUUCAUGAUGAUGUAAAUCAUGUAUUGACAAAAAAAACGGUAAGAGACAAAUGUAUAAACCCUUUUUUUAUAUAUAUAGGUAAUUAGGUUGGUCUAAAGUGCAACUUAGGAAGUACCAACUUUGUUUAAUUGCGUAGUUUAGUAUGUAUAUAAUUUUACUCACUUAUCCAUUACUCUUUUUUGCUAGGGAACCGAAGAAGUUGAAGGAAUAUCCCUUGACUUGUCCAGUUUGAAAGAGAUAAAUUUCACUAAUGAAGCUUUUGCACCGAUGAAUAGGCUCAGAUUGCUCAAAGUCUAUACAUUGAAUUUUCUCAUGGACUCCAAAAGAGAGAAGUGUAAAGUGCACUUUUCCCGAGGCUUUAAAUUUCACUGCGAAGAACUGAGGCACCUAUAUUGGUAUGAAUACCCUUUGAAAUCACUGCCCAAUGAUUUUAACCUCAAGAAUCUUGUUGACCUCAGCAUGCCUUAUAGCCAAAUAAAACAACUUUGGAAAGGGACCAAGGUAUCGCUAUGAUUUAUCCAUGUUAUUUUAUUUAGAUUGUAUGUACCGUUCAUGAAAAAUCAUCUUCUUAAGCCUUGUUUCUUUCACUGCAGGUUCUUGAAAACUUGAAGUUCAUGAAUCUCAAGCACUCCAAAUUCUUAACGGAAACCCCGGAUUUCUCAAGGGUUACCAACCUUGAACGGUUAGUUUUAAAAGGUUGUAUAUCUUUGUAUAAGGUUCACCCAUCACUUGGAGAUUUGAACAAACUCAAUUUCUUGAGUUUGAAAAAUUGCAAAAUGCUGAAGAGUCUUCCAAGUUGCAUUUGUGAUUUGAAAUGCCUUGAAGUAUUUAUUCUUUCUGGUUGCUCAAAAUUUGAAGAGUUACCUGAGAAUUUUGGGAACUUAGAAAUGUUGAAGGAAUUUUGUGCGGAUGGAACUGCUAUUAGGGUACUUCCCUCCUCUUUUUCUUUAUUGAGAAACCUUGAAAUAUUAUCCUUUGAGAGAUGUAAAGGACCACCACCAUCUACCUCAUGGUGGUUGCCAAGAAGAAGUUCAAAUUUCAGUAAUUUCGUAUUGUCUCCUUUGUCAAGUUUAAGCUCCUUAAAAACUCUAAGCCUAAGUGCCUGCAAUAUAUCAGAUGGAGCAACUCUUGAUAGUCUUGGCUUCUUAUCUUCACUGGAAGAUUUAGAUUUAAGUGAGAACAACUUUGUUACUCUGCCUUCAAAUAUCAGCCGACUUCCUCACUUGAAAAUGCUUGGGUUGGAAAAUUGUAAAAGAUUGCAAGCACUGCCAGAGCUUCCAACAAGCAUACGUAGUAUAAUGGCUCGUAAUUGCACAUCAUUGGAAACAAUCUCAAAUCAAUCAUUUAGCUCCCUACUAAUGACUGUCAGAUUGAAGGAACAUAUCUAUUGCCCAAUAAAUCGGGUGAGAUUUUCCUCCGGUAUAUCAUAAUUCAAUUUCCCACUAAAUAAUGCACAAUUUAAUUUCAUUUGUGGUAGUGUAAAAUAAAUGUCGAAUGAUUUAAGAUGGUAAAGCAGCAAGCAAUUUCUAUCUCUACUAACAUCCUCAUCAUGUUCAUUCUACAGGAUGGACUUUUAGUUCCUGCACUUAGUGCAGUUGUUUUUGGGAGUAGAAUACCAGACUGGAUAAGGUACCAGAGCUCAGGGAGUGAAGUAAAAGCAGAGCUACCUCCAAACUGGUUUGAUUCCAACUUCCUGGGUCUUGCUUUGUGUGUUGUCACUGUUCCCAGGCUGGUGUCACUUGCUGAUUUUUUUGGUCUUUUUUGGAGAUCAUGUACCUUGUUCUAUUCCACAUCCAGUCACGCUUCUUCCUCCUUUGAUGUUUACACUUAUCCAAAUCAUCUUAAGGGAAAGGUGGAGUCAGAUCACUUGUGGCUGGUUUAUGUACCGCUUCCCCACUUCAUCAAUUGGCAGCAAGUCACUCACAUCAAGGCUUCAUUCAGAAUAACCACCUUCAUGCGCCUUAAUGUAAUUAAGGAAUGUGGGAUUGGUCUAGUGUAUGUUAAUGAAGAGUUGAAUUACUCUCCCUUCUCUCCUCCUCCUAAUGAGUCAUCUGUUGUCCUUCAAGAAAUCCAUGGGGAGGGAUCUAGUGGAAGUGGGAGCUCUAAUAUUGAUGGCUCAGAAUCAGAGAACUCCGAUUACUAUUCUGCUGAUGAGGGGGAACCCUCUGCACCCCUGCUGUAAGGAUCACUCUCAAUCAGAGAUGUGGCCAGAGAAACACUUGCAAUGCAGCCAUUAUCAGAGCAUCCCUUGAUGAGGAGGAACUAGCCAGACAAAUGCCUGAUUUGCACCCAAAUCUUUCCAUAACAACUCUUGGUGAGUUGUGUGCUUCCUUUGUUUCUUUUCCUGAAACUGACUUUGAGUUGCUUAGCAAAAUACCUUACUUUCUAGUAUUCUGGAAACAUCAUAACUGUUGGAGUUUUUGGGUUGUGUAUUAGUGGUGUUGCUGACUAGUUUUUGGAGUUUGAUACAUGUUGGGUUGUUGUUACUGGUUUUUGCUUCAAGUUUGCCUUGAUACAUGUUGAGUUGUUUAGCAAACUCUCUUGACAGAUUUUGGUUUUCUUUCGCACAAGGUAUUGUGAUACAUCUCUGUUCAUAUUCCCAUUUUCAUUCUUAUUCUCAUGUACUAAACAUAUACCCUUAAGGGCAUAUGUUCUCUUCCAAUGUUAGAACGAAACAGAUCAUGAUCAUUGUUUUUGGGAUAUGUUCUUUUAUCUGAAUAUGAUAGAGCUAUUACAGUUAAUGGUUACUUCGUAAGAAUUGUAAAUUCUUCCAUUGAUAUUAUACCAUAUUUUGUACUUUCAUCUUGAUGGGUUCUAAGGUAAUCCAUGGCUCAUUUUUCAUUCAUUUUGUUAGUAAUGAUGUAUAAGAUACUCGUAGCCAAUGUUUUGAAAAUCAGACCAGUCGUCCAACCGAUUGAACCGUCAAUCAGCCAUCUCUCUAGUCUGAUUUGCCCUAAGGAACUGUUUUCAUAUUAAGCCAGUGUUGAACUGCUUGAGCCGGUCUGGUUUACCCUAGGGAAUCAUUUUUAUAUUAUACCGAUGUUGAAUUGCUCGAGUCGAUGGUUGGACCAUCUAAUUGGAUGGACUGUCCGGCUUCCUAAGAGUAGUCAAGCCCAAAACCAGGCCAAAUUUGCACUUGUUGUGGAAGCCCAAUAGGCGUCACAACCAAUCACCCAUUAAAAGUCGAAACAGAUUGAGUCCAAAAGGGUUUGAUGAUCAGUCAUUAUGGUCCGACUAGUAAAUCAUAAACUAGUAACUUUUCUAAUUCAAUAAUCGAUUCGGUUUUGAAAAUAUUGCUUAUAACUUAGGUUGUUUCUUCAUUUUCUACCGAGAAUGUUGUCUUAUAAUGCAGGCAAACUAUCACCAAUGGAGAAAACAUAGAGAAAAGAAGAGUUUUAUUUUUCAAUUUGUUUAGCCAAUAAAUACCUUUCUUUAAUUUACUUUUCAAAUAUGAUGACGUUCAGAAAUUAGGAAAACUUGCCCAUGAAAAUAUAAAACUUGGGUCUGCUCUGGAUUAAAGAGAAAUCAGACUUGGCGGUACAUGGAUGUUUGCCCAAAUAUAUGAAAUUAAUUUAAGUGAAAUUAGGGGAAAAGUAUACUAAUACCUGGAUUCUAGCAUAUAGUAAUGGUUAGGCUGGGAACUUGAAAAUAAAUUUUUUGUUCUUUGGAACUGAAAUAAUUUUCAGUUGACAGAUUUUAUUAUUCGAAACAAUUUUAUGGAGAAUUUAUUCUUAAAACAUAAUAUUUUUUAAGAAUAUAUUGAAGGUGUUUUCUUAAAAUAUUAUAAGAAAUAAUUGAAAAUGUAAAGAAUAUUUUAAAUAUUUUUGCAUUAUACAAUAUUUUCAUGAAAAACAAAUCAAGAAAAUUGCUUUUUCAAUACAAUAUUUUUAAGAACUAUUUUUAUUUAUUUUUUAAAUGUUAUCUAAGAAAACCCUAUACCUAAAAAAAGUCGCCAUAAAGCAUAGAAACAAAACGGAGGCAUAAUACCUCCGGAGGCACUGUAGAAUUUUUCAGCAUAAAAAGGUUGUUGUUAUUCUGAUUUGUUAGGUCAGUCUAGGUAACAAAACCUAAGCUAUCCCUUGUAUAUUUCAUGACAUAAGUUUAAGUAAAGAGGUAUAAUUAGCAAAUGAUCAUUCUCUUCCCCUUACUUCCAUCCUCCUCACUGUCCUAAGAAAAAUUUAGCAUCUUCAACCUUGUACUGCGUGUGCUCUCGGGUCCUAUGGCUUUGUAUCUAAUCCCCAUUUGCAAAACGUUCAGUGCGUGAAGCCUAAGGGUCUGAACAAAAAAUCAUGGUAUAAAAUGUGAACCAACCAAAAGGCUUUAUCCAAUUCUUGUGGCCAUGCAAAGCCCUUCUCUUUCUCUGCCCCACUUUCCACCCACACCUCUCACUCCACCCCCCUCACCUCCUCUCUCUCUCUCACCUCCCACUUCUCCAUGGCCACCGCCGCUGCCACCAAGCUCACGCCCCAUCUCCUCUCUCUCUCCUCCCCCCUCCGUCGCCGGAAACCCCUGCUGCACCACCUCCCUCCGCCGCUGCCCCGGAAUGAC